rnacentral:lncRNA from 1 species
AUAAAUGAAGAACUUUUAACCCUUCAAUCACUUUUAAAAUCUCUGGAAACAUCUCAAGACUCUGACAAUCAUAAAGUACAAAGGUUUCGAGAGAUUUCAUAUGAAUGUUGCUUGGAAGACUCUUAAGUUUUUGGCAAUCUGAUAGGUUCAAAUGAAUCAACCCCGUGAAAUUAUUAAUUGACAUGGGCAGUUGUUUAAUUUUUGACCCGGAUAAAUUAAGCUCUUCUAACCCCUCAAUACCAUCUGAAAUCAAUGGAAACAUCUCAAGACUGGAGCAGCCACAAACAUUAAAGGUUUUCAGACAUUUCAAAUGAAUGCAACUUGGAAGACUCUCAAGUUCCUUGCAAUCUUUUAGGUUGAAAUGACUCAACCCCGUGAGAUUAUUAAUUGACUCGGGCAGUUCUUUAAUUUUGGACUCGGAUAAAUUAAGCUCUUCUAACUCCUCCAUACCUUCUGAAAUCUCUGGAAACAUCUCAAAAUUGGAGCAGCCAAAAAGAUUAAAGGUUUUGAGAGAUCUCAUACGAAUUUUAUUGGGUAGAAUCUUAAGUUCCUUGCAAUAUGAUAGGUUCAAAUGACUCAACCCCGUGAGAUUAUUAAUUGACUCAGGCAGUUCUUUAAUUUUGGACUCGGAUAAAUUAAGCUCUUGUAACUCCUCCAUACCUUCUGAAAUCUCUGGAAACAUCUCAAGACUGGAGCAUCCAUAAAGAUUAAAGGUUUUCAGACAUUUCAUAUGAAUGCAGCUUGGAAGACUCUUAAGUUCCUUGCAAUCUCUUAGGUUUAAAUGAAUCAACCCCGUGAGAUUAUUAAUUGACUCGGACAGUUCUUUAAUUUUGGACUUGGAUAAAUUAAGCUCUUGUAACUCCUCCAUACCUUCUGAAAUCUCUGGAAACAUCUCAAGGCUCACGCAGCCAAAAAGAUCAAGAGUUUUGAGAGAUUGCAUACGAAUUUUGCAGGGUAGAAUCUUAAGUUUUUCGCACCCUUUCAGAUCCAAUAAAACAAGUUUUGUAAGAUUCGAAAUAGAUGGGUGAACCUUAACUAACCCUCCACAACCAUGAAGAAUUAGCCUCUCAAGAUUUGGCACAUUUGUGAAGUCAGGGGUUUCCUUAAGGUAUGAACAAUAACUUAAAUUGAUGAAUUUCAACUUUUCCUGCGUCUGUUAAAACAUUCAGGAAAACAUGCAUUACUUAAUAAGACAUCUCACUCAAAGCCCAAACAUUUAAAAGAAACAAAUACAUGUAAAUGAUUGCACAUACCUGGGUUCCUUCCCAAAGUCGGUCAAUGUGGCUAUAUUGCAUGUCAAGUCCAACAAGAUUUUCGAAUUGAAAGUUGGAUGGCAAAGACUUGAGCGGGAAACAAGACCAGGAAAGAAACCUCAACUCACUAGAAACAAACUUUAAGGACCCAGUCAGGUGUUGUAUGCUGAAAGUACCGAUCUUGAGAAGUCUUAGUUUAGUCAUCCUAUCAAAAGCUUUAACAAUUAAGCAUCCCUCAUAUGAGUGCCCCAAAUCUAGGAUUAUGCUUUUAACUGUUUCUGUACCCUGUGCAAAUCAAAGGGAAGGAAAAAGCAGAGAACCUUAGUUUAGAUUAUGAAGUUAAUGGUUGUUUCUUAAGGAGUUGUUUGAUAAUAAUUUUGUUUUCACUUUUCACUUUUGUUUUGAUUAUUUAUUUAGAAAUCUGAAAAUUGAAAACAUAUAACUUGUUUGUAAUUGUUUUCAAUUUUCAAUUAUUAAAAAAAUGAAAAUUAAAAAUUAAAAAUGGAAACAAAAGUGGUUAUCAAACGAGCUUAAGAAAUUGAUUUUGGUCAAAAGUUGAAGCUUUCUACUAAACAUUGCAUAAGAAGAGAAAUUAUCACCGUAUUUUUAGUUAUCACAUGAAGAACAUCUUCAUAACUCCACAACCUACUUCGUUUCCCAGGCUCUUCGAUAGAUUCUUGCUGGACGAUUUUCCGACCCAUUUCCUCUAGUAAAUCAUGCAUCUCCAGUUCCCCCUUCCAUGAGACAGUUACUAGAGCUCGAUCGAUUAAAACUUUUAUUCCAAUAUCAGGAUAGGAACCACAGCUGUGCAGAACUUCGGUUGCAUAGUCUUUUCUCAUUCCUUUAAAGAAACAUGCAAUAUCUAGAAAGAUAUCCUUCUCCGUGUCAUCUAGUCCAUCGAAGCUUGUUUUAAGCACAUCAUGAAUUCCCUUUUGCGGGAUUUUCUUUAUUUUUUCUAACUCAUUUUCCCACUGGCGUACAUUUUUGUUAUCAAGAAAAGCUCCCAAGACUUUGAGUGCUAAAGGCAGACCUUGAGCAUAUUUUACAGCACGCCUCGAGAGAUCAUCAUAAUCUCUGUUGGGUUGGUUUUUUCUAAAGGCGUACCGCCUAAAGAGUUCCAGAGCUCCAUUAUCACUUAAAAUCUUGGGAUUAUAUAUCUCAUCAGCUAUGCUUAGUAAUUGCGAAUCUCUGGUUGUUAUAAUAAUUCUGCUUCCACCACCAAAGGAAUGUGGUUCUUUAAGUAAAGCUUCAAUUUGUUCUAAUUCUUCCACAUCAUCAACAACAAUAAGAACUUUUCUCCGACCUAGGCUAUUUAACACCACCUGGAAACCUUUAUUCGAAACGUCGGAACUCCCCACCUUGUUGUUCGAGAUACUCGAUAGAAGUUCUGCCUGCAUAUAUAGUUUGCCAUGCUUUAUGAAACCUUCCUUGAAAUUUUCAAGAAAGCAACAAGCUUUAAAUCCACCAGAGAUUUCAUCAUAAACAGCUCUAGCGAUGGUUGUUUUGCCUAAACCACCCAUACCCCAUAUUCCAACAAUGCGAACAUCAUUAGUUUCAACUCCAGGAGGAUACAAUAAUGAAUGCAUGUUAUGCAUAUGAGAGUCCAUUUCAACCAAGCCAUUAUCUUUGCUUGAUGAUGAUGAGAUGUGGAUCAAUUUCUUAAAAACAUCUUCUACAAUUUUCUCAAUAAGCUCUGCAUCAUCCCUGUCAAAUUUAAAAAACAAUAUAAUAACACCACCAAAUAAUACUUAAUGGGUCUUUUUCAUCUGUUAGUUUAAAAAAAAUAGAAAUUAAAACUAAAACUAAAAUCUAAACGUUAUAAAAAUCCCAAAAAUUAAUAGGAAACUAAAACAAAUUAGAAUUUACUCAUAUUUCGCGAAUCCCAGCCGGAUAAACUGGUGGCAAUUGUAAGAGCGGAUCUCCAGCUCUGAACCUCUUCCAUUUCAGCGUUAGAAUCACGAUCGUGCUGAGCAAAAGCUUCCUCGAAUUUUCUCUUGAGUUUACGAACGUCAGACGGAUCAACUUCAUAGAAAAUGGGGAGUACAAUCUGGUUAUUGGUAUCCUUGCAUUUCAAGAUUUGCACGAGUUCUUUCAAGCACCAAGUGGAAGAAGCAUAGUCUUGAGAGAAAACUACAAUCGAAAGCCUUGACUCUCGAAUCGCUGUCAGGAGCUCAGAAAGGUGGUCGCCUUUUCUGAGCUUCUCGGCAUCAAUGAAGGCGUUGAUUGGUUUCUUAACCAGAGCGUUGUAGAGAUGGCUGACGAAGCCCCUGCGAGUGUCUUCCCCUCUGAAAUUGAUGAACACAUCGUAUUUGCAACCAAGGCCAGAAGAAGAUGAAGAAGAAGAAGCAGCCAUUAUUAAUCGAUCGCACCUGGUCAGCGACGAUCGAGCAGCUAAGACUAAGAGAAUUGUAAGUACAGAGAUACUCAAUAGAUCUACAAAUUGGAUCACCGGAAAUUAGUCUGAUCGAUACCAAGUCAAUGAGUCAAUGCAAAAGUAAAAAGGGGAAAGGGAAAUUAUGCUUUAUGUUUUUUCACAUCUUCUUCGGGGAAAUUUCGGUGUGAAAGGAAUCUUAUCCUUUUGAUUUUUUAACCGAAGCAAAUGCGAAGAAAAGGGUCAAAGUGGUAAAUUGAAUAUACACUUGCCUAUCCAACAACCUCUUAAUUUAAUAUAUUUAAUUGAGAAAAGUAGUUUAGAGGAAGAGGUAUUCAUCAAUUCCCCAUAAACUUGUGACCAUUGGCCAAUUUUCCCCCUCAACUUUAAUUUUGGCCAAUUUCUUCCCUAAACUCUCAUAAUUAGUUAAUUUCCCCCAUCAACUUUAAUUUGGUCAAUUUCCCCCCUCAACUCUCAUAAUUAGUCAAUUUGCACCCUACUGUUAAUUUUUUAUUUAUUUUUCAUCUAUUCUUUUUUUUUUCUUUCAAUCUUUCUAAUAACUUCCAACAAAAUACUAAAAUUAAUAUAAACUCACCUGCAUAAUAUAGGGUAAAAUGUACAAAAACAUAAUACCAUUAGUAUGUGAUAUGGGUUGAUUAUAAGAAAAAGUUAUGAAUCGGGUUUAAAUCAUGUAGAAGAAGAAACAAUAAUCCUAAACUCAUGGAUCAGACCUAUUUCAAUAAAAUGGGUUAUUCUUAAUAAGGAGUCGAAAAUUAUGAAUUGACUAGCCAUUUUUGCACUAAACCUCGAUUCUCCGCAAUUUACUUGAACUUAGCUUUCACUUUUAUAAAGAAAAUUGUAUUCACAUACAAAAAUGUACACAUCAAUCCUUUUCGUUAUCAAUUUUGUAUAGUAAAAAAUCAAAUAAAAUUACUCCAUACUAAUUUAUUAUGACUAAUAAUACUAUUUAUGAUAAAUUGUAAAAUUCUAAAUUUUAAUCUAUUUGUAAUAGGAUAAAGACAUAGGAAAAUGAUUAACAUACAUCUUAUUUAGUUUCUUACACACACUUGUUUAAUUAUGAUCAAAUUAAAAAAUUAACAGUAGGGUGCAAAUUGACUAAUUAUAAGAGUUGAGGGGGGAAAUUGGCCAAAUUAAAGUUGAGGGGGGAAAUUGACUAAUUAUGAGAGUUGAGGGGGGAAAUUGGCCAAAAUUAAAGUUGAGGGGGGAAUUGGCCAAUAGUCACAAGUUCAUGGGGGAAAUUGAUGAAUACCUCUUAGAGGAAUGAUGGUAUCUCUUUUUCUUCUCACUCAAUCUUCCAGCAUGCGAUUUAAUCAUGAUUAAAGCCAAGCUUAAUAAUAGGUCGUAUUAUUUAGGUCGUUUUGGAUUAUAAGUUUUUGUUGUGAACUUGUGAUACGAUAGUUAGAAAAUUAAAAAAAUUAUAAUUUAAAUAUAUGUGGUGAAAUCUGUUAAGAUUUAGAUUCAAAAUUGAAAAUUUCAUUAACUUCAUUAAUUAUUAGCACACGAAGCUUACAAAUGAAAUAAAAAUAAUAAAAUUAGUCUCACAUGUAAUCUCUAUGCGCUAACAAUUAAUAGAGAGAUUCAUUUUAACCUAAAAUGUGUGACUUACGUACUAAUAAUUAACAAAAUAUUGACAAAAUUUUCAAUUUUAAGCAUAAAUCUUAAUAAACUUCAUCUCAUAAACUUAAAUCCUAAUUCAACAAUCUUCUCAUUACCUUACCACUGCAAACUACCUUGCCACUACAAAAAUUAUUAAUCAAAUUAAACUUAUUAUUUACUUACAAAUACGUAACUCAAUCACCGAAAGCUAUCUCCGUUGCUAUCUCCGUUUCUUUGCUGAGUGGACAGCUGUCUCUUUGUCUUCUUUUGGCAGAUAGCUACUAGACUCCUAGUGGCCGGCCUAUUUUCCACAGCUGGUUAUAGGACUCAGUUGCUAUUCAAGAAGUGUUAUGUUGUAAUUCAAUAUUGAUGGAAAUCCAACAGAAUCUUCUUCGAAUUGUUGUGAGCAUUUUGGGAUAUUUUUUAAUCAUAUUCAUUUAUCGUUGUGGGAUCAAUUUUAUUAAAUAUUAUUUAUGUUUAAUUUUAAAUAAAUAAAUUUAAAAUAAAUUUUUAUCGCACGAUAUACUAUGAACGAAUACGAUUCAUAGAUCUCCAAUAUCUUCACAAGAAGAAUCCAAAAGGAUCCGGAUUCAAUGGAAAUAAGCUAAUUUUGAAUCAAAUAACAUUACUUUAUUUUGUAAGUAAAUUAAUUUUAAAUCAAACAACAUUCAUUUAUUAUGUAGCUAAUUAAUUUUGUAUGUGUCAUCAUAUAUAUUAGGCACAUUUUAUUAUAGGUGAUUUUGUGGUAUUCAUUUUCAUUUGUAAGUAAGAGGUCUUAAGUUCGAUUUUCAUCAAAAACGAAUUUAAACUAUAUUAUUGCUAGUCCAUUAUGAGGCCUAACCCACCCUCCUCCCCCUUAGUGUAGAUAGAUCGUUUGUUCAAAAAAAUAUAUAAUCAAAAUAGAAUGUGAAGCGAAACAAUAGAUCAACAUUAUUUAUGUUAAUUAUAAAUAGGUCAACCAUGUAUGUGAUACUUAAAUCAUUUAAAAUAAAAUAAAAAUUACAAAAUCUGCCAUUACAGCUGGCACACACUUUAAUUAACACUUUCUUUCUCAUAAUUUUUAUAUUUGGAAUAAGUCAUACGAAUCAAAUACUACAAUGUAUUAUCUGUUUUUUAAUUCUAUUUUUUACAUUUGGAUUCAGACACUGCGUUGUAGUGUCCAUUUACUGAUUUUGUUUUUUCCAUCACUCACAUGCCUCCUAUAUGUUCCUUUGUACAUUUGGAUUUAGACAAUGCAAUGCAGUGUCUGUUUCUUGGUUCUGGUUUUCUCUUUUGGAUUCAAACGCUGCAUUGCAAUGUAUGUUUCCUAGUCCUAUUUCUUUCAUCAUCCACACGUCUCCUACACUUCACACUUUCAUGCGACUCCUGAUUUUUACAUUUAGAUUCAGACAUUGUAAUGCAAUGUUCAUUUCCUACCUUUGAUUUUUACAUUUAAAUCUAGGGUUAAACUCUGUUUACUACCCUAAUGUUUCGUGGUUUUCUACAUUUAGUACAUCAAAUUUUUUUCAUCCCAGAGUCAUACCUAAAGUGUUAAUUUUGGGACAGUCUCAUACAUCCAUUAGUCAAACUGUUAGUUCUCACGUUAAGUGAUGAUGUGGCGCCCAUGUGGACAAUGACUGGGCCCCACGUGUCAUUAAAAAAUAUUAAAAUAAUUAAUUAUGUAACACCCGCCCCCACUUAUAAAAUUAUAUGUGUGUAAUAUUCCCUAAAUAUUCUGAAUCUAUCAAUUUUACCCUUUUUGGACUACCCUAUCAGGAUCUAAACAUUGGAUCCUUCUUUCUUUUCAAACUGCCACGUGGCAGCUCCCUAGCAAUUUCCCUGUCUUCUCUCUCUGUCCCCCCCCCGUGACUCCUUCUUUCUCUUCUUCUUUUUCUGUUUUCUUUUCUUUCUUCUGUCUGUCUCUCUGUCCCUCCCGACUCUAUCUCUUUCUCUCGUCUCUCUCUCAUAGCUCCCUCAUCUCUCUUCUCUGCAGCAACCCGCACGCACGCACCCAUCUCCCCCGCGCGAAGAAGACCCAUCUCCUUCUUCUCUCUCCCUCUGUCCCGUGCUGCGAGCCCAGAAACCGGAGAGGAACUCCGGCGAAACCUUUAUUUUCCCGGUUGGGACGAAUCGAAGCCGGGUGUAAGCACACCCAACUCCGGCGAUCCCGAGGGUGUCGGGGCUUUUUCCGGCCAUCUCCGAUCGUUCCACGACGAAAGGAAGGUGCAAUUAUUAACGGUGAUUCUGUUAUACCUUCUUGGUAUAGCUUUGCACCGUUGGUGUACGGUGAGUGGACCCCUUCAAAAUCAUGUUUUAACAAUAGAAAUGCAUACAUGAAAAGCAUGAUUUAAUACUUAUGUUUUACGAAGUACUUUAUGAGAUAUAUGCUUACUGAGGCUAGAUUGAAUUAUUACUAUUUUUCCUAUAACCCAUGUUCUUAUAGAAUAUCCGAUGGAUGACGAUAUGAUAUUAGAACAUGUUUAGAACACCUCUUUGUAGUAUAGAUGAUGGAUGACUUUAUACUACGAAGUUGUUUUUCAAUAUGUUAUGCUCAAUGGUUUUGUACUUACCUAGUGGUCCUUUCCGCUACGGGACGUAGGGAUAGAUUCCGGUCCGUCCCGAGCGACGGUUUGGUGUUGGCAUAGGGCCUGGAGUGUGUUUCCUCUGGCUAUUUAGCACAGGGACGGGGAGCCGGCAUGGGGUCUGUAGUGUAUUUUCCUCUGACUGUCUGCUCAGAGACGGGGAGCUGGCAUGGGGCCUGUAGAGUAUCGGACAAUUCACUAGUGUUUAUUACUUAUACAAGUUAUGAAUUUGAGAUAUUGCACGGCAUGCUAGGUUUCGGAAAAUCUAUUUUGAUCAUGAUAUAUGUGUUUUCAUUAAACCUGGGGGUUAGUAUGUUGAUAACUGUUUUAUUAUAUUUAUAUCAAACUGGUCCACUCAUGUUUGUUUUGCGCCCCCUUCAGGACCUACGAACGAGGAUUACGAUAUAAGCUACGAGGCUUUUCCCUAUCAGUGAUCCAGUGCUAUACUUCUUCUGCUUCGAUAUCUUUUGUAAUAUAGCACAUCUCUAUUUUAAAUUCUGUUUGUACUCUGUAAUAGAUGUAUGCUUUGACAUUAUGCGUGGAUCCUAAUGUUGUAAUUAGAAGUUGAAUUUGUAGUAUUAUUGUGGCUAGUCUUGCUGCCUGUUUUAGCUUAUUUGUGAGUUUUUACUUAAAUUAAUGGCUUUCGUCACCCUUUGGGUGUCGGCCAGCACGUGAUAAUCCCGAUGUCACGAGGACAUCGGGAUCGGGGCGUGUCAGAUUGGUAUCAGAGCAUGAUUCAUUCAGAGCAUACUUAGGAUUCUUUUCCACCAUUUGGUAAUUAUAAUUCCCCUUAUAUCCUUAAUUUUCUGUUGUUCUAAAUCUUUCUUGUUUCUUAUCAGAAUUAUGGAUCCCGCUGGUGGGCAUGUACCUCGUCGAGCUCGUUUUGGUAUAGGGGGAGGACUUGAGCAAUUGGCUAAUGUUUUGCGAACUGCCCUUACUGGUAGAUCAUCGAAUCGCACCUAUAUUGAGAUUGCUACCAGUCAUGGUAUUCCAGAGCUUAAGGUAGUGGGAGCCUGUCCGGAGGCUGAGGAAUGGUUAGAGCAGGUGGAAGAUACUCUGGAGGGUAUGAGAUGUCCACCAGGUGAGUGGGCGGAGACUGCUGGGUUUUUUCUUAAGGGUCCUGCAAAGAUUUGGUGGAAAGGAGUGAAGCAUUCUCGUCCACGAGGCACUUCGAUGACUUGGGUGGCAUUCCGGAAAGCUUUCAGUGCACAUUUUCUGAGUCCCAGUUAUCAGUUGAGGAUGAGACAACAAUUUCUGGAGUUUCGUCAAGGCGAUCUGAGUAUCACAGAGAUGGAUAAUACUUUUCGACGCCUGUCGAGACACCAUCCGGUGACUUAUGAUAACCCGAGUGAGAAGAUGGUUCAGUUGCUGGUUUGUUUGAACCCUGAUUAUCGUGAACGAGUGGCAGCUAUAAGGCACAGAAGUUAUGAGGAAAUGAUUGAGACUUGUUUGAGGAUUGAACAAUCUAGGUGGGAGACUCAGCACCAGGAGGAGCAGGCGCAGUAUCAGGAACCACCCAGAUAUCAGGAACAACCUCGGAACCAGAACCAGAGAGGUCAUGGUUUUAGAUCUCGGAGUGUGAGGAAAUCUGGUAGCUCUUCUAACUUUGUUGGCCCUAGACACUCUCAUUCCUUCAAACGUCAGGGUCAAGGUUCAGGUUCUUCCAGCGAGGGUUCGGGUAAUGAAUCAGGGAGGCGAUAUUUCAGUCAUUUUCGAUCGCAGGUUACGUGCCACAGGUGUGGAGGCAUGGGACAUAUUGCCAGAUUUUGCCCUUCAGGACAGCCUGCUGAGAGUUAUGCAUCGGUGCCGAGUUAUGGUGGAGGGAGUAAUCCGAGUUCUAGCUAUGGAGGUAAUUACACUCAGAGUUAUGGUGGAAGUGGAAGUGGAAGUCAGAAUACCCAAUUUUCCACUCAGAGACAGCCGCAACAGUUUGGUGCAGCUUCGAGUAGCCGCUCUCAGGGGAAUCGAGCAGGCCGUAAUAAUCAAGGUUUCAGAGCUCGUGGUAACCGUAACAGUGGUGGAGGACGUCAGUUUCAUGGACGUAUCAACGCCAUGACACAGCAGGAGGCUGAUCAGGAUCCUCAAGUCAUUACCGGUAUGUUACUUAUUUGUGGUAACUGGGCGAGGGUUCUAAUCGAUCCGAGUGCUACUUUUUCUUUUGUGUCUUCAUCUUUUGCACCGAAUUUAAAUGCACCACCUACACCUCUUGGUUAUGAUAUGCUUGUGCAAAUGCCGCAAGGGGAUCUGUUUUGUGCUCAGUGGGAGUAUAAAAGUUGCCCAGUGGUAGUGGAAGGGGAAAUGAUGGAGGCUAAUCUGGUCCCUUUUCAUUUGGCGGAGUUCGAUGUGAUUUUGGGGAUGGAUUGGCUAUCCAGGCACCGGGCCUAUGUCGCAUGUUGGGAGAAAUCUGUGACGUUCAAUCGACCUGGACGACCGUCAAUCACAUUUCAGGGUGAGCGACGAAUCCUUCCUAGUAGUAUUAUUUCCGCUAUUCAGGCUACUAGAUUGUUGAGUAGGGGAUGUGUGGGAUUCUUAGCUCAUGUAGUAACGAGGGAUAAAUCUUCGUUACGUCCUAAGGAUGUGCCAGUGGUGAAGCAUUACACCGAUGUUUUCCCGGAGGAUUUACCAGGGUUACCGCCUGCGAGGGAAAUUGAAUUUACCAUCGAUUUACUUCCAGGAACAGACCCUAUCUCUUUAGCACCUUAUCGCAUGGCACCGGCGGAGUUGAGGGAAUUGAAGGUUCAACUUCAGGAAUUGGUGGAUAAAGGUUACAUCCAACCCAGUAUGUCUCCCUGGGGUGCUCCUGUUUUAUUUGUUAAAAAGAAGGAUGGAUCGAUGAGACUUUGCAUCGACUAUCGGCAGUUAAACCGGGUGACGGUGAAGAAUCGAUAUCCUUUGCCUCGGAUCGACGAUCUGUUCGACCAGCUGAAGGGUGCUCAGAUAUUCUCUAAGAUAGAUCUUCGCUCAGGUUAUCACCAGUUGUUAAUUCGGGAGGGAGAUGUACCGAAGACUGCUUUCCGCACUAGGUAUGGACACUUUGAAUUUCGUGUCAUGCCUUUCGGACUGACGAAUGCACCUGCAGCAUUCAUGGAUUUGAUGAACAGAGUUUUCAGACCGUAUUUGGAUCGGUUUGUGAUUGUGUUCAUUGAUGAUAUUCUGAUCUUUUCCAAGAGUGUCAGCGAGCACAAGAAGCAUUUGAGGUUGGUGUUGGAAAGGUUGAGCAGUGAGCAGUUGUAUGCUAAGUUUAGCAAGUGUCAGUUCUGGCUAACCCAAAUUAGCUUUCUCGGUCAUGUAGUAUCUGCUGAGGGGAUUAGUGUGGAUCCUCAGAAGGUGUCAGCAAUAACUACGUGGGAGCAACCGAGGAAUGUUACUGAAGUGAGGAGUUUUCUAGGUCUGGCUGGCUAUUACCGAAGAUUUGUUAAAGGUUUCUCAGCCAUUGCCUUACCUCUGAAUAAGUUGACUCGAAAGGAAGUGGAGUUUAAGUGGGAUGAAGAUUGUGAGCGGAGUUUUCAGGAACUGAAGCGAUGUCUUACUCAAGCUCCCGUUCUUACUCUUCCAGACGAUAGCGGUGAGUUUGAUAUCUACACGGAUGCAUCAUUAUCAGGUUUGGGUUGUGUACUGAUGCAGCAUGAUAAAGUCAUUGAUUAUGCUUCCAGACAGCUCAAAAUUCACGAGAGAAACUAUCCCACUCAUGAUUUGGAACUUGGUGCAGUAGUGUUUGCUUUGAAGAUCUGGAGACAUUACUUGUACGGUGAGAAGUGUCGUAUCUUUACUGAUCAUAAGAGCCUCAAGUAUAUCUUUACUCAGAGGGAUUUGAAUUUGAGGCAGAGAAGAUGGAUGGAACUUAUCACUGAUUAUAACUGCACGAUCGAGUAUCAUCCCGGACAUGCCAAUGUAGUGGCAGAUGCACUUAGUCGGAAAUAUCAUGGAUAGCUUGCAUCUCUCCAAGCUAUUCAUGUUCCACUACUAUUUUCUCUUCGAGAAACAGGCUUGUCGGUGAGACCGGGUGAGCAAUGAGCGUGGUUGGCAAAUUUCCAAGUUAGACCUGUUUUGGUGGAUAUAGUCAUAGAAGCUCAGGAGCUUGAUCAGGAGAGUGCCAACAUUAAGGUCUCGGUGGAAAAAGGAGAAGAGAAGCAUUUUAUCAUCCGAAGUGAUGGAGCCUUGAUGUGGGAAAACAGAUUGUAUGUUCCUCAUGAUAACGAAGCAGUGAAAAGAGCAAUUCUGGAUGAAGCACAUUUGUCAGCUUAUGCCAUGCAUCCGGGAAGUACUAAACUGUAUCGCACUAUCCGUCUGUUCUAUUAUUGGUUGGGAAUGAAGCGGGAUGUGGCGGAUUAUGUGAGUAGAUGCAUCAUUUGUCAACAAGUAAAGGCAGAGAGGCAAAGACCUGGAGGAUUGAUGCAGAAUCUUCCGAUACCAGCAUGGAAAUGGGAAGACAUCACCAUGGAUUUUGUGUAUGGUCUGCCGAGGACGCGGUCGAGAUUGGACGGCAUAUGGGUAAUUGUUGAUCGACUGACUAAGACCGCUCAUUUCUUACCUGUUCGACAGACCUAUUCAAUGGAGAAAUUAUCGAAGUUGUUCAUCGAUAAUAUUGUUAGACUUCAUGGUGUACCUGUCUCUAUUGUUUCAGACAGAGAUCCCAGAUUUACUUCCAAAUUUUGGAAAGCUUUUAAUACUGCCAUGGGUACUCAGUUGCUGUUUAGUACUGCUUAUCAUCCACAGACUGACGGUCAGUCCGAGAGGACAAUACAAACAUUGGAGGACAUGUUGAGAGUGUCUGUUCUUCAGUGGAAGGGUAGUUGGGAUAACUAUCUGCCGUUGGUUGAAUUUGCAUACAACAACAGCUACCAUUCGAGUAUUGGUGUGGCACCUUAUGAAGCCUUGUAUGGGAGAGUGUGUCGAACGCCGUUGUGUUGGGCAGAGGUCGGCGAGCGAGUAUUGUUGGGACCGGAGAUUGUAGACACUACCAAUGAGAACAUCCAGCUGAUAAAGAGAAAUCUCAAGGCAGCUCAAGACCGACAGAAAAGCAUAGCGGACAAACAUUCCAAAGAUCGUGAGUACAAGAUUGGUGACUUUGUAUUCUUGAAGUUGUCUCCCUGGAAGGGUGUGGUUCGUUUUGGUAAACGAGGAAAGUUGAGUCCUCGAUAUGUUGGUCCUUAUCAGAUUACGGAGAGAAUUGGUGCAGUUGCCUAUAGAUUGGAGUUGCCACCGGAGUUGUCUCAGAUUCACAAUGUUUUCCAUAUUUCUAUGCUUCGGAAAUAUGUAUCAGAUCCCUCUCAUGUUAUUCAGCUAGAGCCGCUGGAAGUAAGUCCGGAUGUUAGUUAUGUUGAAGAACCAGUGGCUAUUCUUGACCAGCAGAAUAAAGUGUUGAGGAACAAGGUCAUUCCGUUGGUGAAAGUGUUGUGGAGGAACCACGCUACUGAAGAAGCGACGUGGGAAACGGAAGACCUGAUGAGGAGUCAGUAUCCGUAUUUAUUUGCUUGAAGUUGUAAUUUCGGGGACGAAAUUUUUAUAAGGGGGGUAGAUUGUAACACCCGCCCCCACUUAUAAAAUUAUAUGUGUGUAAUAUUCCCUAAAUAUUCUGAAUCUAUCAAUUUUACCCUUUUUGGACUACCCUAUCAGGAUCUAAACAUUGGAUCAUUCUUUCUUUUCAAACUGCCACGUGGCAGCUCCCUAGCAAUUUCCCUGUCUUCUCUCUUUGUCCCCCCCCCCGUGACUCCUUCUUUCUCUUCUUCUUUUUCUGUUUUCUUUUCUUUCUUCUGUCUGUCUCUCUGUCCCUCCCGACUCUAUCUCUUUCUCUCGUCUCUCUCUCAUAGCUCCCUCAUCUCUCUUCUCUGCAGCAACCCGCACGCACGCACCCGUCUCCCCCGCGCGAAGAAAACCCAUCUCCUUCUUCUCUCUCCCUCUGUCCCGUGCUGCGAGCCCGGAAACCGGAGAGGAACUCCGGCGAAACCUUUAUUUUCCCGGUUGGGACGAAUCGAAGCCGGGUGUAAGCACACCCAACUCCGGCGAUCCCGAGGGUGUCGGGGCUUUUUCCGGCCAUCUCCGAUCGUUCCACGACGAAAGGAAGGUGCAAUUAUUAACGGUGAUUCUGUUAUACCUUCUUGGUAUAGCUUUGCACCGUUGGUGUACGGUGAGUGGACCCCUUCAAAAUCAUGUUUAACAAUAGAAAUGCAUACAUGAAAAGCAUGAUUUAAUACUUAUGUUUUACGAAGUACUUUAUGAGAUAUAUGCUUACUGAGGCUAGAUUGAAUUAUUACUAUUUUUCCUAUAACCCAUGUUCUUAUAGAAUAUCCGAUGGAUGACGAUAUGAUAUUAGAACAUGUUUAGAACACCUCUUUGUAGUAUAGAUGAUGGAUGACUUUAUACUACGAAGUUGUUUUUCAAUAUGUUAUGCUCAAUGGUUUUGUACUUACCUAGUGGUCCUUUCCGCUACGGGACGUAGGGAUAGAUUCCGGUCCGUCCCGAGCGACGGUUUGGUGUUGGCAUAGGGCCUGGAGUGUGUUUCCUCUGGCUAUUUAGCACAGGGACGGGGAGCCGGCAUGGGGCCUGUAGUGUAUUUUCCUCUGACUGUCUGCUCAGAGACGGGGAGCUGGCAUGGGGCAUGUAGAGUAUCGGACAAUUCACUAAUGUUUAUUACUUAUACAAGUUAUGAAUUUGAGAUAUUGCACGGCAUGCUAGGUUUCGGAAAAUCUAUUUUGAUCAUGAUAUAUGUGUUUUCAUUAAACCUGGGGGUUAGUAUGUUGAUAACUGUUUUAUUAUAUUUAUAUCAAACUGGUCCACUCAUGUUUGUUUUGCGCCCCCUUCAGGACCUACGAACGAGGAUUACGAUAUAAGCUACGAGGCUUUUCCCUAUCAGUGAUCCAGUGCUAUACUUCUUCUGCUUCGAUAUCUUUUGUAAUAUAGCACAUCUCUAUUUUAAAUUCUGUUUGUACUCUGUAAUAGAUGUAUGCUCUGACAUUAUGCGUGGAUCCUAAUGUUGUAAUUAGAAGUUGAAUUUGUAGUAUUAUUGUGGCUAGUCUUGCUGCCUGUUUUAGCUUAUUUGUGAGUUUUUACUUAAAUUAAUGGCUUUCGUCACCCUUUGGGUGUCGGCCAGCACGUGAUCAUCCCGAUGUCACGAGGACAUCGGGAUCGGGGCGUGUCAAAUUAAAUAAAAGUUAUAAAAAAAAAACCGAAUCUGCAACCCAGAAGAAGAACCUUCUGGGUACGUGUUUGCAGUUGCGGGGCGAAUUCUAGAUCUUAAUUGGAUUAUUAGUUUCUGUUGUAAUAUGGUAGUUAGAAGAUUAAAAAAAACUAUGAUUUAUGCUUCAUAUGCUAACAAUUAACAGAUAAUUAAUGAAAUUUUUAAUUUUAAAUCUAAAUCCUAACAUAUUUUACAAUAGAAGCUUAAAUCUUAAUUUACUCAAUCACAUGGAUUAUUUUAUAACUACCUUACUAUUAAUUCAAUUAAACCUAUUAUUUCUACGAAAACUAACAAAAAUUUCAAAAAAAACUUUAGUUUUAAUGAAAAAAGAAAAAUGAAGAUUUGGUAAAUAAUACCAAAAAAAAAAUAAAAAUAUAAAUUUUCAUUAAAAAUGAACAGCAUCAAAAGUGUUUUAUUAAUACUCCAAUUAUUUAUUUACAAAUACGUGACUAAAUGAAAGGGAGCACUCAAAAUGAUGAAAAGCAGGAGCACCGAAGGCUAUCUCCGUUUCUUUGUUGAGUGGACAGCUGUCUCUUCGUCUUCUUUUGGCAGAUAGCUCCUAGUGGCCAGCCUAUAUUCCACAGCUGGUUAUAGGAUUCGGUUGCUAUAUAAGAAGUGUUUUGUUGUAAUUCAAUAUCGAUAGAAAUCCAAUAGGAUCUUUUUCAAAAUUUUGUGCGGAUUUUGGUAUGUUCGUAAAUCGUAUUUGUUCAUAUUAUACGCUCAUUUUUCAUGGAAUAUUAUUUUUGUUUAAUUUUAAAUAAAAUAAUUUAAAAUAAUUUUUUAUUGUAACAUGUACAAUGAACGGAUAUGAAUUGAUUCACAGAUCUUCAAAAUCCUUACAAAGAAAAUCCAAAAAUAAUCCGAAUUCAAUGGAGAUAAGUUAAUUUUGAAUCAAAUAACAUUAGGAAAAAAAAUUAACAUUAGACGGUUUUAAAUAAUUUAUUGUAUAUUUUUAGGGAAUUGUUAUUAGCACUUUAAAAAUCUCAUUUUACACUCCAAACUUUUUAUAUUAGAAAAGAAAAAUACACUUAUGAGGAAUGUAGAAUAAGAUUUUUGAAUUAACCAUGCAAAAAUGUAAUGUUAAAGCAUCAUGUCAUACAGACCUCUUCAAGGUACCAGAAAUUUUUGCACUAAAGAUGUCACAAGCAGCUGAUAUGAAGCUGCAUUUUCUGUGAGUUGAAAUUUUGUCAAUAUAAUCGAUCACCUGAAGAGAGAGAGAGAGAGAAAGACAGUGAUGUCCAGAGAUGUGAGCCUAAAUGCUGAGUGUGUAAAAAAAGAAGAUUAAAUGGAUAGCAAGAAUAUACAACUUUAAUGCUGAAAAGAACAUUGAAUAUGAUGCUCAUUCAUCAUUGCCAUUGAACGUGUACCUUCUUCUUUUCCUCUUUCUCAAAAGCAAGUAGAGCCUUGAAGACUUGCCUAUAUGAUCCAUCAUCACAACCAGGCAAAGUUGUUUUAAUCAUAGCAACAAUGGCUCUAACUAACUACCUGCCAUAAGAAACAUGCUACAUCAACAAGAUCACAGAGUGUACCAGAAACCGUAAUGUAGCAAAAUCUUAGAUAAAAUAGCUGGCCAAAAGGGAAUGGAAAAGCAAGCACAAAAAACAAUGAAAAGGACCAGUGAUGCCAAAAUUCUGGUGGAAAAGGUGAAAAGCUUAUGUCUAUUACAGUUCUUGUAUGCAUUCUUUAUAACUUAAGUUCUACGUAGCAAAAACCACCUUAUGCACAACAAUAUUGGAAAAAUUAGAUACAUACAACUGAGAAGAUAGGUUUUCAUAAUCUGGACAAGUGCUAACUACCUUCUUCCUAUAAACUGCCACUCCAUGAACAUUAAAUGGUAUUUUCCUUUCACGCAAGGCUGUCUGGAAGACUUUUCCUGAUACCUGUAGAAUAAAUUACAAAAGAAAAUGUGACCAAAAUGUCUUAUAUGAUUCACCUCAUUCACAUUAGCACUAAGGCAAGUAAGCUUGACCUGCCUCCGGUAAAGGAUUGCUAUAUUUCCAUAGGAGCACCCUGCUUCUGACCGUUUAGAUGCAGUCUCCAGGAUCUUGUCGACAACAAAGGCGCAUUGUGCAUCCUCAUUGUGACUUUCCUUGAUAAUUACCUACAUUUUGCCAGUAAAACCAGUGUCACUAACUAAAAGGACUGAAAAAUGACAUCAAAUUGUACUUGUUGGAGCAAGGAAAGAUUAAGUACCUUAGACCCAGAAGAAUUGUCCGUGUCAACAUUCUUUAGUUGGCAUCACUUCUUAUUGUUUUUUAUAACAGAAGAUGCAGCUUCCACACAAUAUAGCGUGUGGACCGAAAGUUCUUAUUAAGCCUAAUCUGAACCAUAAAGUUAUGUCAAAUCCCACAGAACCCCAUAAAAUAAAACUUACUUUCCUGUAAUUGUACAAUAUAUUUGUUCUAUACUAUAUAUAACGAAAAAAGACACCGUGAAUGACAUAAGAUAACAUAGCAGUCAAGUGCGAAGCGAACCUCUUUGUAAUUUGAAAAAUCUUUACGAAAAGAAUCAAAUCCAGAAAUGUCCGCCCCAUUGAAACUGAAAAUGGACUGCAGCAGGAUAUAUGUUAUUUGAUUUAGAACAGAUAAGGGCUGGAUUAGAAUGAGCUGAGAGAGGGAGAGAGGGAGAGACGGAGCAAUAACAUUGGAUUUCCAUAAUAAAUCAACAACAUGCCUGAUCAUCAUCACCAACAAUGGUUAUGUGGUUAUGAGAGGCGAGAAUCCGCAAAAGUCUAUAUUGCAUAGCACUUGUGUCUUGAAACUCGUCUAUUACAAUAGCUUUCCAUGACUCCUGGCACUCCUUCAACACUAAUUAAGAGAACACCAUGUAUCAACAUUUAGCAUUACUUGUAAAACUAGAUAAAUCAAUGAAAUAUACUUAGAUGAUAGAGACCUUCAGGAAAAUCACUUAGCAGCUUCACAGAGCAGCUAAUUAAGUCGUGGUAGUCCAAAGCGUUGCACGAUUUCAAGAUAUCAUUGUAAUUCCUAAGAAUUUCACCCUGAUUCAGAUUGAGAGCUAAAACUCAUAAGCAAUAGUUUCAAAGAACUGAAAUGAUAUCUGAAAUUCUAGUUCUGAGCGUACUCCUGUCACAUCACCCAUUCUUUGGCAUUCAGCGGGAGUUCUUUCCAGAAGCUUUUGCCUGAAACAUAAAUAAAUUUAUUGCCUAAUGCCACAUAUUGUAAGACACACCAUUGUAUUGGUCACUCUAGCUAAGCACAAUGAGCUUCAGUGGCAUACGGCGGUCACACAACACGCCGGAUGCACUCUUCCACUUCAUCCAUCCAGCUUGUAUUCUAUGGUUGAGAUCUCCAUCUAAUUCUCCGUUCUUUUGCAAAAUAGAUCCUAGGUAACGAAAACGGUCGCUCUUUGAUAUUUCUUGAUCUCCGAUCCUCACCCCUAAAUCGUUUUGGCCUCCAUUUGCACUGAACUUGCACUCCAUAUAUUCUGUCUUUGAUCGGCUUAGGCGAAAACCUUUAGAUUCCAACACUUCUCUCCAAAGGUUAAGCUUUGCAUUUACCCCUUCCUGAGUUUCAUCUAUCAACACUAUAUCGUCUGCGAAAAGCAUACACCAAGGAAUAUCACCUUGAAUAUGUCCUGUUAACUCAUCCAUUACCAACGCAAAAAAGGUAAGGACUUAAGGAUGAGCCUUGAUGUAAUCCUACAGUUAUGGGAAAGCUUUCGGUUUGUCCUUCAUGAGUUCUUACGGCAGUCUUUGCUCCUUCAUACAUAUCUUGUAUAGCUUGGAUAUAUGCUACUCGUACUCCUUUCUUCUCUAAAAUCCUCCAAAGAAUGUCUCUUGGGACCCUAUCAUACGCUUUUUCCAAAUCUAUAAAGACCAUGUGUAAAUCCUUUUUCCCAUCUCUAUAUCUUUCCAUCAAUCUUCGUAAGAGAUAGAUUGCCUCCAUGGUUGAGCGCCCUGGCAUGAACCCGAAUUGGUUGUCCGAAACCCGUCUCUUGCCUCAAUCUAUGCUCAAUGACUCUCUCCCAGAGCUUCAUUGUAUGACUCAUUAGCUUAAUACCACUAUAGUUCAUGCAAUUUUGUACAUCGCCCUUAUUCUUGUAGAUAGGCACCAAAGUGCUAAUUCGCCACUCAUUCGGCAUCUUCUUCGUUUUCAAAAUCCUAUUGAAAAGGUCAGUGAGCCAUGUUAUACCUGUCUCUCCCAAAACUUUCCACACUUCGAUUGGUAUAUUGUCUGGGCCUACUGCUUUUCUAUGUUUCAUCUUCUUCAAAGCUACAACCACUUAUUCCUUCCGGAUUCCACGAUAAAAAAAGUAGUUUCUACACUCUUCUGAGUUACUCAACUCCCCUAAAGAAGCACUCAUUUCAUGUCCUUCAUUGAAAAGAUUAUGAAAAUAACCUUUCCAUCUGUCUUUAACCGCGUUCUCUGUAGCAAGAACCUUUCCAUCCUCAUCCUUAAUGCACCUCACUUGGUUUAGGUCCCUUGUCUUCUUUUCCCUUACUCUAGCUAGUUUAUAGAUAUCCAACUCUCCUUCUUUGGUAUCUAGUCGCUUAUACAUAUCGUCAUAAGCCGCUAACUUAGCUUCUCUCACAGCUUUCUUCGCCUCUUGCUUCGCAUUUCUAUACCUUUCACCAUUUUCAUCGGUCCUAUCCUUGUAUAAGGUUUUACAACAUUCCUUCUUAGCCUUCACCUUUGCUUGUACCUCCUCAUUCCACCACCAAGAUUCCUUUUGGUGUGGGGCAAAGCCCUUGGACUCUCCUAAUACCUCUUUUGCUACUUUUCGGAUACAACUAGCCAUGGAAUCCCACAUUUGAUUAACUUCCCCCUCUCUAUCCCACACACACUGGGUGAUUACUUUCUCUUUGAAAAUGGCUUAUUUUUCUUCUUUUAGAUUCCACCAUCUAGUCCUUGGGCACUUCCAAGUCUUGUUCUUUUUUCUCACUCUUUUGAUAUGUACAUCCAUCACCAACAAGCGAUGUUGAUUAGCCACGCUCUCUCCUGGUAUAACUUUGCAAUCUUUACAAGUUAUACGAUCCCCUUUCCUCAUUAGAAGAAAAUAUAUUUGUGUUUUUGACGACCCACUCUUGUAGGUGAUCACAUGUUCUUCUCUCUUCUUAAAGAAGGUGUUGGCUAAGAAGAGAUCAUAUGCCAUUGCAAAAUCCAAGAUAGCUUCCCCAUCCUCGUUUCUCUCCCCAAAACCAUGGCCACCAUGAAAACCUCCAUAGUUGCCUGUCUCCCUGCCCACGUGUCCAUUUAAAUCUCCUCCUAUAAAUAACUUCUCCGUCUGAGCAAUUCCUUGCACCAAGUCUCCAAGGUCUUCCCAAAAUUUCUCCUUCGAACUCGUAUCCAACCCUACUUGAGGUGCGUACGCACUAAUCACAUUGAUAAGUUAUUGUCCUAUUACAAUCUUGAUUGCCAUGAUUCUAUCUCCUACCCUCUUGACAUCUACAACAUCUUGUGUCAAGGUCUUGUCCACGAUGAUGCCAACACCGUUUCUCGUUCUAUUUGUGCCCGAAUACCAUAGUUUAAACCCUGAGUUUCUAGAUAUAUAUAUAUAUAUAUAUAUAUAUCAAAUGGCCCCUAAAUGCUAUUAAAAAUCUCAAAAAUUAACAGGAAACUAAAACAAAUUAGAAUUUAUUCAUGGUUUCGCAAUUCCCAGCCGGGUAAACUGGUGGCCGUUGUAAGAGAGGGCCUCCAGCCGGAUAAACAUUUUCGAGUUAUAUGAUAUUUGUAUAGCAAAAAUACUUUAAUAGCAAGUGCGCGUGAGUGAAGAAAUUGAACUUACUUAUAUUCUUUCGAAUCCCAACCGGAAAAAUUGCAGGCUCUGGGAAGAGCGGACCUCCAGCUCUGCACCUCCUUCACGUCAACGUUAGAACGACCUUCAUGUUUAGCAAAAGCUUCUGCAAAACUUCCCUCGAGUUUACGAAUAUUGGACGGAUCGACUUGGUAGAAAAUGGGGAAUACAAUCUGGUUCUUGGAAUGGUUGCAUUCCAAGAUUUCCACGAGUUCUUUCAAGCACCAUGUGGAUGAAGCAUAGUUUUCAGAGAAAACUACAAUCGAAAUCCUUGACUCUCGAAUCGCUGUCAGGAGCUCGGAAAGGCGGUCGCCUUUUCUGAGGUCUUCGGCAUCAAUGAACGUGUUGAUUGGUUUCUGACGCAGAGCUUUGUAGAGAUGGCUGACGAAGCCCGUGCGAGUGUCUUCCCCUCUAAAAUUGAUGAACACAUCGUAUUCCCAACCAAGGCAAGAAGAAGAAGAAGAAGCAGCAAUUAAUCGAUCGCACCUGGGCAGCGAUGAUCGAGCAGCUUAAGACUAAGAGAAUUGUAAGUACAGAAACACUCAAUAGAUCUACAAAUUGGAUCACCAGAAAUUAGUCAAUGAGUCAAUGCAAAAGGGAAAAGGGCAAUUAUGCUUUUUGCGUUUUCACAUCUUCUUCAGGAAAUUUCGGUGUGAAAGGAAUCCGCAUACUUUUGAUUUUUCAACCCAAGAAAAUGCGAAGAAAGGGGACAAAGUAGUAAAUUUAAUCUACAGUUGCCUACCCAACAACCUCUUGAUUUAAUAUAUAUUUAAUUAGGAAAAGUAGUUUAGAGGAAGGAUGGUAUCUCCUUUUCUUCUCUCUCGAUCAGUCAAUCUUCCCGCGUGCGAUUUAAUCAUGAUUAAAGCUAAGCUUAAUCUUAGAUCGUAUUAUUUAGGUCUAAUUGGAUUCUUAAUUCUUGUUGUGAUAUAGUAGUUGGAAGAUUAAAAAAAAUUAUGAUUUAAAUGUUUGUGGUGAAGUCUGUUACGAUUUAGUUUCAAACUUGAAAAUUUCGUUAACUCCGUUAAUUAUUAGCACAUGAGACUCACAAAUGAAACUAAAAAUAUAAAGUUAGCCUCACAUGUAAUCUUCACGUGCUAACAAUUAAAAGAGAGUUCCGUUUUAGCUUAAUAUAUGUGACUCACGUGUUAAUAAUUAACGGAAUAUUAACAAAAAUUUUAAUUUUAAGCAUAAAUUCAAAUAAACUUCACCACAUAAGCUUAAAUUCUAAUUUAGAUAUCUUCUAACUAUCUUAUCACCAUAAAAAUUAUAAUCAAAUUAAACUUAUUAUUUAUUUAUAAAUGCGUAAUUAAAUCACAAAGUGUUGAAUGAAAGGGAGCACUCCAAAUGAUGAAAGAUGUGUGAUAUCCACACAUCUUUUUUUUUACUUUUUACACAUCGUUUUAAUUUUCGACUGUCGGAUCGAAUUAAUUGAAGAAAAUCAAAGGAUAAAAAUCAACAAAGGGUGUGCAAGAAGUAAAAAUGAGUGUGUGGAUAGUCAUCCCAUGAAAAGCGGGAGCAUCGAAAGCUAUCUCCGUUUCUUGUUGUCUAUUUGUCUUCUUUUGGCAGAUAGCUCCUAGGGACCGGCCUAUUUUCCACAGCUGGUUAUAGGACUCAGUUACUAUAGAAGGAGUGUUUUGUUGUAAUUCAAUAUCGAUGGAAAUCCAACAUAAUCUUUUUCAAAUUUUUGUGAGGAUUUUGGGGUGUACGUAAAUUGAUUAUGUUCAUCGUAUAUUAUGUGACCAUUUUUUAUCAAAUACUAUUUGUGUUUCAUUUUAAAUAAAAUAAUUUAAAAUAAUUUUUAACUGCAAGAUGUACAAUGAACGGAUAUAAUUCACAAAUCUCCAAAAUCCUUACAAAAAAAUCCGAAAAAGAUCCAAAUUCAAUGGAAAUAAGCUAAUUUUGAAUCAAAUUACAUUACUUUAUUUUGUAAAUAAAUUAAUUUUGAAUCGAACAACAUUCAUUUAUUAUGUAAGUAAUUCAUUUUGUAUGUAUCAUCAUAUAUAUUAGGCACAUUUUAUCAUAGGUGAUUUUGUGAAAAAUUAAUAAAAAGUUACAAUAUUAACAAUAGAUCAAUAAUAUUUAUGUUAAUUAUAAAUAGGUUAACCAUAUGUUGUGAUACUUAAAUACAUUUAAAAUAAAUAAAAAUUACAAAAUCUGACAUCCACUGCGACGUAGGAGCCACGGUGCAGCCCAAACUUUGCAGAUAAGAAAUCUGGUAAUUCACAGCAUGACAAACAAAUUACUGGGUCUCCUGACCAUCGUUGAUGCCAAUGUGUGCACAAGGAAAGGAGUAAGGUAAUCAAAUGCGUUAGUCUUGUGUACCUGUUUCGGUGUUGGUUUGGAUGAACCCAUUGAGUUCUCGAUCCUUAACUUCUGGAAAUGCUCCUGAAAGCAUAAAUAUAUGUACGGAUUUAAACCAAUGACAAAUGGACAUAAUUUACGGACAAUGAUUGAAGAAAAUACAGAUAUAAACGCCUCAGUAUUCCAUUGACGAAAGUUCUAGAUUUGAUGAAUCAAAAGUCCCACGUUGAGACUGCGUUAAGGCAAAUGGUUCUCAAAACCUGUUUUUCCCUCAUCAAAUGAGCGCGUUGAUCUGCAGGUAUUUUCUGCCAUCUCAAAACCUGUUACAAAGAAAUAUAACGUUGAUGUCGAGCUGGAUAGCAUAUUAUACCAAUUAUGUGUACAAACCUAUUGAAAUAAAGUAGCUGUAGUUGCAUAUUACGACAGAUAUUAACGAAAACAAAAGAAGGCUCGCCUAUUCAAGAUCCUAAAUCCCGUGAUUCUUUUGUUUUUAGUUUCAGAAAUUUUCAGAGCAAACUGGAAAGUACCAAGAUACUUACAUAUUGGGCAUAAUGAAAUGCAUCUUCAUCUUUCAAGCAAGAUUUGAGUGAGCGCAAACCGUCCUGAGAGUUACAUAAGUCAAUCAGUAAUAUAAAAACGUAGACGCAUCACAUCCAAACACAAGUAUUCAAACACCAACAACUUCUUCAUGCGGUGAGGCAUGUUAAAAAAUAGGGAAGAACAGUUAUUGAAUAGGAAGUUAAAGGACUAAAUUUAUGACCUUGUGUUUGUAGUUCUUGGCUCGUAUGCGUUCAUCUAUUACAAAACCAAUCUGUAACAGGUACAACAGAAAAUAUAAGCAGUAGUCAGAACAUUAAUCUUCGGCAUUCACAUUGCCACCAAUCCAAAGUUAAAAGUCUGAAGGCAAAACAGUAUGAUUCUUAUCUCUCAAACAAAAAUGAAACUAUACCCCGGUCUCAGACAUAAAUGAAAUAAGUUCUACUGCCUCAACUGAGUACUGUGAUUAUAUAUAAAUCCAAUUCACCUUGUCAAGUAAUCUCUUAGGAUCUUGAAAUGCUUCCUUCUUAGCCCAGUCAUUAAAUACAUGCGAGAAAAUUGAUCUCUCAUCCACACUGAAUCUAUUGCACAGUGACAGAAGAAUAAAGUUAAACAUGAACAUAACCAACCAAAAUGCUAGUUAUAAUAGUACACCCAUAAUUGCAAGCAAAACCUUUUUAAGAAGCCAUUUCCAUGGUUUUCCUCCCAAAUUCCAUCAAUUCUGCAGAGGCAACGUCAAAUUUACUAUGAUGGAGAUCAUUUUGCACUGUAAUAACUUCAGAAGGUAGGAGAUUUGGUUUCAGAUCAUCUGUUGACGGAGUAGUUUCUUUUGAAGUGUCAUGAUGCUUUUGAUUGCAAGCCUUCUGUACUUACGUCAGCCUACAAAACAAAAAUUGCAUUCAUCCACACUAGACUUAAUAAGAUUAGAAACACUUCAGAUUCUUCAUUAUUUGUAUUUUUGACUAAACAGCAGAACAACUGAGGAUAAUGAACAGUAAUACACACCUGGACUUCUCGUAGAUGAUUUGGAAUUUCUUUCAGAAAUCGCGAAGGUUGAAGCAUCUGAAGGAGUCACCUUCUCAGUCAGAGCAACAACAACAAAUAAGGAGGACAGGAAUUCAAGCUAAAACGAACCUGCCAACUGGAAUCCAUCGUAACAUAAAGAAUGAAAAGCUUUUUUCGAGCACGAGUCAUUGCAACAUAUAAUAGGCGUCUCUCCUCCUAUGAUUAGAGUGGGAUUAUUGAGUUAUUGACCAAAAGAAAAAAGAGUGGGAUUAUUGUGAAAAACAUGUCAAAGCUCUGCAUAUAACUGAAAAAUGUUGAACAAUUUACCACACACCUCAAUGGAGGUCCCAUUUUCUUUUGCAACCCCAUUGAAUUCAUGCAACAACGGGAUCUCAGAUUCAUUUACCUGUGUUAUUGGCAUGAGCAUUAAAGCAAGCUAAGAUGAUUUGAAGAGGUUGAUAUCGUCAUGAAUAUAGUAGAACAGAAUACCAAUUUCAAGCCAUCAAUUAGGUAUAGCAUUGGCAUGUUUAAUCCGUAAAUCUAAUGACAGAACACCUCAACUCUACACAUAAAUAAAUAAACAACCUGAAAAAUAUUACAGCCACAUGUUAAGGCAAAUACCUUAAUUAUGAAAACUAUAUCCCACUCUAAACCUUUUGACUGCAAGAGAAUGAAAAAGAAAGACAGUAAGCCAAGAAUGUUUUGUAGAACUCCAAAGGAAGUCCAAUAGGGAAAUCAUCGCAAGUAUAAGAGUUAGCGAGGUUCGCAUAAGAGGAUAUCAAAAAGAUCUAGAACCUGAUGAAUAGUAGUCAAAGUGACAGAACUUUGGUUGUCAUGUCUUCGGGAGUGAAAAUUUUCACUCUCCUGCUCAGAUAUGUAGUCGAUGAAAGCUUUGAGUAAAUUAACGCAGCCUUUUUCUUCUGCUACGACUUCUCUCUCCCCUUUUCCCGCAACAAAAUGAGUUGAUAAGAAAUCAGAUACGUCGUCUAGUAGGUACUGAAGAACCUGCAAUGAGAAUAAUCGCAUCACAGCAACAGGGUUGGACCAAGAUUUAAGUGACAACAAUGAUUAACUAACUAAAAUAGAGAAAUUAUUCAUUUAAGACCUUGUUGACGGAAAAAAGGGUUUUCCAAGCAGCGGGUCAUUUAAGCUUAUUGUAUAAAUGACAAUCAUCACAAACGGCAAACUUACAGAUCUCACGUCAUUGUCUUCAUUCAGCAGUUUUCCUCCAUCUACAUCAACGACUGCACGUUGCUCAAGACGGUACUUCUAAAAAUUGAAAGUCAACAACAACAACAACAACAACAACAAAGCCUUUUCCCACUAAGUGGGGUCGGCUAUAUGAAUCCUAGAACGCCAUUGCGCUCGGUUUUGUGUCAUGUCCUCCGUUAGAUCCAAGUACUCUAAGUCUUUUCUUAGAGUCUCUUCCAAAGUUGUCCUAGGUCUUCCUCUACCCCUUCGGCCCUGAACCUCUGUCCCGUAGUCACAUCUUCGAACCGGAGCGUUAGUCGGCCUUCUUUGCACAUGUUCAAAAUCACCGGAGCCGAUUUUCUCUCAUAUUUCCUACAAUUUCGGCUACUCCUACUUUACCUCGGAUAUCCUCAUUCCCAAUCUUAUCCUUUCUCGUGUGCCCACACAUCCCACGAAGCAUCCUCAUCUCCGCUACACCCAUUUUGUGUACGUGUUGAUGCUUCACCACCCAACAUUCUGUGCCAUACAACAUCGCUAGCCUUAUUGCCGUCCUAUAAAAUUUUCCCUUGAGCUUCAGUGGCCUACGACGGUCACACAACACGCCGGAUGCACUCUUUCCAUCCAGCUCGUAUUCUAUGGUUGAGAUCUCCAUCUAAUUCUCCGUUCUCUUGCAAGAUAGAUCCUAGGUAGCGAAAACGAUCGCUUUUUGUGAUCUUCGCUAGAUUUCUCCGGUCAUUAGUGUGGAUAAGUAUAUAAAUGGAUAGAGAUAGGAAAGCAAACACAAGAUGUACGUGGUUCACCCAGAUUGGCUACGUCCACGGAAUAGAAGAGUUCUCAUUAAUUGUGAAGGGUUUACACAAGUACAUAGGUUCAAGCUUUCAUUUAGUGAGUACAAGUGAAUGAUUUUAGUACAAAUGACAUUAGGAAAUAUUGUGGGAGAAUGAUCUCGUAAUCACGAAACUUCUAAGUAUCGGAGUGUGGUGUCGUCUUGACUUGCCUUAUCUGUCUCAUAGGUAGAUGUGGCAUCUUCUCUGGAAGUACUCUUCCUCAAACGAUAAAUUAUUAAGAAGCAUUGAAUAUAAGCAUGAAACGAAGAAAAUGUUAUGGAAUGGUGAUCCUCAUCCUCAAAGAUGAUUAAAAGCAAUUUGAUUCAAAAAUGACAUAUCAACUCUGGAGAAAUGGAAGACAAACCUGUGGUACCAUAUUCGCAACUGAGGUUAUGACAGCUGAAAUCGAUUGUUCCUGUGUGCAUUGAUAAGUGAGACUACCAUAGAGAUUCACAACUAAAUAAAGACAGGUAUUCCACAGAACAACCUUUACCUCUUUGGAAACACAGAUCUAACAAAAACUAUAACAUUUUGGAUUAAUAUUGACAAAUCAAGAAUAAUGCAAGGGAGCAAGAGAUACUCUUCCUUCUAAUAACAAGGAGGCGUGAAAAGUAUACAGAGUUCCAACAAUUAGAGAACUAAAAUCAAACUAAAAAAAUCACCAAAGUAGACAGAAUCUCACUUCGCCAAAAAUUUGAAAAUAUACCUUUUUAUCCAUUGAGAUUCAUGAACUACUACUACUACAUCAUGCCAAUAAGCAAUGCGUAAGAGGAGCUACAAUUUACCGAAUAUAUUUACCCUGAGAACAAGUUUUGAAAUCAUCUCUAGUGUUAACAGCACCUUGCGUCCUUGGGUAAGCUGAGUCCUAUUAUCAAGUAAAGAGACCAAUCAGUACAUAUCCAAAAGAUCUUAAAUGCUUGUAAUACCAAAUAAGAAAGAAACAUGAGUAUAUCUUGAAUUAACCAUGCAAAAAUGUAAUGUUAAAGCAUCUUGUCAUACAGACCUCUUCAAGGUACCAGAAAUUUUUGCACUAAAGAUGUCACAAGCAGCUGAUAUGAAGCUGCAUUUUCUGUGAGUUGAAAUUUUGUCAAUAUAAUCGAUCACCUGAAGAGAGAGAGAGAGAAAAAGACAGUGAUAUCCAGAGAUGUGAGCCUAAAUGCUGAGUGUGUAAAAAAAGAAGAUUAAAUGGAUAGCAAGAAUAUACAACUUUAAUGCUGAAAAGAACAUUGAAUAUGAUGCUCAUUCAUCAUUCCCAUUGAACGUGUACCUUCUUCUUUUCCUCUUUCUCAAAAGCAAGUAGAGCCUUGAAGACUUGCCUAUAUGAUCCAUCAUCACAACCAGGCAAAGUUGUUUUAAUCAUAGCAACAAUGGCUCUAACUACCUGCCAUAAGAAACAUGCUACAUCAACAAGAUCACAGAGUGUACCAGAAACCGUAAUGUAGCAAAAUCUUGGAUAAAAUAGCUGGCCAAAAGGGAAUGGAAAAGCAAGCAUGAAAAACAAUGAAAAGGACCAGUGAUGCCAAAAUUCUGGUGGAAAAGGUGAAAAGCUUCUGUCUAUUACAGUUCUUGUAUGCAUUCUUUAUAACUUAAGUUCUACGUAGCAAAAACCACCUUAUGCACAACAAUAUUGGAAAAAUUAGAUACAUACAACUGAGAAGAUAGGUUUUCAUAAUCUGGACAAGUGCUAACUACUUUCUUCCUAUAAACUGCCACUCCAUGAACAUUAAAUGGUAUUUUCCUUUCACGCAAGGCUGUCUGGAAGACUUUUCCUGAUACCUGUAGCAUAAAAUACAAAAGAAAAUGUGACCAAAAUGUCUUAUAUGAUUCACCUCAUUCACAUUAGCACUAAGGCAAGUAAGCUUGACCUGCCUCCGGUAAAGGAUUGCUAUAUUUCCAUAGGAGCACCCUGCUUCUGACCGUUUAGAUGCAGUCUCCAGGAUCUUGUCGACAACAAAGGCGCAUUGUGCAUCCUCAUUGUGACUUUCCUUGAUAAUUACCUACAUUUUGCCAGUAAAACCAGUGUCACUAACUAUAAGGACUGAAAAAUGACAUCAAAUUGUACUUGUUGGAGCAAGGAAAGAUUAAGUACCUUAGACCCAGAAGAAUUGUCCAUGUCAACAUUCUUUAGUUGGCAUUGCUUCUUAUUGUUUUUUAUAACAGAAGUUGCAGCUUCCACAAUAUAGCGUGUGGACCGAAAGUUUUUAUUAAGCCUAAUCUGAACCAUAAAGUUAUGUCAAAUCCCACAGAACCUCGUAAAAUAAAACUUACUUUCCUGUAAUUGUACAAUAUAUUUUUUCUGUACUAUAUAUAAUGAAAAAAGACACUGAAUGACAUAAGAUAACAUAGCAGUCAAGUGCGAAGCGAACCUCUUUGUAAUUUGAAAAAUCUUUACGAAAAGAAUCAAAUCCAGAAAUGUCCGCCCCAUUGAAACUGAAAAUGGACUGCAGCAGGAUAUAUGUUAUUUGAUUUAAAACAGAUAAGGGCUGGAUUAGAAUGAGCUGAGAGAGAGAGAGAGAGAGGGAGAGAGGGAGAGAGGGAGAGAGGGAGAGAGGGAGCAAUAACAUUGGAUUUCCAUAACAAAUCAACAACAUGCCUGAUCAUCAUCACCAACAAUGGUUAUGUGGUUAUGAGAGGCGAGAAUCCGCAAAAGACUAUAUUGCAUAGCACUUGUGUCUUGAAACUCGUCUAUUACAGUAGCUUUCCAUGACUCCUGGCACUCCUUCAACACUAAUUAAGAGAACACCAUGUAUCAACAUUUAGCAUUACUUGUAAAACUAGAUAAAUCAAUGAAAUAUACUUAGAUGAUAGAGACCUUCAGGAAAAUCACUUAGCAGCUUCACAGAGCAGCUAAUUAAGUCGUGGUAGUCCAAAGCAUUGCACGAUUUCAAGAUAUCAUUGUAAUUCCUAAGAAUUUCACCCUGAUUCAGAUUGAGAGCUAAAACUCAUAAGCAAUAGUUUCAAAGAACUGAAAUGAUAUCUGAAAUUCUAGUUCUGAGCGUACUCCUGUCACAUCACCCAUUCUUCGGCAUUCAGCCGGAGUCUUUCCAGAAGCCUUUGCCUGAAACAUAAAUAAAUUUAUUGCCUAAUGCCACAUAUUGUAAGACACACCAUUGUAUUGGUCAUUCUAGCUUGAUUGUAGCUAAUAUUUUUUAAAUCGAAUGAUUAGAGUUCUUAAUCCACAAUAAUCUGAACAUUAAAUUUGGUAUUCAAGACUAACCUGUGUCACCAACUACAGCCAUUUCCUUGAUGCAUCCUUAAAAUGAUGUGGAGAUGUUACGCCGUUAGACUCUUCCCCAUCUAUAGCAACAUUAAGAUUCGUUUACUCUUUUCAUCUUCUGAUAACCGCACAGCUUCAAUGAUUGCUCUUCUCUGUUGCCCAUGUCCAUAUAUCAAAAAUUCUGGUCUGCGCUCGAGUCUAAAACACAAGCCAACAUAACAGACUCAGCUAUACCACCAAAUGUAUGGUGUUCAAAAUCAAGGGAGGUGAAUCAAUAGCUUACUUCUCAGCAUGUGAUCGGCAAAGUUGCAAUGAAAAUGAAUGAAAUGUACUGAUUGUUAGUAGUUUUGCCGUUGCUUUCCCAGUCACAGAUCCAAUUCGAUCUCUCAUCUCGGAAGCUGCUGCUGUAGUGAAAGUCAUUGCUAGAAUGUUCGACGUGCUAAUGCCCUAAGAACACAAAAAAAAAAAAAAAAACGUAUAAGAUUUCGAUCAUAAACAAGAAAUGUAGAGAAACACACAAUUACGAAAGAAAAAGUUAGAGGGAAAGUAGCAACACCUCAUUGAGCAGCAUUAGAACGCGCCCAACUAUCGUUGAAGUCUUUCCACUUCCAGGGCCGGCAACAAUCAUCAAAGGUACUGAAAUAUCGCUGCAAGCUGCCUCGCGCUGCCUUUCGUUGAGAGAAAGCAAAUACUUCAAUACUCAUCCGGCAUGUUAGGCAAUCCAUGGUUAACAGAAUCUUUUUGGUUUUCACUACUCAAAGGUGGCGCUGAUGCGGCACUAACGUCACUACCACAACUCCCAAUAUCAUCACGCUGAAUGUCCACACUCGGUUUCUGCUCGAUUAAAGCGUCAAUUUCCUGCAAAAUACUCUCGUCGAAAUCAUCAUCGUUAAGAAUUCCAGAUGCAGAGAAAGAAUCAAAUGAAGUCAGAAACUGCGGUUGUCUGAUUGGAGUUGUGAAAGAAUCCGAUUUUGACACGCUUGAUUCGGUCCGGCUAACGCUUAAGCUCCCGGAACACGAAGCACUGCCAUAUUCACCACGCGUUGAAUUGUACCGGCUUGCGGAAAUCGGAGGCGGUGUUCUUUGAACUCUAUUGAGCUGAGUUGGCGUUUGGAUUCCAUUUCCGCCACAGAUUCUGGAAUUUGAAAAACACAAUUGAAUUGAUUUAAAUUGAAGCAAGAAAACAGCCGAGUAGCAAAAAAAUAGUAAGAAGAUGAAACCUUUGAUUCCUGAACGACUUACUUGGUAUGAGGGAGGUGAUGAUCAGGUGAAACGGCGUCGUUGCGGGGGCGUUUGCGAUCAAUGAGGGCCUUGGCGGCUCUGAAAUUCCGAGAGAUGCGGUUUCUUUGUUCCGCCGUGAGCCCUCCGCCGUACGCCUGAACGUUUUCCUUGGACAUUGCUUCGAAGAUUCCAACGGAGGAUUUGGCCUGACGGCCUGACCAGGCUGAUAACAGUGUAAAACCUUAGGAGCUAAGGAAAACUAAGAGAUAGAUCGUAGAGAGGGAAAGUUUUUUCUUUUUGGAAACUAGUAGGGAGGGAAAGUUUGUUAAACCUGAAUAAUAUUCUUUUCAUUCAACUUGUCUACAAUAAUUACCACUCUUGGUAUUUAUACAUUUCUAACACACCUCACUAACUAACUAAGACCACUACCAAUCAUACAAAAAUAAUUGUCCUUUGAUGAACUCUUUCACGAACAAAGUGGCAAUCAAUCUCUACAUGUUUGGCUUUAGAGUGCAAUACAGGUUUAGUGGCAAGAGCCAUUGCUUAAAUGUUAUCACAAUGCAAAACUGGAACAGAAGGAGAACCAACAUGCAAAUCUCGAAGAAGAUGUUGUAUCCAGAUAACCUUAGCAGUGGUUGUAGCCAUUGCUCUAUAUUCAGCUUCAGUGGAAGACCCACUCACUGUAUGCUGCUUUUUAGAACUCAAAGAGAUAGGAGUGACAAAACCCAUGGUUGAACGACGAUCAUUGUGAUCCCCUGCCCAAUCAGCAUAUGUAUGAGCUUUCAACUAAGAUGAACCUGAUUUAAAACACAAUCCCAGAGACAUAGUGCCUCUGAGAUAUCGCAGAAUACGUUUCACAGCAGCAAAUGAGUGGCUAAUGGUGAAUGCAUAAACUGACAUACUUGAUUGACGGAAAAAGAAAUAUCUGGUCUUGUAAAUGUUACGUAUUGUAGUGCCCCAACAAUACUUUUGUAAGUGGUAGGAUCAGAAACAGGUUCACUACCAUGAUUCAGAAGCUUUUGAUUAGGAUGACAAGGUGUGGAAAAAGGUUUACAGUCCAGCAUAUGCAUCUUUUGAAUGAGUUCUUUGACACACUUGGUCUGAUGAACAAAGAGUCCCUGUUCUUGAUAUUCAAUCUGUAAACCAAGAAAAUAAUGCAACACACCCAGAUCUUUCAUGUCAAACUCACUAGUUAACUGACUAAUAACAUUCUGAACCUUCACAGCAUCAUUACUAGUGGGAAUGAUAUUAUCAACAUGUAAUAAGAGAACAAUAAUUGAUGAACCAUCACACUUGACAAAUAAAGAAGGAUCUGCAUAUGAUGACUUGAACCCAAGCUUAGGCAAAUAACCUGAAAACCUGUCAUGUUAGGCUCUGGGAGCUUGCUUGAGUCCAUAUAAAGACCUCUCUAGUUUGCACACAUAAUCCGGAUAGGUAGAAUCCACAAACCCUUGGGGCUGAGACAUAAAAACUUCUUCCUCAAGAAAGCCAUGCAAAAAAGCGUUCUUGACAUCUAACUGUUUGAGUUUCCAAUUAUGAGAUGCAGCCAAGGAUAGAACCAAUCGAACUAUGUUUGGUUUGACCACAGGGCUAAAGGUUUCAUAAUAGUUAAUACCAACUUCUUAAGAAUACCCCUUAGCUACAAGUCUAGCCUUGUACCUAGCCACUAAACCAUCUGGAUUUCUCUUAAUCUUGUAGAUCCAUUUACAACUAACAAGAUUUUUGUCAGGUGGUAAGGGCACAAGCCUCCAAGUAUGAUGUUGAAUCAAAGCAUCCAUCUAUUCUUUCAUGGCAUUUUGCCAUUAAACACACUUGACAAUACUAGAAAAAGACUGAGGUUCCUUGAUUUCAGAAGCCUGAUCCACCUUAGCAGAAAACACCUUCUUUUUCAUAAUCCUAGACUUAGACCGGGUUUGCAUGGGAUGACAAUUUUGAGCAUUGAUACACACUGGUUGGAGAUCAUCCACUUGAGACAUUGUAGUAUUUGGAUGAUCUUUUGAAUACACAGUAGGCAAAACCUCUGAAGAAGGCACAAAACUUGUGGAAGAAGAGACAAGAUCACCAGAACUAGUGGGUUGAGAGGAUGAUGACUGAGUAACAUGUUGUGAUUUAGAGGUAAGAGAAGUGGGACCAAUAAAUGGAAAUGUGGAAGAAACACUAGGUGGAUGAAUGAAUGUGUUUGAAUGCACAACAGACAUUGGUGAGGAAGAAUGACCAGAAGUAACUUGAGGAUUGAAACCCAAAGCAUUAGAGUCUGUAGGAAACUUGGAUUCAUCAAAAAUAACAUGUCUAGAUACUAACAGUUUCUGAUCUUUGAGAGAUAAGCAAAUAUACCCUUUGUAUUGUGUAGCAUACCCCAGAAAAAUACACUUAGUAGUUUUAGGUUCAAGUUUAUUGCUUCUAUAGGGUUUCAAUGAAUGAUAGCAUAAACAACAAAAAAUUCUCAAAUGAUCAAGCUUAGGUGGAGAUUUAUAUAGCAUUUCAAAAGGAGACUACAUAUGUAGGGUAGGUGUGGGCAUUCUGUUUAUAAGAAAAGUAGCAGUGGCACACGAAUGGAACUAGAAUUUUGAAGGUUGAAACUUGUUGUAAAAAGGUAAUAGCUGUUUCGACAAUAUGUUGAUUUUUUCUCUCAGCCAACCCAUUAUGUUAUGGGGUAUAAGGACAAGAUUUUUGAUGAACAAUGCCUUUGGUAAGAAGAAAUUGCUUAAACUGAGUAUUAACAUAUUCCCCACCCCCAUCACUUUGCAAAAUUUUUACAUAAGCAUCAAAAUAAUUCGAGACAAAAGCAAGAAAGUUGACAAAACAGUGAGGGACCCCAAACAUCUAUGUGAAUUACUUCAAAUGGAGUAAGUGACUUCGAAGCAAUUACAGGAAAAAUGGAGCUUGGUAAAAUUUGCCUUGCAAACAAGCUUUACAAGUAUGAGAUUGAGAGUUACAAGGAAAAGAUAUACAAGACUUAUUAAGUGCUGCAGUGACAAUGGAAUGUGCAGGAUGGCCUAAUCGACAAUGCCACAAUGUAGAAUACAUCUUUUGACCCACAAAUGCAAUUGGAUUAAAAACAGGAGAAAUAGACCUAUGUGGUUUGAUUAUGGGAAGUGGAUAGACAACAUUAUUACUCAGCCCUUGGAAUAGCACUUUCCCGGUGACCUUGUCUUGUAGAUAGAGAGAAACAUCAUCAAUGAUACAAUGACACUGAUUAUCUUUGCACAACUGAUUCAUAGAUAAUAAGUGUUGUGACAGUUUUGGAACAUGUAACACAAAGUUUAACUUGAAAUUAUGUGACUUAGUGAGAAGAGAAGAGGAACCAAUAUGUUUGAUAGCUAAACCUUCACCACUAGCACUGGUCACAGUAUCAUUUGAUGGAUAAAUUUGUUGCCAUGUGCAAGUUUGACAAAUCUGAGGUCAUAUGGUUAGUUGCUCCCAAGUCAAGAAACCAUAAAUCUUGUUGAAGAGUUGAGGAUGAUGCACCAGCUCGUGCUUGUAUAGCAAGAGGAGGAUUUUGUGAGGAUAUAGUUGAGAGAUACAUAUGUGGUAUGACAUGAUACUGAAACUGGGAGCUAUUAGACCGUGGAAUCAUGCCUUGUGAAGGACCACAUGGAUUCUAGCUAGGUGCUUCGCCAUAUGACCCAGCAGGCAUUGGAGUUGGCAUAGAUGAGGAUAAACCCUGAGAGAAAUGCUUUGAUGUGCCUGUGAAAUUCUUAUUUCGAUCAAAGCAAGUAGCAGCAACAUGGCAAUUUCUGUGACAAAUUUGACAUCCAUGUUGAAAACAAUUCAAUGCAAAAUAAACUUUGCGAUCACAUAUUUGCAGAAAGGCCUUUGCAACCCUAGAAAGAAGAAGGAGCAAAGAAGACCAAAUGUGUACGUUUCUCUUUGGUUUUUUUUCCCUCUUAAUCACGCUGUUCGAAAUCACGGACCUCGGGCCUGGGCCUAGUGGGCCCAAUUAUGAGGCCCAUUAUCUCCGGUCUUCUCGUUCUACUUCUAGUUACCCAAAUUAAGAACGUACUGGUUCGCUUUUAGCGCGAGAGAGAAAUGGAGGCCCUGAUUGCCUCGUACGGAGACUCGUCGUCGGGCUCAGACUCCGAGUCGCCGGCUCCACCUCCAUCACCACCUCCGGAGCUCAACAACCCUCAAGAACCGACCCCUGCGCUGCCUCCACCUCCUCUGUCACUUCUCGACAACCCCAAUUCCUUCGGUAACCUCUGAUUCCCAUCAAUUUUCAUCUUUUAGCUUUCUGUUGUGAUGGCUUUUUCCGAGUUGCCCACCAAGUAUUUGAUGUUUUGCCUCUGAAGGAUUUCUGGACUUCUCGGCAAGCGCCCAGCCGAGCAGAGUUCGGAACUUUCCUCACGUCGAAGGGAACUACGCAGUACAUGUAUACAUCCCAGGUUAUCAAAAUUCUCGAAAUUUUCAGCUCCAUUAGCAAAUGCGAUCGCUUUGCACUUAGUUUUUGCUUGUUUAAUUCUGUGGUCAGUUUAUAUACCACCAGCACCAAGGAAAGAGAUGGCCUUGUUUUUGAACAAGCUAGCUUCUCUGGUGCCUGGUCUCCAUGCGGUUGACGUUGACUUCCUGCUUGACAUUCUGCGUAAGGACGAGCACAAGCUUGAACAAGUUGCUUUAGGCAGAGAGUUCCAUAUAAGUCUCGGAAGAACUGUUCCGAUUCGGGUGCACCAGAUUGAUUCCUUGGUGACAAUGCUGCGGCAGAAGCUUCAGAUUCAGAGGCGGUAUGGUUACAUUUACAUUCUCUUGUCUGCAUUGCGUGAAUUUAGUUCUGUUAUUUAACAUAAUUCUGUAAGCCUGCAAAUUUUUCGUCCAUUUUCAGUUUAACACAUUUUGUUAUUGUGAAACAAGUAUUGGAUUGAUUUUAGCAAGUGGUAGGUUUUUGUUAAUGAUGAUCAGACCCGGACCUUUGUGUCUAUCGAAAUCAUUGCUGCUGGGUUAGCUGAGGUAUGAUUGCUAGCUUUCUCUCUUGGUGCAAUUCUAAAUGUUUUCAGUUGUUAUAUGGGCUUAAGAUUUAGCAAGGACUUGCCGAAAGUCAUGGGAUUUUGAAAUAUCGAGAUCUUGCUUGCUUAUUAGCUUAGAUUUGGUCUUCGAUGCACUUGUAACAUGAAAAACACAAACGAAAACUAAUGCAUGAUAUGCUCAUGGUUUUAACAUGUGUUGUCCUGGCGUAAAUCAUGUUCCUAAUCAUGUCAUGUGAGUAUAAGCCUAUGAAACUUAGGGCAUGUUUGGCGGGCUGGACAAGAUUGGAAUUGGUAUUUCAGACUAGUUAGGUUAGGAUUGAACUGGAUAGGAUAGGUUUUUUGUCUAAAGAUUGGUGUAGACUGUCUUAACCAGACUAGGAACGAUGGGAUUUAAAACGUGAAACAGAUCGGCGACAUCCCAACGAUGACCCGCCCACCCAACAACUCUGCUCGUGACUUGCAACACCUCUCGUACCCUCCACGCCCCUUGCGGCCCGUCAGACCACUCUGAUAUCCUGGAGGAGUGAAACGUGGUUACUAGAAGCAUACCUGUUUUCGUAUUAAUGCACGGUUGAAUCAGCUUUCAUUGUCUACAAGUCUGAAAUAUUUUAACUUCCAUUGAUUUCAGAUAACAAAGCAGAUUCAAGCUGUGAAUGAGGUGUAUAAGCUUCACAAUCAUCCUAAAUUUUACAAGGUUAGCUUUUUCGUCCUUUUCAAACUCGAAUCGCUUCCUGAAUAUAUGACAAUAUAUUGGAUCAAAUGAUUUCUCAAAAAACUAAUUCACUUGAUGGGGUCUUGGUGAUCACAGGAUCCACGCCCUCACAUCUCGGUAGCUUGGGCAUUGGGUGACAUCAGCAAUUCCCUGAACAAAGUGGUUGAAGAAGAAAGACGAAGAUCUACCAUCGGAGGAUCGUUACAGAAAUGUAUUUUUACCAGUAAAUUCAAUGGUAUCGAAUGUAGGAUUGGUAAUAAGACACACAAAAUAUGUAAAUUUUCUGAAGAAUAAUGUAGCCAUUUAACUGUAUUGUGAAAUUCCGAGAAUAUAUCACUGAGCAUUGGAUGAGAAGACAUUUCUUCGUUGGUGUCGAACUUCUUGUCGAAGGUAUUGGCACCAGUGUAAACGUCAUCAUCCAUGUUGAUGGUAAUUACUUCCCAGCUACUAAGGGUGUCGGAACAGCCUUGCACGCAGCCUCCUGUGCAUUACUUGGUAUUGUCUCAGAUUCUCCAAACUUGAAUGCUAAUGUAAACCCACUCUUGACCUUUCCGUCAUCUGCGAUUACCGGAAUGCCGGCUUGGAUGUUGCCGUUGACCUACCGAACUUAAAAUACCGACGAAAUGUUGGAGUACUUAAGUGUACUACUCGUUUUUGUAUGCGAGAGCUCCACCUCUAUCGUUGUAACAGCAUCUGAUGCGGACUAGUCCUUCAUUCCCGUUACUCUUUGCCAUCUCCACUUCGAACUUGGCGUGAUGGCUCCCGGCCUCCUCUCCGGUGAAAUUGAGUAACCCCGGAGCUGGCGUGCCAUCAAGAUUUCCGUCGUGUCUCUAUUUGCUGUUGUGGUUUGGUUUCACCACUAUAAACUUGGCAGAGUUGGCAUUUUCAUUCUGUUGUCUGUAUAUCUUGAUAUUACAAGUAUUUGUUGUGCAAAAUGCAUGCUAAGUUCAACUUAUGUUUAUAUGUGUGUGUGUGUGUGUUGCCACUUUUCCAACGUUUUCUCCAAAAUUGUGACGAGCAACAAAGCAGUUUUGAUUCCGUGCACAACAACGAUACCUCGAAAGAAAUUGAUUCUUCCCCAGAAAGAUGUUUUAAAACAAAGUUGAACAAGGGAAGAAAACUUUUGAAUCGCAAUCAGAUGUCUGGUCAAAUUCUUUAACAGUUGAUGUAUACAGAAGUUCCUUGCUUAUGACACGACUUAUGAGAGGAUGUAUGUAUUGCAUUUGCAUCAAAAGAAAGAAAGAAGGUUGUAAGUGGUAAGGGAACGACUACCGAUGCCGCUCCACUUCUAAUCAAAGGGAUCGAUCCGAGGGUCGUGUUCACUUGCCAUCGCCAUUCCAGUGCAAAGGCAUGUCGGGCACAUUACCUGCCACAUUUACAGACGCAAUGUUAGAUAUAGCUGCCAUUUGGAAGUCAUCUCUCAAAAUUUUGCUACUAAAUCAAUCUUAAACUUCAUUUCCAGUGCAAUUUUUUUCUUCUGAAUUGUCUUUCACAUGCCCGACAAAUAGAAGUAUCACCAAACAUGUGAAUAUAGAGCAUCUAAGCGGCAGGCACUAAAAGGAAUUUAGUAUGCAAUAAACAUUCAACGGACAUAAUUAUAUGUCUAACCUUUCCCGCUCCUGAGCAAUUUGAACAUCGUUCAGUUUUUGGCAGAGAUAGGGGUUGGUUUCCGCCAUCAGCUGUCGAUACUGGUUCAGUAAGAACAAGGGUUCCAGUGCUGGAGCAACGAGCACAAGCAAGAGAUCCUGCGUAAGUAUCAAAUACACAGGUAAGUUGACAUACGAAACCAAUCCGAACAUCUCCAUCGUAUAUAUUUAAAGCUACAGUACAUAAACUAAAAGUCAGAAAUAUAGGACAUUAUCACACCAGUUCCAAGACAAUAUUUGCAUCGUUUAUGCUCCUGCUGUUUCACAUUGUUUAUUUCAACUACCAUCAAUGCUGAGAUCACUCCGACUGCUCCUCCAGAGAAUGACGCCACUAUGGGAUCAACUUGACUGCAGUUUGAAAGUAAAGGAGAUCAAUAAACGAAACUGGUAACAACAUAGUAUCAACAUUAUUUAGCUUCGUUUCAAGAAAGAUGACAUCCUAGGUUUUUCUAAUGUGUAAAAAUUGAGGAUCCUCGUAAAAUUUGACCAUAUCGGUUCCCAAAGCAUUUGAUUCCUACGUUACAGACGGAAAACAGCAACAAUCGAAUUUAAAGAUUCAUAACACGAUAGAUGGUACAAAAUUUCAAAACGAUAAUUACUAGAGAACAGGAGGGUUAAUAGCCUGAGAUAUGAGCAAUACCUCAACUGCAACGGCAGAUGCAUAUUUACUAUAAAGUCUUUAUAUGAUGUGCCUCCUAUUCCCAGCUUCAACUCCAACUGAAAGAUGUAAAGGUAAUUGUAGGCAAAGAGUUACAAACAUAACCGAAUCCAUGUUUUAUAAGCAACAACUACACUUAUUUUGAUAUGUUUCCUCAUUUUUUACUUGCAAAUUCCGAACCAUAUUGUCGGACCAGUAAAAGAAAAUAAUGUUUAUGAUAACUGUUAAAACUAAUUACAACAAGUUAAUGCAUAAAGAACUUACGGAGGGUGCUAUGAGGCCACCGAAAAGGAUAAACCCCACAAUAAUUGAAUAACAAACAGCAUAAUACUGCUUAAGGUUGUCUGAACUCUGCAAGCAAUGAAUUCACCUUGUGAUUAAUACUUUGCACAAACACUAGUUUUCGCAAUUUUUUAUGAAUCGACAAAAGGCUACAACAAAAUAUGGCUAAAACAUGUCGGGGAUAUGAAAAUACAUGUCUUCACAGGGGCACCAGCUUACCAGGGGAGGCAAAAAUGGAAUGAACGAUGGAAAACUAGGAAGUUCGUUUUCUUGAUCUUCAUUUACCGCUCCAAGCUCUGCACGUUUAAUCCGCUGUUGUAUCCUCAGCCUGCGAACCUACGCAUAUCGAAGCUCAUUCUUAAAGAACACAUUUCUAAUGGCAAUUGGAGAGUAAUUUAAAACAUGCUAAACUGAGAAAGUGGUAGCAACUAGUAAUUGCUCUCACCUCCUCCAUAUGCAAGAAAAUUUUGUUGCGACGACUCCGAAUAUUAUCUUGAAUUUCCUGCAGCUCCAUUGUGGCAAAAUCCUGCACUGUUUCAGGCCCCUCUAUGAUACAAAAUCUGCACCAUUAAGCAUGUAAAAAUUAAAAAUUACAGGCUACAAAGCAAUUUCCGUAUAGUUGUUGGGUUAAAUAACAUCAACAGCAAAUAAAUCACAUAGGUUUUUCACAUAAAGUUACAAACUUUCAAGGACUAAUAAGCUGUCUGCAAUCUCAUAAAUUUCACAGUGCAAAGUAACAAUCCAAAGCUUGGAACUUUAAAUUUCCACCUUCUGUUAAUUUUUUAGUGCACCUGGUGUCGUUAGAUUCGAGUAGUAUGUCACAUUAAAUUUUUUUUUUCUGUGCAUGCAUUUUUUUUUAAAAGAAAAUUUUAUAUUGUUAAAGAGCGAGUUCGAAACUAUUACAUUAUGGAAGGACAUAGUACCGAAACUCCGACGAUCAAAAACAAAAUCAUGUACAACCACUCCAAGCAGUCAACAUGGCCAUCACAUAUUGAAUCCAAAAUGUUGACGCCCCAUUCGCUGCAUAUAAUGUACAGACGAGCGGCAGCUUCAACCAGUUCUGCCAUAUCCGGCUGGAUGAGAGCAGCUAAAGACAUGAUUGUUCCCUAAUAACAUGAAUAAAUUGAGUAAACACCAAAAGUAGCAGCAAGGGAAGGAGAUGUGAAGUAUAUGAAGAGGUGUAAGACCUGUGAAUGUCCAGCAACAAAGAUUUUGGAGCUUGUUGUCGAAUAAUGCAACGCAUCAUUUCUGGUAGAUCAAAUAGAGCCAAUUCCCGCCAACUCCAAUUCCAAAAUUUCUACAGUAAAGCAUAAAUCUUAUUCUCUCUUCUGAUAAAGAUGAGUGUCCCAGACUCCAACGUGUUCCACACACAUUCCCUACCCAUACAUCGAAACCUUCAUCUGCAAGGACGAAUCCCAGCGAUUCUUCUGGAGAAUUUAAGAAUCAUGCAUCACCUGGUUAAGAUCAAGAAAAGCCAGUAACCAAGUUCAAUUGAGUUAAAAUGUAUCCCAUGGAUGUUCAUCACUUUGCCCAAUUGUUCUUUUCAAGAAAGGAAAUUUCAACAGAACCUGAAAACUUCAGAUCAGGGGGCACCAAAUAGUGAGCUAUACAUUCAAAAUUUGAAAUAAUCAACUUAGUAGGACCAGUAUGUUGAAAAAAUGGGAAGGAGCUAUGAAAGUAAGACUUUUCACUAAUCAGGCGUCCAGAGAAUCCAUAUUUUACCCGCGUAUCAGUUACGGGGAACACUCCCCACCAGAGCAAUCUCAUUAGUCCUUCACAUCUCAACCGUACAGAAGUUGCACUAACAAACAUGACUCCUAUUAGUCCUUCACAUCUCAAAUCCAGGAAGUACCCAUCUUUCGUCUGAAUCUGGAAAAUAAGCAGCAGUCAAUUUAACAAUCUCGGUAUCUCAAAGUUACUCACUUUAAUCACAAAUUUAGCAAUUAAACAUAUAAAUGGGCAUUUUUUUAGGGAAAUAUUAGUAUAGUACUCACUGUGUGCUCGGAGCAAGAGUACCCAGAAAGCUCAAUGAGCUGCGCACAGAGGACUGCAGUGGUGAACGACAGCGACCAAUUCUGUAAAAUUUAGUCGAGUUUUGGGAAAUUUCUGCAGCGAUUUCGGAGGUCAAGAGGCUGAUAAGGAAAGCCGCGACCAAAGGGCACUGGUCUGGAAGAAAGGCUUUGGUCGCCGCUAUCGCAAUUCGCGAAGGAAGAAGUGCCCCAAAACAAUUUCGGCCCUGGACAGGUGCACUGUUUGCACUGAGCCAGGGCCGGCCCUGAAUCGCGAUAACGUCCUUCUCCAAACAGUAUAUAUACAGAUGCUAGAAAAAUCUACCGGAACUAUUCAAUUCUAGCGUCUACAGCUUUAGCAUUAGUUGGUACAAGGGGCAUUCUUCCAAAGAGGGAGAUGAAAUCGUUGAGGCACCAAAUAGUGAGCUAUACAUUCAAAAUUUGAAAUAAUCAACAUGGUAGGACCAAUAUGUUGAAAAAAUUGGAAGGAGCUAUGAAAGUAUGGCUUUUCACUAAUCAGGCGUCCACAUAAUCAAUAUUUUACUCACAGAUCAUUUACGGGGAACACUCCCCACCAAAACAAUCUUUUUAGUCCCUCACAUCUCAAACCAAGUAGAAAUUGCAGUAACAAACACAUCUCAAACCCAGUAAGUACCCAUCUUUCGUCUGAAUCUGGAAAACAAGCAGCAGUGGAUUCAACAAUCUGGGUAUCUCAAAGUCACUCACUUUAAUCACAAAAUUAACAAUUAAACAUAUAAAUGGGCAUUUAUUUAGUGAAAUAUUAGUAUAGUACUCACUGUGUGCUCGGAGCAAGAGUACCCAGAAAGCUCAAUGAGCUGCGCACAGAGGGACUGCAGCGGUGACGACGGCAACCGAUUCUGUAAAAUUCAGUCGAGUUUUGGGCGAUUUCUGCAGCGAUUUCGGAGGUCAAGAGGCUGAUAAGGAAAGCUGGGACGGAAGGGCACUGGUCUGGAAGAAAGGCUCAGGACACCGCUGUCCCGAUUCAUGAAGGAAGAAGUGCCCCCAAAACAAUUUCGGCUCUGGACAGGUGUACUGUUUGCACUGGACCAGGGUCGGCCCUGGCGAUAACGUCCCCCAAACAGCACAUAUACAGAUGCUAGAAAUAUAUAAAUGUAACCUGAAACUACUAGAACCAUUCAAUUCUAGCGUCUACAGCUUUAGCAUUAGUUGGUACAAGGGACAUUCUUCCAAAGAGGGAGAUGAACUCAUUGAGGCUCUUAUUUAUUCCUCCUCUUGAUGUGCCCUUUUAGGCUGCUAAUUCCACACGAUCCAAUUUCAUACAUCUUCCCUGCAAAAGCAUGUGUGCCUGACUUCAAGAUCAAAUUUUUCCAACAAAAGAAACUUAAAGAUCAAACUCGCUAGCGGAAUAAGUGGUGCACAAGGGUGUUAAAAUCUUGACAUAUGUAUAUUUUUGGCAGAUUUUAUGUGAGCAUGCAACUAAAACUGGCAUCACUAUCAAUGGUGCACAAAGAUUGGUGGAAAACUUUAACAGUUUGAGUUGUAACUUCUCCAUUGUAUUUGUUAAGGCAAGACGGAUGUCAUCUAUUCAUUUUUCUGUAAAACUUAAAAGGCUGCAUAGCAGCUCUUGUUCGUUGUAUUGAAUACCAUGGUUUUACUGAUGAAUGCAGAGUUUGCUGAUGAUUCAUACGACAAGCAAUUGAAAAUCCCAUCAUUAUGCCCCGCAUAUACCAGAAGAAAAAAAAGUCAUUUACACAAAUUCAGAGCGUUCAUCCACUGUAAUUUGCAGAUAUGGAAACGUUAAGAUAAAAGGAAAUGCAAAGUACCUUUCACCCAAAUUGGAGGAGCAACGGUGGCAUUAGCAAGCUAGCAACGGGAAUUGACAUACCAAUAUCUUCACAGUUUCUGCACAAGAACAAAUCAAAAGAAUCCGGCGGUGGAGUUAUGUACCUCUCCUUGGAAAAUGCCACCUCCUGGGAUUUCAAAAUAUACGGCCGUGGCUAGCCGUCUGACCACGCCAAUUCCACCAAAGCCGCCGCAACGUGGCGUAGUGUCCGGUUGAUUGCUUCAAAACAGAGCUUCGUAUCCAUGUGUUUAUCAGCAGAGAGUACCCAAAACCCCUGAAAAUUAUUUCUUUAUUCAGAUAAUAAAAUUUCCCAAAUUUCGAAUUUUAAUUCCGAACAAAAAAAAUAGGGUUUGAAUUUUGAUUACCUAGAAAUUGGGGGGUUGGGGUGGAGAGGGACUCGGGCCAAGACACAGAUAUGCAUCCGUGAUAAGGUGUGCAAGGCUUUUGCAGUUUCUCAGAUCUAAACACUGAAGCCCCGUAAGCCGUUCAAUCCAGGGGGAAAGCUCUUUAAUAGAUGUUCCAUCCAAGAAAAGAAAUCUUAAUCCUUCCAUAUUUUCUUCAAUGCUUGGAAACACCUCAAAUUUUGUACAACCGGAAAGAGAGAGAAAGGCAAGGGACUUCAGCUGACAAAUGCUACUUGGAAGACUCUUAAGUUCUUUACAAUUUUCUAGCUUCAAAUGAUUCAAUCCCAUGAGAUUAUUAAUUGAUAAGGGCAGUUCUUUAAUUUUCGACCCAGAUAAAUCAAGAACUUUUAACCCCUCAAUCACUUCUGAAAUCUCUGGAAACAUCUCAAGACUCCAGCAACCAUAAAGAUCAAAGGUUUUGAGAGAUUUCAUAUGAAUGCUGCUUGGAAGACUCUUAAGUUCCUUGCAAUCUUGUAGAUUCAAAUGACACAACCUCGUAAGAUUAUUAAUUGACGGGGACAGUUCUUUAAUUUUUGAGCAGGGUAAAUCAAGCUUUUCUAACCCCUCAAUACCUUCUGAAAUCGAUGGAAACAUCUCAAGACUGGAGCAGCCAUAAAGAUUAAAGGUUUUCAGACAUUUCAUAUGAAUGCAGCUUGGAAGACUCUUAAGUUUCUUGCAAUCUUUUAGGUUGAAAUGACUCAACCCCGUGAGAUUAUUAAUUGACAGGGGCAGUUCUUUAAUUUUGGACCCGGAUAAAUUAAGCUCUUCUAACUCCUCCAUACCUUCUGAAAUCUCUGGAAACAUCUCAAGACUGGAGCAGCCAGAAAGAUUAAAGGUUUUGAGAGAUCUCAUACGAAUUUUGCUGGGUAGAAUCUUAAGUUCCUUGCAAUUUGAUAGGUUCAAAUGACACAACCCCAUGAGAUUAUUAAUUGACUCGGGCAGUUCUUUAAUUUUGGACUCGGAUAAAUUAAGCUCUUCUAACUCCUCCAUACCUUCUGAAAUCUCUGGAAACAUCAGAAGACUGGAGCAGCCAAAAAGAUUAAAGGUUUUGAGAGAUCUCAUACGAAUUUUGCUAGGUAGAAUCUUAAGUUCCUUGCAAUUUGAUAGGUUGAAAUGACUCAACCCCAUGAGAUUGUUAAUUGACUCGGACAGUUCUUUAAUUUUGGACCCGGAUAAAUCAAGCUCUUCUAACCCCUCAAUCACUUCUAAAAUCUCUGGAAACAUCUCAAGGCUCACGCAGUUAAUAAGAUCAAGAGUUUUGAGAGAUUGCAUACGAAUUUUACUAGGUAGAAUCUUAAGUUUUUCGCACCCAUUCAGAUCCAAUAAAACAAGUUUUGUAAGAUUCGAAAUAGAUGGGUGAACCUUAACUAACCCUAUACAACCAUGAAGAAUUAGCCUCUCAAGAUUUGGCACAUUUGUGAAGUCAGGGGUUUCCUUAAGGUAUUCACAAUAACUUAAAUUGAUGAAUUUCAACUUUUCCUGCGUCUGUUAAAACAUUCAGGAAAACAUGCAUUACUUAAUAAGACAUCUCACUCAAAGCCCAAACAUUUAAAAGAAACAAAUACAUGUAAAUGAUUGUACAUACCUGGGUUCCUUCCCAAAGUCGGUCAAUGUGGCUAUAUUGCAUGUCAAGUCCAACAAGAUUUUCGAAUUGAAAGUUGGAUGGCAAAGACUUGAGCGGGAAACAAGACCAGGAAAGAAACCUCAACUCACUAGAAACAAACUUUAAGGACCCAGUCAGGUGUUGUAUGCUGAAAGUACCGAUCUUGAGAAGUCUUAGUUUAGUCAUCCUAUCAAAAGCUUUAACAAUUAAGCAUCCCUCAUAUGAGUGCCCCAAAUCUAGGAUUAUGCUUUCAACUGUUUCUGUACCCUGUGCAAAUCAAAGGGAAGGAAAAAGCAGAGAACCUUAGUUUAGAUUAUGAAGUUAAUGCUUGUUUCUUAAGGAGUUGUUUGAUAAUAAUUUUGUUUUCACUUUUCACUUUUGUUUUGAUUAUUUAUUUAGAAAUCUGAAAAUUGAAAACAUAUAACUUGUUUGUAAUUGUUUUCAAUUUUCAAUUAUUAAAAAAAUGAAAAUUUAAAAAUAUAAAUGGAAACAAAAGUGGUUAUCAAACGAGCUUAAGAAAUUGAUUUUGGUCAAAAGUUGAAGCUUUCUACUAAACAUUGCAUAAGAAAAGAAAUUAUCACCGUAUUUUUAGUUAUCACAUGAAAAACAUCUUCAUAACUCCACAACCUACUUCGUCUCCCAGGCUCUUUGAUAGAUUCUUGGUAGACGAUUUUCUGACCCAUUUCCUCUAGUAAAUCAUGCAUCUCCAGUUCCCCCCUCCAUGAGACAGUUACUAGAGCUCGAUCGAUUAGAACUUUUAUUCCAAUAUCAGGAUAGGAACCACAGCUGUGCAGAACUGUGGUUGCAUAGUCUUUUCUCAUUCCUUUAAAGAAACAUGCAAUAUCUAGAAAGAUAUCCUUCUCCGUGUCAUCUAGUCCAUCGAAGCUUGUUUUAAGCACAUCAUGAAUUCCCUUUUGCGGGAUUUUCUUUAUUUUUUCUAACUCAUUUUCCCACUGGCGUACAUUUUUGUUAUAAAGAAAAGCUCCCAAGACUUUGAGUGCUAAAGGCAGACCUUGAGCAUAAUUUACAGCACGACUCGAGAUCAUCAUAAUCUCUGUUGGGUUGGUUUUUUCUAAAGGCGUACCGCCUAAAGAGUUCCAGAGCUCCAUAAUCACUUAAAAUCUUGGGAUUAUAUAUCCCAUCAGCUAUGCUUAGUAAUUGCGAAUCUCUGGUUGUUAUAAUAAUUCUGCUUCCACCACCAAAGGAAUGUGGCUCUCCAAGUAAAGCUUCAAUUUGUUCUAAUUCUUCCACAUCAUCAACAACAAUAAGAACUUUUCUCCGACCUAGACUAUUUAACAUCACCUGGAAACCUUUAUUCGAAACGUCGGAACUCCCCACCCUGUUGUUCGAGAUACUCGAUAGAAGUUCUGCCUGCAUAUGUAGUUUGCCAUGCUUCAUGAAACCUUCCUUGAAAUUUUCAAGAAAGCAACAAGCUUUAAAUCCACCAGAGAUUUCAUUAUAAAUAGCUCUAGCGAUGGUUGUUUUGCCUAAACCACCCAUACCCCAUAUUCCAACAAUGCGAACAUCAUUAGUUUCAACUCCAGGAGGAUGCAGUAAUGAAUGCAUGUUAUGCAUAUGAGAGUCCAUUUCAACCAAGCCAUUAUAUUUGCUUGAGGAUGAUGAGAUGUAUCGCCGACCCCACUUAGUGGGAAAAGGCUUUGUUGUUGUUGUUGUUGAUGAUGAUGAUGAGAUGUGGAUCAAUUUCUUAAAAACAUCUUCUACAAUUUUCUCAAUAAGCUCUGCAUCAUCCCUGUCAAAUUUAAAACACAAUAUAAUUACAACACCAAAUGAUACUUAAUGGGUCGUUUUGAUAACAAUUUCGUUUGCAAUUUUUUUUAAAUCUAGAUUUUAAGUUUGCAGAUUUUGUUUUCAGUUUUUAGUUUCAAUGAAAGUAGUUAUUAAACAAGGUUUCCAAUUUUUCUUUCAUGGUAUACAGUACGUAGUCCCAAAUAUCAGUAGUUAGAUCUUGCAUUUAGAUCUAAUGGGUAUUUACAACCUUUUUUCCUGAGAAUUUUGUACCAUUGUAGCCAGAUCACAUGUUUUCAUCCGUUAGUUUUAUAAAAAUGGAAACUACAAACUUAAAAAAAAAAAAAAAUAUAUAAUAUAUAUAUAUAUAUAUAUAUAUCAAAUGGCCCCUAAAUGCUAUUAAAAAUCUCAAAAAUUAACAGGAAACUAAAACAAAUUAGAAUUUAUUCAUGGUUUCGCAAAUCCCAGCCGGAUAAACUGGUGGCCGUUGUAAGAGAGGACCUCCAGCCGGAUAAACAUUUUCGAGUUAUUUGAUAUUUGUAUAGUAAAAAUACUUUAAUAGCAAGUGCGCGUGAGUGAAGAAAUUGAACUUACUUAUAUUCUUUCGAAUCCCAACCGGAAAAAUUGCAGGCUCUGGGAAGAGCGGACCUCCAGCUCUGCACCUCCUUCACGUCAACGUUAGAACGACCUUCAUGUUUAGCAAAAGCUUCUGCAAAACUUCCCUCGAGUUUACGAAUAUUGGACGGAUCGACUUGGUAGAAAAUGGGGAAUACAAUCUGGUUCUUGGAAUGGUUGCAUUCCAAGAUUUCCACGAGUUCUUUCAAGCACCAUGUGGAUGAAGCAUAGUUUUGAGAGAAAACUACAAUCGAAAUCCUUGACUCUCGAAUCGCUGUCAGGAGCUCGGAAAGGCGGUCGCCUUUUCUGAGGUCUUCGGCAUCAAUGAAGGUGUUGAUUGGUUUCUGACGCAGAGCUUUGUAGAGAUGGCUGACGAAGCCCGUGCGAGUGUCUUCCCCUCUAAAACUGAUGAACACAUCGUAUUCCCAACCAAGGCAAGAAGAAGAAGAAGAAGCAGCCAUUAAUCGAUCUCACCUGGGCAGCGAUGAUCGAGCAGCUAAGACUAAGAGAAUUGUAAGUACAGAAACACUCAAUAGAUCUACAAAUUGGAUCACCAGAAAUUAGUCAAUGAGUCAAUGCAAAAGGGAAAAGGGCAAUUAUGCUUUUUGCGUUUUCACAUCUUCUUCAGGAAAUUUCGGUGUGAAAGGAAUCCGCAUACUUUUGAUUUUUCAACCCAAGAAAAUGCGAAGAAAGGGGACAAAGUAGUAAAUUUAAUCUACAGUUAGUUACCUACUCAAUAACCUCUUGAUUUAAUAUAUAUUUAAUUGGGAAAAGUAGUUUAGAGCAAGGAUGUUAUCUCCUUUUCUUCUCUCUCGAUCAGUCAAUCUUCCCGCGUGCGAUUUAAUCAUGAUUAAAGCUAAGCUUAAUCUUAGGUCGUAUUAUUUAGGUCUAAUUGGAUUCUUAAUUCUUGUGAUAUAGUAGUUGGAAGAUUAAAAAAAAAUUAUGAUUUAAACGUUUGUGAUGAAGUCUGUUACGAUUUAAAUUCAAAAUUGAAAAUUUCGUUAACUCCAUUAAUUGUUAGCACAUGAGACUCACAAAUGAAACUAAAAAUAUAAAGUUAGCCUCACAUGUAAUCUUCACGUGCUAACAAUUAAAAGAGAGUUCCGUUUUAGCUUAAUAUAUGUGACUCACGUGUUAAUAAUUAACAAAAUAUUAACAAAAAUUUUAAUUUUAAGCAUAAAUUCAAAUAAACUUCACCACAUAAGCUUAAAUUCUAAUUUAGAUAUCUUCUAAUUUAGAUAAUUUUUAACUGCAAGAUGUACGAUGAACGGAUAUAAUUCACAAAUCUCCAAAAUCCUUACAAAAAAUAUCCGAAAAAGAGCCAAAUUCAAUGGAAAUAAGCUAAUUUUGAAUCAAAUAACAUUACUUUAUUUUGUAAAUAAAUUAAUUUUGAAUUGAACAACAUUCAUUUAUUAUGUAAGUAAUUCAUUUUGUAUGUAUCAUCAUAUAUAUUAGGCACAUUUUAUCAUAGGUGAUUUUGUGAAAAAUUAAUAAAAAGUUACAAUAUUAACAAUAGAUCAAUAAUAUUUAUGUUAAUUAUAAAUAGGCUAACCAUGUAUUAUGAUACUUAAAUGCAUUUAAAAUAAAUAAAAAUUACAAAAUCUACUACUACAGCUAGCAUUCACUUCAACUAAAGCAAUACGUAGUUUUUAUAUUUGGAAUAAGUCAUACGAAUCAGAGACAUGAAGAGGUGUAAGAACUGUGAAUGUCCAACAACAAAGACUUCGGAGUUUGUUGUCGAAUAUCUGCAGCGCAUCAUUUCUGAUAGAUCAAAUCGAGCCAAUUCCCGCAAACUCCAAUCCCACCACCACCUUUCAAGCCGGACUCAGCCCUCCGGGCGGCAUUUGGCAGGACAGCACUGGAUCAAACAAGAUUGAGACUGGCAGUGGGAGCAAUGAACGAGCACACUCAGCAGGGAAGUCCAUCAUGGGUUCUAACCACACAUUGUUUCUCUACUUUGUGGCUUCCAACACGAUUGGAUUUUUUGUUUCACUUUACAUGAUCAAUGUCCUCACCAGCAAUUUCCCUCUGCAGUUGGAGCUUCAAAUUUGUAUUGUCGCGAUGUACAGCACGUACAACACUGCAGUUUUCAGCAUUGCACCGGAGAACGUGCGCUUCUUCGUCCUUCUGUUCUCUGUAGUUUUCCCAACUUUGGUUACACUUGCUGUCCAAAAUGAUCGUCUUUCGACAUACAUCACAAUGGCGAUCUUUAAUCAUAAUGACUUGUACUGCUCGAUCAAACGAGACGCAUGGAGGCGCGACGUAGGAGCCACGGUGCAGCCCAAACUUUGCAGAUAAGAAAUCUGGUAAUUCACAGCAUCACAAACAUGUUACUGGGUCUCCUGACCAUCGUAGAUGCCAAUGUGUGCACAAGGAAAGGAGUAAGGUAAUCAAAUGCUUGAGUCUUGUGUACCUGUUUCGGUGUUGGUUCGGAUGAACCCAUUGAGUUCUCGAUCCUUAACUUCUGGAAAUGCUCCUGAAAGCAUAAAUAUAUGUACGGAUUUAAACCAAUGGCAAAUGGACAUAAUUUACGGACAAUGAUUGAAGAAAAUACAGAUAUAAACGCCUCAGUAUUCCAUUGACGAAAGUUCUAGAUUUGAUGAAUCAAACGUCCCACGUUGAGACUGCGUUAAGGCAAAUGGUUCUCAAACACAAAGCAAUAGUUUGCUACCGAAAACAACCAAAGUCUGACAAAGGGAACCGUCUUACACCUAACCUGUUUUUCCCUCAUCAAAUGAGCGCGUUGAUCUGCAGGUAUUUUCUGCCAUCUCAAAACCUGUUACAAAGAAAUAUAACGUUGAUGUUGAGCUGGAUAGCAUAUUAUACCAAUUAUGUGUACAAACCUAUUGAAAUAAAGUAGCUGUAGUUGCAUAUUACGACAGAUAUUAACGAAAACAAAAGAAGGCUCGCCUAUUCAAGAUCCUAAAUCCCAUGAUUCUUUUGUUUUUAGUUUCAGAAAUUUUCAGAGCACAAACUGGAAAGUACCAAGAUACUUACAUAUUGGGCAUAAUGAAAUGCAUCUUCAUCUUUCAAGCAAGAUUUCAGUGAGCGCAAACCAUCCUGGGAGUUACAUAAGUCAAUCAGUAAUAUAAAAACGUAGAUGCAUCACAUCCAAACACAAGUAUUCAAACACCAACAACUUCUUCAUGCGGUGAGGCAUGUUAAAAAAUAGGGAAGAACAGUUAUUGAAUAGGAAGUUAAAGGACUAAAUUUAUGACCUUGUGUUUGUAGUUCUUGGCUCGUAUGCGUUCAUCUAUUACAAAACCAAUCUGUAACAGGUACAACAGAAAAUAUAAGCAGUAGUCAGAACAUUAAGCAUCGGCAUUCAAAUUGCCGCCAAUCCAAAGUUAAAAGUCUAAAGGCAAAACAGUAUGAUUCUUAUCUCUCAAACAAAAAUGAAACUAUACCCCGGUCUCAGACAUAAAUGAAAUAAGUUCUACUGCCUCAACUGAGUACUGUGAUUAUAUAUAAAUCCAAUUCACCUUGUCAAGUAAUCUCUUAGGAUCUUGAAAUGCUUGCUUCUUAGCCCAGUCAUUAAAUACAUGCGAGAUAAUCGAUCUCUCAUCCACACUGAAUCUAUUGCACAGUGACAGGAGAAUAAAGUCAAACAUGAACAUAACCAACCAAAAAUGCUAGUUAUAAUAGUACACCCAUAAUUGCAAGCAAAACCUUUUUAAGAAGCCAUUUCCAUGGUUUUCCUCCCCAAAUUCCAUCAAUUCUGCAGAGGCAACGUCAAAUUUACUAUGAUGGAGAUCAUUUUGCACCAUAACAACUUCAGAAGGUAGGAGAUUUGGUUUGAGAUCAUCUGUUGACGGAGUAGUUUCUUUUGAAGUGUCAUGAUGCUUUGAUUGCAAGCCUUCUGUACUUACGUCAGCCUACAAAACAAAAAUUGCAUUCAUCCACACUAGACUUAAUAAGAUUAGAAACACUUCAGAUUCUUCACUAUUUGUAAGUUUGACUAAACAGCAGAACAACUGAGGAUAAUGAACAGUAAUACACACCUGGACUUCUCGUAGAUGAUUUGGAAUUUCUUUCAGAAAUCGCGAAGGUUGAAGCAUCUGAAGGAGCCACCUUCUCAGUCAGAGCAACAACAACAAAUAAGGAGGACAGGAAUUCAAGCUAAAACGAACCUGCCAACUGGAAUCCAUCGUAACAUAAAGAAUGAAAAGCUUUUUUCGAGCACGAGUCAUUGCAACAUAUAAUAGGCGUCUUUCCUCCUAUGAUUAGAGUGGGAUUAUUGAGUUAUUGACCAAAAGAAAAAAGAGUGGAAUUAUUGUGACAAACACUUCAAAGCUCUGCAUAUAACUGAAAAAUGUUGAACAAUUUACCACACACCUCAAUGGAGGUCCCAUUUUCUUUUGCAACGCCAUUGAAUUCAUGCAACAACGGAAUCUCAGAUUCAUUUACCUGUGUUAUUGGCAUGAGCAUUAAAGCAAGCUAAGAUGAUUUGAAGAGGUUGAUAUUGUCAUGAAUAUAGUAGAAUAGAAUACCAAUUUCAAGCCAUCAAUUAGGUAUAGCAUUGGCAUGUUUAAUCCGUAAAUCUAAUGACAGAACACCUCAACUCUACACAUAAAUAAAUAAACAACCUGAAAAAUAUUACAGCCACUUGUUAAGGCAAAUACCUUAAUUAUGAAAACUAUAUCCCACUCUAAACCUUUUGACUGCAAGAGAAUGAAAAAGAAAGACAGUAAGCCAAGAAUGUUUUGUAGAACUCCAAAGGAAGUCCAAUAGGGAAAUCAUCGCAAGUAUAAGAGUUAGCGAGGUUCGCAUAAGAGGAUAUCAAAAAGAUCUAGAACCUGAUGAAUAGUAGUCAAAGUGACAGAACUUUGGUUGUCAUGUCUUCGGGAGUGAAAAUUUUCACUCUCCCGCUCAGAUAUGUAGUCGAUGAAAGCUUUGAGUAAAUUAACGCAGCCUUUUUCUUCUGCUACGACUUCUCUCUCCCCUUUUCCCGCAACAAAAUGAGUUGAUAAGAAAUCAGAUACGUCGUCUAGUAGGUACUGAAGAACCUGCAAUGAGAAUAAUCGCAUCAAAACAACAGGGUUGGACCAAGAUUUAAGUGACAACAAUGAUUAACUAACUAAAAUAGAGAAAUUAUUCAUUUAAGACCUUGUUGACUGAAAAAAGGGUUUUCCAAGCAGCGGGUCAUUUAAGCUUAUUGUAUAAAUGACAAUCAUCACAAACGGCAAACUUACAGAUCUCACGUCAUUGUCUUCAUUCAGCAGUUUUCCUCCAUCUACAUCAACGACUGCACGUUGCUCAAGAAGGUACUUCUAAAAACUGAAAGUCAAACGAUAAAUUAUUAAGAAGCAUUGAAUAUAAGCAUGAAACGAAGAAAAUGUUAUGGAAUGGUGAUCCUCAUCCUCAAAGAUGAUUAAAAGCAAUUUGAUUCAAAAAUGACAUAUCAACUCUGGAGAAAUGGAAGACAAACCUGUGGUACCAUAUUCGCAACUGAGGUUAUGACAGCUGAAAUCGAUUGUUCCUGUGUGCAUUGAUAAGUGAGACUACCAUAGAGAUUCACAACUAAAUAAAGACAGGUAUUCCACAGAACAACCUUUACCUCUUUGGAAACACAGAUCUAACAAAAACUAUAACAUUUUGGAUUAAUAUUGACGAAUCAAGAAUAAUGCAAGGGAGCAAGAGAUACUCUUCCUUCUAAUAACAAGGAGGCGUGAAAAGUUUACAGAGUUCCAACAAUUAGAGAACUAAAAUCAAACUAAAAAAAUCACCAAAGUAGACAGAAUCCCACUUCGCCAAAAAUUUGAAAAUAUAUCCUUUUUAUCCAUUGAGAUUCAUGAACUACUACUACUACAUCAUGCCAAUAAGCAAUGCGUAAGAGGUGCUACAAUUUACCGAAUAUAUUUACCCUGAGAACAAGUUUUGAAAUCAUCUCUAGUGUUAACAGCACCUUGCGUCCUUGGGUAAGCUGAGUCCUAUUAUCAAGUAAAGAGACCAAUCAGUACAUAUCCAAAAGAUCUUAAAUGCUUGUAAUACCAAAUAAGAAAGAAACAUGAGUAUAUCUUGAAUUAACAAUGCAAAAAUGUAAUGUUAAAGCAUCUUGUCAUACAGACCUCUUCAAGGUACCAGAAAUUUUGGCACUAAAGAUGUCACAAGCAGCUGAUAUGAAGCUGCAUUUUCUGUGAGUUGAAAUUUUGUCAAUAUAAUCAAUCACCUGAAGAGAGAGAGAGAGAAAGACAGUGAUAUCCAGAGAUGUGAGCCUAAAUGCUGAGUGUGUAAAAAAAGAAGAUUAAAUGGAUAGCAAGAAUAUACAACUUUAAUGCUGAAAAGAACAUUGAAUAUGAUGCUCAUUCAUCAUUGCCAUUGAACGUGUACCUUCUUCUUUUCCUCUUUCUCAAAAGCAAGUAGAGCCUUGAAGACUCGCCUAUAUGAUCCAUCAUCACAACCAGGCAAAGUUGUUUUAAUCAUAGCAACAAUGGCUCUAACUACCUGCCAUAAGAAACAUGCUACAUCAACAAGAUCACAGAGUGUACCAGAAACCGUAAUGUAGCAAAAUCUUAGAUAAAAUAGCUGGCCAAAAGGGAAUGGAAAAGCAAGCACAAAAAACAAUGAAAAGGACCAGUGAUGCCAAAAUUCUGGUGGAAAAGGUGAAAAGCUUACGUCUAUUACAGUUCUUGUAUGCAUUCUUUAUAACUUAAGUUCUACGCAGCAAAAACCACCUUAUGCACAACAAUAUUGGAAAAAUUAGAUACAUACAACUGAGAAGAUAGGUUUUCAUAGCUGGACAAGUGCUAACUACCUUCUUCCUAUAAACUGCCACUCCAUGAACAUUAAAUGGUAUUUUCCUUUCACGCAAGGCUGUCUGGAAGACUUUUCCUGAUACCUGUAGUAUAAAAUACAAAAGAAAAUGUGAGCAAAAUGUCUUAUAUGAUUCACCUCAUUCACAUUAGCACUAAGGCAAGUACGCUUGACCUGCCUCCGGUAAAGGAUUGCUAUAUUUCCAUAGGAGCACCCUGCUUCUGACCGUUUAGAUGCAGUCUCCAGGAUCUUGUCGACAACAAAGGCGCAUUGUGCAUCCUCAUUGUGACUUUCCUUGAUAAUUACCUACAUUUUGCCAGUAAAACCGGUGUCACUAACUAAAAGGACUGAAAAAUGACAUCAAAUUGUACUUGUUGGAGCAAGGAAAGAUUAAGUACCUUAGACCCAGAAGAAUUGUCCGUGUCAACAUUCUUUAGUUGGCAUCGCUUCUUAUUGUUUUUUAUAACAGAAGAUGCAGCUUCCACAAUAUAGCGUGUGGACCGAAAGUUUUUAUUAAGCCUAAUCUGAACCAUAAAGUUAUGUCAAAUCCCACAGAACCCCAUAAAAUAAAACUUACUUUCCUGUAAUUGUACAAUAUAUUUGUUCUAUACUAUAUAUAAUGAAAAAAGACACUGUGAAUGACAUAAGAUAACAUAGCAGUCAAGUGCGAAGCGAACCUCUUUGUUAUUUGAAAAAUCUUUACGAAAAGAAUCAAAUCCAGAAAUGUCCGCCCCAUUGAAACUGAAAAUGGACUGCAGCAGGAUAUAUGUUAUUUGAUUUAGAAAAGAUAAGGGCUGGAUUAAAAUGAGCUGAGAGAGAGAGAGAGGGAGAGAGGGAGCAAUAACAUUGGAUUUCCAUAAUAAAUCAACAACAUGCCUGAUCAUCAUCACCAACAAUGGUUAUGUGGUUAUGAGAGGCGAGAAUCCGCAAAAGACUAUAUUGCAUAGCACUUGUGUCUUGAAACUCGUCUAUUACAAUAGCUUUCCAUGACUCCUGGCACUCCUUCAACACUAAUUAAAAGAACACCAUGUAUCAACAUUUAGCAUUACUUGUAAAACUAGAUAAAUCAAUGAAAUAUACUUAGAUGAUAGAGACCUUCAGGAAAAUCACUUAGCAGCUUCACAGAGCAGCUAAUUAAGUCGUGGUAGUCCAAAGCGUUGCACGAUUUCAAGAUAUCAUUGUAAUUCCUAAGAAUUUCACCCUGAUUCAGAUUGAGAGCUAAAACUCAUAAGCAAUAGUUUCAAAGAACUGAAAUCAUAUCUGAAAUUCUAGUUCUGAGCGUACUCCUGUCACAUCACCCAUUCUUCGGCAUUCAGCGGGAGUCUUUCCAGAAGCUUUUGCCUGAAACAUAAAUAAAUUUAUUGCCUAAUGCCACAUAUUGUAAGACACACCAUUGUAUUGGUCAUUCUAGCUUGAUUGUAGCUAAUAUUUUUUAAAUCGAAUGAUUAGAGUUCUUAAUCCACAAUAAUCUGAACAUUAAAUUUGGUAUUCAAGACUGACCUGUGUCACAAACUUCAGCCAUUUCUUUGAUGCAUCCUUAAAAUGAUGUGGAGAUGUUACGCCGUUAGACUCUUCCCCAUCUAUAGCAACAUUAAGAUUCGUUUUACUCUUUUCAUCUUCUGAUAAACGCACAGCUUCAAUGAUUGCUCUUCUCUGUUGCCCAUGUCCAUAUAUCAAAAAUUCUGGUCUGCGCUCGAGUCUAAAACACAAGGCAACAUAACAGACUCAGCUAUACCACCAUAUGUAUGGUGUUCAAAAUCAAGGGAGGUGAAUCAAUAGCUUACUUCUCAGCAUGUGAUCGGCAAAGUUGCAAUGAAAAUGAAUGAAAUGUACUGAUUGUUAGUAGUUUGCCGUUGCUUUCCCAGUCACAGAUCCAAUUCGAUCUCUCAUCUCGGAAGCUGCUGCUGUAGUGAAAGUCAUUGCUAGAACGUUCGACGUGCUAAUGCCCUAAGAACACCCAAAAAAAAAAAACGAAUAAGAUUUCGAUCAUAAACAAGAAAUGUAGAGAAACAGACAAUUAUGAAAGAAAAAGUUAAGAGGGAAAGUAGCAACACCUCAUUGAGCAGCAUUAGAACGCGCCCAACUAUCGUUGAAGUCUUUCCACUUCCAGGGCCGGCAACAAUCAUCAAAGGUACUGAACUAUCGCUGCAAGCUGCCUCGAGCUGCCUUUCGUUGAGAGAAAGCAAAUACUUCAAAUACUCAUCCGGCAUGUUAGGCAAUCCAUGGUUAACAGAAUCUGUUUGGUUUUCACUACUCAAAGGCGGCGCUGAUGCGGCACUAACGACACUACCACAACUCCCAAUAUCAUCACGCUGAAUGUCCACACUCGUUUUCUGCUCGAUUAAAGCGUCAAUUUCCUGCAAAAUACUCUCAUCGAAAUCAUCAUCGUUAAGAAUUCCAGAUGCAGAGAAAGAAUCAAAUGAAGUCAGAAACUGCGGUUGUCUGAUUGGAGUUGUGAAAGAAUCCGAUUUUGACACGCUUGAUUCGGUCCGGCUAACGCUUAAGCUCCCGGAACACGAAGCACUGCCAUAUUCACCACGCGCUGAAUUGUACCGGCUUGCGGAAAUCGGAGGCGGUGUUCUUUGAACUCUAUUGAGCUGAGUUGGCGUUUGGAUUCCAUUUCCGCCACAGAUUCUGGAAUUUGAAAAACACAAUUGAAUUGAUUUAAAUUGAAGCAAGAAAACGGCCGAGUAGCAAAAAAAUAGUAAGAAGAUGAAACCUUUGAUUCCUGAACGACUUACUUGGUAUGAGGGAGGUGAUGAUCAGGUGAAACGGCGUCGUUGCGGGGGCGUUUGCGAUCAAUGAGGGCCUUGGCGGCUCUGCAAUUCCGAGAGAUGCGGUUUCUUUGUUCCGCCGUGAGCCCUCCGCCGUACGCCUGAACGUUUUCCUUGGACAUUGCUUCGAAGAUUCCAACGGAGGAUUUGGCCUGACGGCCUGACCAGGCUGAUAACAGUGUAAAACCUUAGGAGCUAAGGAAAAACUAAGAGAGAGAUCGUAGAGAGGGGAAAGUUUUUUGUUUUUUGGAAACUUAGAGAGGGAAAGUUUGUUAAACCUGCAUAAUAUUCUUUUCGUUCAACUUGUCUACAAUAAUUACCACUCUUGGUAUUUAUACAUUUGUAACACACCUCACUAACUAACUAAGACCACUACCAAUCAUACAUAAACACUUGUCAUAAUCCUAUGCACUCAUAGUAUCAUCACUCUAACAUCCCCCUCAAGCUCGUGUGGCAGAUUGCCAAGUAUGAAAUUGGAACAAUUACGAGUGAACUGGGGUGAACACAAGCCUUUGGUGAACAUGUCGGCAUAUUGAUCUGCAGAGGUAACAAACUGCAAAAUAAUUGUCCUUCGAUGAACUCUUUCACGAACAAAGUGGCAAUCAAUCUCUAUAUGUUUGGCUUUAGAGUGCAAUACAGGAUUAGUCGCAAGAGCCAUUGCUGAAAUGUUAUCACAAUUCAAAACUGGAACAGAAGGAUAACCAACAUGCAAAUCUCGAAUAAGUUGUUGUAUCCAGAUAACCUUAGCAGUGGUUGUAGCCAUUGCUCUAUAUUCAGCUUCAGUGGAAGACCUACUCACUGUAUGCUGCUUUUUAGAACUCCAAGAGAUAGGAGUAUCUCCCAAAAAAAUGACAAAACCCGUGGUUGAACGACGAUCAUUGGGAUCCCCUGCCCAAUCAGCAUCUGUAUAAGCUUUCAACUAAGAUGAACCUAAUUUAAAACACAAUCCCAAAGACAUAGUGCCUCUGAGAUAUCGCAGAAUACGUUUCACAGCAGCAAAUAAGUGGCUAAGGGUGAAUGCAUAAACUGACAUACUUGAUUGACAUAAAAAGAAAUAUCUAGUCUUGUAAAUGUUACGUAUUGCAGUGCCCCAACAAUACUUUUAUAAGUGGUAGGAUCAGAAACAGGUUCACUACCAUGAUUCAGAAGCUUCUAAUUAGGAUGACAAGGUGUGGGAAAAGGUUUAUAGUCCAGCAUAUGCAUAUUUUGAAGGAGUUCUUUGACAUACUUGGUCUGAUGAACAAAGAGUCCCUGAUCCUGAUACUCAAUCUGUAAACCAAGAAAAUAAUGCAACACACCUAGAUCUUUCAUGUCAAACUCACUAGUUAACUGACUAAUAACAUUAUGAACCUUCACAUCAUCAUUACUAGUGAGAAUGAUAUCAUCAACAUAUAAUAAGAGAACAAUAAUUGAUGAACAAUCACACUUGACAAAUAAUGAAGGAUCUGCAUAUGAGAUUGAGAGUUACAAGGAAAAGAUAUACAAGACUUAUUAAGUGUUGCAAUGACAAUGGAAUGUGCAGGAUCGCCUAAUCAACAAUGCCACAAUGUAGAAGAAAUCUUUUGACCCACAAAUGCAACUGGAUUAAAAACAGGAGAAAUAGACCUCUGUGGUUUGAUAUGGGAAGUGGAUAGACAACAUUAUUACUCAGCCCUUGGAAUAGCACUCUCCCGAUGACCUUGUCCUAUAGACAGAGAGAAACAUCAUCAAUGAUACAACGACACUAAUUAUCUUUGCACAACUAAUUCAUAGAUAAUAAGUGUUGUGAUAGUUUUGGAACAUGUAACAAAGAGUUUAACUUGAAAUUAUGUGACUUAGUGAGAAGAGAAGAGGAACCAAUAUGUUUGAUAGCUAAACCUUCACCACUAGCAGUGGUCACAGUAUCAUUUGAUGGAUAAAUUUGUUGCCAUGUGCAAGUUUGACAAAUCUGAGGUCAUAUGGUUAGUUGCUCCCAAGUCAAGAAACCAGAAAUCUUGUUGAAGAGUUGAGGAUGAUGCACCAGCUCGUGCUUGCACAGCAAGAGGAGGAUUUUGUGAGGAUAUAAUUGAGAGAUACAUAUGUGGUAUGACAGGAUACUGAAACUCGAAGCUAUUAGACUGUGGAAUCAUGCCUUGUGAAAGACCACAUGGAUUCUAGCUAGGUGCUUCACCAUAUGACCCAGUAGGCAUUGGAGUUGGCAUAGACGAGGAUAAACCCUGAGAGAAAUGCUAUGAUGUGUCUGUGAAAUUCUUAUUCCGAUCAAAGCAAGUAGCAGCAACACGGCAGCCUCUGUGACAAAUUUGACAUCCAUGUUGAAAACAAUUCAAUGCAGAAUGACCUUUGCGAUCACAUAUUUGCAUAAUGGCCUCUGUGAUCACAUAUUUGCAGAAUGGCCUUUGCAACCCUAGAAAGAACAAGGCGCGAAGAAGACCAAAUGUGUACGUUUCUCUUUGUUUUUUUUUCCCUCCUAAUCGUGCUGUUCGAAAUCACGGACCUCGGGCUUGGGCCUAAUGGGCCCAAUUAUGAGGCCUAUUAUCUCCGGUCUUCUCGUUCUACUUCUAGUUACCCAAAUUAAGAACGUGCUGGUUCGCUUUUAGCGCGAGAGAGAAAUGGAGGCCCUGAUUGCCUCGUACGGAAACUCGUCGUCGGGCUCAGACUCCGAGACGCCGGCUCCACCUCCACCACCACCUCCGGAGCUCAACAACCCUCAAGAACCGACCCCUGCGCUGCCUCCACCUCCUCUGUCACUUCUCGACAGCCCCAAUUCCUUCGGUAACCUCUGAUUCCCAUCAAUUUUCAUCUUUUAGCUUUCUGUUGUGAUGGCUUUUUCCGAGUUGCCCACCAAGUGUUUGAUAUUUUGCCUCUGAAGGAUUUCUGGACUUCUCGGCAAGCGUCCAGCCGAGCAGAGUUCGGAACUUUCCUCACGUCGAAGGGAACUACGCAGUACAUGUAUACAUCCCAGGUUAUCAAAAUUCUCGAAAUUUUCAGCUCCAUUAGCAAAUGCGAUCGCUUUGCACUUAGUUUUUGCUUGUUUAAUUGUGUGGUUCCAGUUUAUAUACCACCAGCACCAAGGAAAGAGAUGGCCUUGUUUUUGAACAAGCUAGCUUCUCUGGUGCCUUGUCUCCAUGCGGUUGACGUUGACUUCCCGCUUGACAUUCUGCGUAAGGACGAGCACAAGCUUGAACAAGUUGCUUUAGGCAGAGAGUUCCAUAUAAGUCUCGGAAGAACUGUUCCGAUUCGGGUGCACCAGAUUGAUUCCUUGGUGACAAUGCUGCGGCAGAAGCUUCAGAUUCAGAGGCGGUAUGGUUACAUUUACAUUCUCUUGUCUGCAUUGCGUGAAUUUAGUUCUGUUAUUUAACAUAAUUCUGUAAGCCUGCAAUUUUUUCGUCCAUUUUCGGUUUAACACAUUUUGUUAUUGUGCAACAGGUAUUGGAUUGAUUUUAGCAAGUGGGAGGUUUUUGUUAAUGAUGAUCAGACCCGGACCUUUGUGUCUAUCGAAAUCAUUGCUGCUGGGUUAGCUGAGGUAUGAUUGCUAGCUUUCUCUCUUGGUGCAAUUCUAAAUGUUUUCAGUUGUUAUAUGGGCUUAAGAUUUAGUAAGGACUUGCCGAAAGUCAUGGGAUUUUGAAAUAUCGAUAUCUUGCUUGCUUAUUAGCUUAGAUUUGGUCUUCGAUGCACUUGUAACAUGAAAAACACAAACGAAAACUAAUGCAUGAUAUGCUCAUGGUUUUAACAUGUGUUGUCCUGGCGUAAAUCAUGUUCCUAAUCCUGUCAUGUGAGUAUAAGCCUAUGAAACUCAGGGCAUGUUUGGCGGGCCGGACAAGAUUGGAAUUGGUAUUUCAGACUAGUUAGGUUAGGAUUGAACUGGAUAGGAUAGGUUUUUUUGUCUAAAGAUUGGUGUAGACUGUCUUAACCAGACUAGGAACGAUGGGAUUUAAAACGUGAAACAGAUCCGCGACAUCCCAACGAUGACCCGCCCACCCAACAACUCUGCUCGUGACUUGCAACACCUCUCGUACCCUCCACGCCCCUUGAGGCCCGUCAGACCACUCUGAUAUCCUGGAGGGGUGAAACGUGGUUACUAGAAGCAUACCUGUUUUCGUAUUAAUGCACAGUUGAAGCAGCUUUCAUUGUCUACAAGUCUGAAAUAUUUCAACUUCCAUUGAUUUCAGAUAACAAAGCAGAUUCAAGCUGUGAAUGAGGUGUAUAAGCUUCACAAUCUUCCUGAAUUUUACAAGGUUAGCUUUUUCGUGCUUUUCAAACUCGAAAUUACUUACUGAAUAUAUGACAAUAUAUUGGAGCAAAUGAUUGUGCCUGAAUGCUACUCAUUGCUCAAAAAACUAAAUCACUUCAUGGGGUGUUGGUGAUCACAGGAUCCGCGCCCUCACAUCUCGGUAGCUUGGGCAUUGGGUGACAUCGGCAAUUCCCUGAAGAAAGUGGUUGAAGAAGAAAGACGAAGAUCUACCAUCGGAGGAUCGUUACAGAAAUGUAUUUUUACCAGUAAAUUCAAUGGUAUUGAAUGUAGGAUUGGUAAUAAAACACACAAAAUAUGUAAAUUUUCUGAACAAUAAUGUAGCCAUUUAACUAUAUUGUGAAAUUCCGAGAAUAUAUCGCUGAGCAUUGGAUGAGAAGACAUUUCUUCGUUGGUGUCGAACUUCAUGCCGAAGGUAUAGACACCGUGUAAACGCCAUCAUCCAUGCAGUCUCCUGUGCAUUAUUUAGUAUUGUCUCAGUUUCUCCAAACUUGAAUGCUCCUAUAAACCCACUCUUGACCUUUCCGUCAUCUGCGAUUACCGGAAAGCUGGCAAGGAUGUUGCCGUUAACCUACCUAACCGGCUAGGAUGUUGCCGUCAUCUCCAAACUUUAAAUACCGGAAAGCCGGCUCCAAACUUCAAUGUGCUACUAGUUUUUGUAUGCGAGAGCUCCACCUCCAUUGUUGUAACAGCAUCUGAUGCGGACUAGUCCUUCAUUCCCGUUACUCUUUGCUAUCUCCACUUCGAACUUGGCGUAAUGGCUCCCGGCCUCCUCUCCGGUGAAAUUGAGAAACCCCGGAGCUGGCGUUUUCAUUCUGUUGUCCGUAUAUCUUGUAUUACAAGUAUUUGUUGUGCAAAAUGCAAGCUAAGUUCAAUUUAUGUUUAUGUGUGUGUGUGUGUUGCCACUUUGUCACUUUUCCAACGUUUUCUCCAAAAUUGUGAUUUUGGUGAAUCCUAAUAACAAUUCCCUCGUUAAUCAUUGGGACGAGCACCAAGGCAGUUUUGAUUCCGUGCACAACGGCGAUACCUCGAAAGAAAUUGAUUCUAACCCAGAAAGAUGUUUUAAAUCAAAGUUGAACAAGGGAAGAAAACUUUUGAAUCGCAAUCACAUGUCUGGUCAAAUUCUUGAACAGUUGAUGUAUACAGACGUUCCUUGCUUAUGACACGACUUAUGAGAGGAUGUAUGUAUUGCAUUUGCAUCAAAAAAGAGAGAGAAGGUUGUAAGUGGUAAGGGAACGACUACCGAUGCCGCUCCACUUCUAAUCAAAGGGAUCGAUCCGAGGGUCGUGUUCACUUGCCAUCGCCAUUCCAGUGCAAAGGCAUGUCGGGCACAUUACCUGCCACAUUUACAGACGCAAUGUUAGAUAUAGCUGCCAUUUGGAAGUCACUUCUCAAAAUUUUGCUACUAAAUUAAUCUUAGACUUCAUUUCCAGUGCAAUUUUUUGCUACUAAAUUAAGCUUGUGAAUAUAGUACAUCUAAGCGGCAGGCACUAAAAGGAAUUUAGUAUGCAAUAAACAUUCAACGGACUAACCUUUCCCGCUCCUGAGCAAUUUGAACAUCGUUCAGUUUUUGGCAGAGAUAGGGGUUGGUUUCCGCCAUCAGCUGUCGAUACUGGUUCAGUAAGAACAAGGGUUCCAGUGCUGGAGCAACGAGCACAAGCAAGAUAUCCUGCGUAAGUAUCAAAUACACAGGUAAGUUGACAUAUGAAACCAAUCUGUGUAAACUACACUGUAAUAGCAGAAGAAUAUGCAGUACGAGAGAAAGAGAGAGAGAGAGAUUUAGAGAGAGAAGUUAAUACUUCAUAUGUAAUAUUUUCUAUAUCAUCAAUCUUACAAUAUUAAGACUAUAUACUAUAUGAAACUGCUAACUAACUCUAACAACCUCUCUAACAACCUUUCUAAUCUUUUGACAAGUGUCUUCAUAUUCUACCAUUGGAUUACUAUCCUUAACAUCCCCCCUCAAGCUCAGGAGAGGUAGAAUCCAAACUGAGAUUGCGACAAUGAAUCUGAAAGAGAGGAGCAGAUAAUCCCUUGGUCAGUAUGUCUGCAUAUUGCUCACUGGAAGACACAAACUGAACAAGCAACUGCUUCUUUGCAACUCGUUCGCGAACAAAAUGAAUAUCAACCUCAAUGUGCUUUGUGCGUUGAUGUAGAACUGGAUUGGAUUAAGCAAUUACUGACCUUUGUGCAUCUUACUAUUCCUACUUCACCAGUUUUGUAUUGUGAUAAUAUGUCAGCAAUCGCAUUAACAACCUCUCUAACAACCUUUCUAAUCUUUUGACAAGUGUCUUCAUAUUCUACCAUUGGAUUACUAUCCUUAACAAUCUGAACAUCUCCAUCGUAUAUAUUUAAAGCUACAGUACAUAAAACGAAAAGUCAGAAAUAGAGGACAUUAUCACACCAGUUCCAAGACAAUAUUUGCAUCGUUUAUGCUCCUGCUGUUUCACAUUGUUUAUUUCAACUACCAUCAAUGCUGAGAUCACUCCGACUGCUCCUCCAGAGAAUGACGCCACUAUGGGAUCAACUUGACUGCAGUUUGAAAGUAAAGGAGAUCAAUAAACAAAACUGUUAACAACAUAGUAUCAACAUUAUUUAGCUUCGUUUCAAGAAAUAUGACAUCCUAGGUUUUUCUAAUGUGUAAAAAUUGAGGAUCCUUGACUAUAUCGGUUCCCAAAGCAUUUGAUUCCUACGUUACAGACGGAAAACAGUAACAAUCGAAUUUAAAGAUUCAUAACACGAUAGAUGGUAGGUCUCGGGUUCGAGACUUGGGAGCAGCCUCUCCAUAAAUGGGGGUAAGGCUAGCCGACAUUCACCUCUCCCAGACCCUGCGUAAAGCGGGAGCCUUGUGCACUGGGUACGACCUUUUAUAACACGAUAGAUGGUACAAAUUUUCAAAACGAUAAUUACUAGAGAACAGGAGGGUUAAUAGCCUGAGAUAUGAGCAAUACCUCAACUGCAACGGCAGAUGCAUAUUUACUAUAAAGUCUUUAUAUGAUGUGCCUCCUAUUCCCAGCUUCAACUCCAACUGAAAGAUGUAAAGGUAAUUGUAGGCAAAGAGUUACAAACAUAACCGAAUCCAUGUUUUAUAAGCAACAACUACACUUAUUUUGUUAUGUUUCCUCAUUUUUUACUUGCAAAUUCCGAACCAUAUUGUCGGACCAGUAAAAAGAAAAUAAUGUUUAUGAUAACUGUUAAAACUAAUCACAACAAGUUAAUGCAUAAAGAACUUACGGAGGGUGCUAUGAGGCCACCGAAAAGGAUAAACCCCGCAAUAAUUGAAUAACAAACAGCAUAAUAUUGCUUAAGGUUGUCUGAACUCUGCAAGCAAUGAAUUCACCUUGUGAUUAAUACUUUGCACAAACACUAGUUUUCGCAAUUUUUUAUGAAUCGACAAAAGGCUACAACAAAAUAUGGCUAAAACAUGUGAAAAUACAUGUCUUCACAGGGGCACCAGCUUACCAGGGGAGGCAAAAAUGGAAUGAACGAUGGAAAACUAGGAAGUUCGUUUUCUUGAUCUUCAUUUACCGCUCCAAGCUCUGCACGUUUAAUCCGCUGUUGUAUCCUCAGCCCGCGAACCUACGCAUAUCGAAGCUCAUUCUUAAAGAACACAUUUCUAAUGGCAAUUGGAGAGUAAUUUAAAACAUGCUAAACUGAGAAAGUGGUAGCAACAAGCAAUUGCUCUCACUUCCUCCAUAUGCAAGAAAAUUUUGUUGCGACGACUCCGAAUAUUAUCUUGAAUUUCCUGCAGCUCCAUUGUCGCAAAGUCCUGCACUGUUUCAGGCCCCUCUAUGAUACAAAAUCUGCACAAUUAAGCAUGUAAAAACUAAAAAUUACAGGCUAUAAAACAAUUUCCGUAUCAUUUUUGGGAGCUCUCUCUCUCUCUCAAACCAGAAGGCAGAGCUUUCUGUUUCUCUUGAGGUUUCUUUCACUGGUAAAUUCCAGAGAAGCAGAGAAGAAGGCUCUCUGAGAAAUGGCGAUGGUGCAAGUGGAGACAAAACAAAUGUAUAUCUUGAAGCACCGAAAUUGUGCAGAACACUUGUCAACUACCGAACUCUAGGAUUAGGAGAGAGAGAGAGAGAGAGAGUGAGUGACCGGCAAAAAAAAAAAUGAGGGAAGAAUCACCCACAUUUAAAAAUGAUUUUUAGGGGACCUGGUGUCGUUGGAUUCGAGUAGUUGUUCGGUAUGUCACAUUUAAAAUUUUAUUAUCUGAUGAUAAACGUCGAAACAUAAAGAUAGGUCAUCUCUAACCGAAUGAGGACUAAAAAGUCAUGUUUAGUACUAUAAUCCUGCAAUGAAUUAUAUUUUAAUAAAUAAUAUCAGGUUAUAUUUUAUACCAUAUCUAACCGAGUGGGUCAAAUGAUCAUAUGCCAAACAUAGCCUUUUGACAAAAAACUCAUCUCCAACCGAGGGGGCUAAAUGGUCAUAGACCAAACAUAAUUGCUCAAUAAUUUAUUAUUCUAAUUGAAUUAAUAUGAUUAAUUAAAUUAAAUUACCAUAUUAAAAUAAGAUUUCAUGAUAUAUUUUGAGUGCCACUUGCCACAAUACCGAAGAAAGCAUGGUAUUAUUGCACCUGCCACAAAGUCAAGCUUGACAUUCUGCUGCUGGAGGGCUGGCUGGCUAGCUGAAAAUGGCCAGCCUGCUGGCCUGAUUUGGGAGGUUUUGGCCCAAUGGGGCCCCAAGCCCUUUGGCCUAGCCUUCGGUUGGAAACGGUUUUCGUGUUAUUCUGAGUUAUUUUUAACCCUAUGAUCCUUUGGCCGGAUCGAUUGGAGAUGACCUUAGGUGUGUUGAUUGUCUUUGAGACAUCGGAGGUUCUGUGUGAUUGAAUACUUCACCCUCCUCCAAAGGCGCCACUCUUGAGAAGGUUACUUGCCUCAUGCAAACAUUGUGAAUUGCAAGUGAUGAAUUGUUCUGAUGAUGAGGUUUAUUUUUUAACUCAUUAUGUUUCAAGUUUAAACAUUUUUCCCUCUCUUAGUGUAAAAUAUUGUUUGUGAUAAAAAAACUUAAAAUGAGACACUCUCCUUCAUAUAUAAGAUGAUCAAGUGUGAGAUUAAUACUUUUAAUGAGUGACUCAAUUAACCAUUUUCAUUUCUUACGCGUUCAAAAUUAGACAAAUUCUUUGCAUACAUUUAAAAAAAAAAGAUAUUAAGGAGAGUAUAAAAUUAUUACAUUACGAAGAGAGAGUUUCGAACUCGGGACGUAUGAGUAGAACCCUAACGCCUCUCCACUAGGAUAUUAGACCAAUACUGGUCUUGAAUUUUUUUGGUGCCCGGAGCGAAUGCUCAAAACGUGUCUUUUUCCAGUACAACAUAAAUUAAAAAGAAAUAUUUAUAGAGGGCUAGAACCCAAUCGAAGCUGGGGGACUAGGCCCUUACGCCUAUAUUAUAUUACUUACCUAAUACAAACAUUUCUGAUAGAUUUCAGAGGCUCUAAAUGGUCAAACACUUCGUCCUUCCCAAAACCGUUACUGUUGAGAGGGUUCCUUACCUAAUACAAACAUUUUACGUUUACUUAGAACUAGAAAAAUAAGAAUUGCAGGUGAUGAAUUGCUCUAAUGAUGAUGUUUAUUUUUUAACUUAUUGUGUUUUAAGUUUAAAUAAUUCUGUUUCUUUGAUAUAUAUAUUAGUGUAAAAUCAUUCGUAAUAAUAAAAAAAAAGAAUAAAAAUGAUACUCUCAUUUAUAUACAAGUUGAUCAAGUGUGAGAUUAAUAAUUUUAAUGAGUGAAUUAACUAUUUUCAUUUCUUACGAGUUCAAAAUUACACAAAUUCUUUGCAUACAUUUUUUUUUUAAAUAGAAAAUUUCUAUUAUUAAGGAGAGAGUCCUAAACUAUUAGGUUAUGGAAUGUGAGUAGAAACCUAACGCCUAUCCACUAGGAUAUUAGACCACCAGAGCUGAUCCUGAGAUUUUUGGUGCCUGCGUCAAAAUAUGUCCUUUUCCAGUACAACAAUAUAAAUUAAAAAGAAAUAUUUAAAGAGGGCUGGAACCCAGUCGAAGCUGGGAGGCUAGGCCCUCACGCCCAUAUUCUAUUACUUGAAGAAACAAUAUACAACGGGGGGAAUCAUAGUACCGAAACCCCAACAAUAAAAAACAAAGUCACAUGCAACCACUCCAAGCAGUCAACUUGGCCAUUACAUAUUGAAUCCAAAAGGUUGACGGCCUAUUCUCUGCAUACAAUGCACAGAAGAUAACAAGAUUACUAAUAUAAAAAGAACAUCUGAAAAGAUGAACAUAUGCAUCAACAAAUAAGCAGGGGCGGAUCCACAGUGGGGUCGUCGGGGUCAAACGACCCCUUGGAAACCAUGGAAACAACCUUGAAGCUCCCAUAUGCGACCUCUUGGAGCUGGGGUUGUCGGGGUUGUCAGGAAGAGGAAGAAGAAGACUCGGCAGGAAGAGGAAGAAGAAGCAGCUCGCGCGACGUGUAGGUUCUGUGUAGAGUUUCUGACCUUUAAUUCCCACUUCACAAAGACGAGAGAAAGAGAGAGAGGGAAGGAAAGUCCUCGGGGUGGUGGUGAUGUAGACCUUCGUCGGGGUAGUGGUGUGGGUGUGCGUGGGUGUGGAUUCGAUCGGAGAGAGUGAGAGGGUUAAAGAGUGAAAAAGAGAGAGAGAGAGAGAGAGAGAGAGAGAGAGAGAGAGAGAGAGAGAGAGAGAGAGAGAGAGAGAGAGAGAGAGAGAGGAGAGUUCGGGGAGAUGAGAAGGAGGACAAUGGGGACUUGCCCCGUGGCAAGUUGUGAUAGGUAGGAAAUCCCAAAAAGGGAUCCGGAUAGGGUAAGUAAGUGGGGACCAAAUUGUAAACUUCAUUUAACUGUAGGGAAAUUGUGAAAUUACAAGGAAAUCUUUGGGGAGGGGUUUUACAGAAACCCUUCUCAACACUUAAAAGCAAACUGCGUGCUUUUAAUCAGGUUUGGCUCUAUAAUUGAACUUGUAACCAUGCCUUUCCCUAUGACGGAAUUGUGAUAUGCUUUGCCAGAUAUUCACAAGGAAUUCAUUUUUCUUUUUCCAAUUGCAAAAUAUUAGUGAACAAGUUGUUUCUUCUAUGAGAGAUCCAAGCAUAAUGGUUGGGUAGAUGCAGAUGAGAAAAUCAGCAGUUGCUGUAUUUGGCACAGUAAGAUAUUAACUCUUACAUCUAAAUUGAAAAACAUGAAAAUUUCCUAGUUCUCAAGGUCUCACGUGCAUGCUCAGAUACAUUUGUGCUUCAUAUUUGUGUGUUUGAUUCCGAGAAGGCUGACAAGUUGAAGCAAUCUCUUCCUCCAUGUUUGAACAUUCAGGACCUUUGAACAAGGAUUUUGGAGUAGCUGGUUGCGCUAUCCUACCAAGACCCGAUGAAAUGACGAUAUGCAUGCCGUUUCUGUUAAAAAAAAAUAUCCUUAUUGACCCCCCAAACAUUAUUUCCUGGAUCCGCCACUGCAAAUAAGUAAACCAUUCUAAGUGCAAUUUUAGAAGUGAUACGCUCCAAGUGUGAUAUUGGACAGAAGAGCGGCAGCUUCAACCAGUUCUGCUAUAUCCGGCUGGAUGAGAGCUGCUAAAGACAUGAUUGUUCCCUAAUAACAUGAAUAAAUUGAGUAAACACCAAAAGUAGCGCAGCAAGGGAAGGAGAUUUGAAGUAGAUGAAGAGGUGUAAUACCCGUAUAUGCAGCGCAUCAUUUCUGAUAGAUCAAAUCGAGCCAAUUCCUGCCAACUCCAAUGCCGAUAAUCCUACAGUAAAGCAUAAAUCUUAUUCUCUUCUGAUAAAGAUGUGUGUCCCUGACUCCAACGUGUUUGACGCACAUUCCCUACCCAUACAUUGAAACCUUCAUCUGCAAGGACGAAUCCCAGUUAUUCUUCUGGAGAAUUUAAGAACCAUGAAUCACCUGGUCAAGAAAAGCCAGUAACCAAUUACAAUUGAGUUUGAAGCACAUAAGAGCCUAAUUUAAAAUGUAUCCCAUGGAUGUUCAUCAAUUUACACAAUAGUUAGUUUCAAGAAAGGAAAUUUCAACAGAACCUGAAAACUUCAGAUCAGGGGGCACCAAAUAGUGAGCUAUACAUUCAAAAUUUGAAAUAAUCAACUUAGUGGGACCAAUAUGUUGAAAAAAUUGGAAGGAGCUAUGAAAGUAAGGCUUUUCACUAAUCAGACGUCCAGAGAAUCAAUAUUUUACUCACGGAUCAGUUACGGGGAACACUCCCCACCAAAGCAAACUCUUUCGUCUGAAUCUGGAAAACAAGCAGCAGUGGAUUUUAACAGUCUGGGUAUCUCAAAGUUACUUUAAUCACAAAUUUAACAAUUAAACAUAUAAAUGGGCAUUAUUUAGUGAAAUAUUAGUAUAGUACUCACUGUGUGCUCGGAACAAGAGUACCCAGAAAGCUCAAUGAGCUGCGCACAGAGGACUACAGCGGUGAACGACAGCGACCGAUUCUGUAAAAUUCAGUCGAGUUUUGGGUGAUUUCGGAGGUCAAGAGGCUGAUAAGGAAAGCUGCGACCGAAGGGCACUGGUCUGGAAGAAAAGGCUCAGGUCACUGCUGUCCCAAUUCGCGAAGGAAGUGCCCCCAAAACAAUUUCGGCCCUGGACAGGUGCACUGUUUGCACUGGACCAGGGCCGGCCGGCCCAGGCGAUAACGUCCCCCAAACAGUACAUAUACAGAUGCUAGAAAUAUAUUAAUGUAACCUGAAACUACUAGAACCAUUCAAUUCUAGCGUCUACAGCUUUAGCAUUAGUUGGUACAUGGGACAUUCUUCCAAAGAGGGAGAUGAGCUCGUUGAGGCUCUUAUUUAUUCCCCCUCUUGAUGUGCCCUUCUAGGCUGCUAAUUCCAGACGAUCCAAUCUCAUACAUCUUCCCUGCAAAAGCAUGUGUGCCAGACUUCAAGAUCAAAUUUUUCCAACAAAAGAAACUUAAAGAUCAAACUCGCCAGCGGAAUAAAUGAUGCACAAGGGUGUUAAAAUCUUGACAUAUGUAUAUUUUUGGCAGAUUUUAUGUGAGCAUGCUACUAAAACUGGCAUCACUAAAGAUUGGUGGAAAACUUUAACAGUUUGAGUUGUAACUUCUCCAUUGUAUUUGUUAAGGCAAGAUGGAUGACAUCUAUGCAAUUUUCAGUAGAACUUAAAAGGCUGCAUAGCAGCUCUUGUUCGUUGUAUUGAAUACCGUGGUUUUACUGAUGAAUGCAGAGUUUGUUGAUGAUUCAUACGACAAGCAAUUGAAAAUCCCAUCAUUAUGCCCCACAUAUACCAAAAAAAAAAAGUCAUUUACACAAAUUCAGAGCGUUCAUCCACUGUAAUUUGCAGAUAUAGAAACGUUAAGAUAAAAGGAAAUGCAAAGUACCUUUCACCCAAAUUGGAGGAGCACCGGUGGCAUUAGCAAGUUAGCAACGGGAAUUGACAUACCAAUAUCUUCACAGUUUCUGCACAAGCACAAAUCAAAAGAACCCGGCGGUGGAGUUAUGUACCUCUCCUUGGAAAAUGCCACCUCUUGGGAUUUCAAAAUAUGCAGCCAUGGCUAGCCGUCUGACCACGCCAAUUCCACCAAAGCCACCGCAACGCGGCGUAGUGUCCGAUUGAUUGCUUCAAAACAGAGCUUCGUAUCCAUGUGUUUAUCAGCAGAGAGUACCCAAAACCACUGAAAAUUAUUUCUUUAUUCAGAUAAUAAAAUUUCCCAAAUUUGGAAAUUUAAUUCCGAAUCAAAAGUAGGGUUUGAAUUUUGAUUACCUAGAAAUUGGGGGGUUGGGGUGGAGAGGGACCCGUGCCACGACGGAUCUCUGUGUCUGUUUUAACUCAUGCCAAAUUAUAGAGAGUGUCAGGAAGACUUAAAUACUGAAGCCCCGUAAGCCGUUCAAUCCAGGGGGGAAGCUCUUUGAUAGAUGUUUUAUCCAAGAUAAGAUAUCUUAAUCCUUCCAUAUUUUCUUCAAUGCUUGGAAACACCUCAAAUUUUGUACAACCGGAAACAGAGAGACGGACAAGGGACUUGAGCUGACAAAUGCUGCUUGGAAGGCUCUUUAGUUCCUCGCAGUCGUUUAGCUUCAAAUAAGUCAAUCCCGUGAGAUUAUUAAUCGACCAUGGUAGUUCUUUAAUUUUUGAUCCGGAUAAAUUAAGAAAUUCUAACCCUUCAAUCACUUCUGUAAUCUCUGGAAACAUCUCAAGGCUCGAGCAACCAUAAAGAUCAAAGCUUUUGAGUGAUUUCAUACGAAUGCUGCUGGGAAGACUCUUAAGUUUCUUGCAGUAUAGUAGAUUCAAAUGACUCAACCCCGUAAGAUUAUUAAUUGAUGGGGGCAGUUCUUUAAUUUUUGAGCAGCGUAAAUCAAGCUUUUCUAACCCCUCAAUACCUUUUGACAUCGAUGGAAACAUCUCAAGACUGGAGCAGCCAUGAAGGUUCAAGGUUUUGAGACAUUUCAUACGAAUGCAGCCUGGAAGACUCUUAAGUUCCUUGCAAUCUUUUAGGUUGAAAUGACACAACCCCGUGAGAUUAUUAAUUGACAUGGGCAGUUCUUUAAUUUUUGACUCGGAUAAAUUAAGCUCUUCUAACUCCUCCAUACAUUUUGAAAUCUCUGGAAACAUCACAAGAUUGGAGCAGCCAUAAAGAUUAAAGGUUUUGAGAGAUCUCAUACGAAUUUUGCUGGGUAGACUCUCAAGUUCCUUGGAAAAUUCUAAGUUUAAAUGACUCAAUCCCGUGAGAUUAUUAAUUGACUCGGGCAGUACUUUAAUUUUUGACGCGGUUAAAUUAAGCUCUUCUAACUCCUCCAUACCUUCUGAAAUCUCUGGAAACAUCUCAAGAUUGGUGCAACCUCUUAGAUUAAAGGUUUUGAGAGAUUGCAUGCCAAUGUUGUUGGGUAGAAUCUUAAGUUCAUUGCACCAAUUCAGAUCUAAUAAAACAAGCUUUGUAAGAGUCAAAAUCGACCCGUGAACCUCAACUAAGCGUGUACAACUUUGAACAAUUAGCCUCUCAAGAUUUGGCACAUUUGUGAAGUCAGGGGUUAUCUCAAGGUUUUGACAAUGACUUAAAUUGAUGAAUUUCAACUUUUCCUGCGUCUGUUAAAACAUUCAGGAAAACAUGCAUUACUUAAUAAGACAUCUUACUCAAAGCCCAAACAUUUAAAAGAAACAAAUACAAGUAAAUGAUUGUACAUACCUGGGUUCCUUCCCAAAGUCGGUUAAUGAGACUACAUCGCAUGUCAAGUUCAACAAGAUUUUUGAAUUGAAAGUUGGAUGGCAAAGACUUGAGAGGGAAUUGAAACCAGGAGAGAUACCUCAAGUUAGGUAACUUAAAACGGAGCCCACUCAGGUGGUGUUUCCAGUAAUCACGUUUAAAAACGGAGCCCUCACUACUGAUCUUGAGAAGUCUUAGUUGAGUCAUACUAGCAAAAGCUUUAGCAUUUAAGCAUACCCGGUCUGAGUACGAGAAAUCCACGAUUAUGCUUUCAACUGUUUUCGUAGCCUGUGCAAAUCAAAGUAUUAGAAAAUACAAAGAACCUUAGUUUAGAUUAUGAAAUUAAUGCUUGUUUCUUAGGGAGCUGUUUGAUAAUCAUUUCGUUUUUAGUUUAAUUUUUUUUUCAAUUUUCAAUUAUUCAAACAAUGAAAACUAAAAAUUAAAAAUUGAAAACAAAAAUGGUUAUCAAAUGGCCUAAGAAAUUGAUUUUGGUCAAAAGUUGAAGCUUUCUACUAACAAUUGCAUAAGAAAAAGACUUCUCACCGUAUUUUGAGUUAGCAUUUGAUUAACAUCUUCAUAACUCCACAACCUACUUCGUUUCCCAGGCUCUUUGAUAGAUUCUUGACGGACGAUUUCCCGACCCAUUUCCUCUAAUGAAUCAUGCUUCUCCAGUUCCCCCUCCCCUGAGACAGUUAUGAGAGCAUGAUCGAUUAGAACUCUUAUUCCUAUAUGAGGAUGGAAACCACAAUCGUCCAUAAUUCGGGUUGCACAGUCUUUCUUCAUCCCUUUAAAGAAACAUGCAAUAUCUAGAAAGAUGUCUUUCACUGUGUCAUCUAGUCCAUCGAAGCUUGAUUUAAGCACAUCAUGAAUUCCCCUUUGCGGGAUUUUCCUUAUUUUUUCUAACUCAUCUUCCCACUCACGGAUAGUUUUUUUAAGAAGAAAAGCUCCCAAAACUUUGAGUGCUAAGGGCAGACCUUGAGCAUAUUUUACGACACGCUUAGAGAGAUCAUCAUAAUCUCUGGUGGGUUGGUUUUUUCGGAAGGCGUGCUGCCUAAAGAGUUUCAGAGCUCCAGAAUCACUCAAAGUCUUGGGAUUAUAUAUCACAUCAACUAUGCUUAGUAACUGUGAAUCUCUACUUGUUAUAAUAAUCCUACUUCCACCACCAAAGGAAUGUGGCUCUCCAAGUAAAGCAUCAAUUUGUUCUGAUUUGUCCACAUCAUCAACAACAAUAAGAACUUCUCUGACCAAGGCUUUUUAACAUCACCUGAAAACCUUUGUUCGAUAUGUCAGAGCUCCCCACCUUGUUGUCCGAGAUACUAGAUAGAAGUUGUGUCUGCAUAUGUAGUUCGCCGUGCUUCAUGAAACCCUCCUUGACAUUUUUAAGAAAGCAACAAGUUUCAAAUCGACUAGCGAUUUCAUCAUAAACAGCUCUAGCGAUGGUUGUUUUGCCUAAACCACCCAUACCCCAUAUUCCAACAACGCGAACAUUAUUCGUUUCAACUCCAGGAGGAUGUAAUAAUAAAUGCAUUUCAUGCAUAUGAGAAUCCAUGUCAACCAAGCCAUUCUCUUUCCUUGAUGAUGAUGAGAUGUCAAUCAAUUUCCGAUAAACAUAUUCUACAAUUUCCUCUACGAGCACCGCAUCACUCCUGUCAAAUUAAAAAAAAAAAAUAUAAUAACAACAAAAAAUAAUAAUUAAUAGGUCUUUUUCAUCUGUUAGUUUUAAAAAAACUAGAAAUUAAAACCAAAAUCUUGUUGUGGUCUAUUUUAUCUGACAGAGGGACUAGGGCCGGCGGCAGAGAGAGAGAGGAGAGAGAGGUGUGUUUGUAGAAUUGUAGGGGAAUGUGUGUGUUGUUAUCCCUCCUACAUUGUGCCUUUAUUUAUAGUAGUAAAGGGAGAGAAGAUAUUCCUUCUUCUCCAAGUAAUACAAGUUGUAAUAGGAAAGGAUAACUAGAAUCAAAUCUUAUCUAGGAUUUACACAAUCAUACUUAAACUAGGAAUGUUUACAACACUCCCCCUUGAGUGGGUAAAUACUCAAGGUAGAUUCAGCAUCAUGCAGAAGUUGAGGAAGUCGACUCGUCGGCAUUGAUUCCAAGGAACAACGCUUAUUCUCAAUAAGGUAGGAACUUGCAUAAGUAGUAAGUCUCACUAAAAAACCCUAAGGCUAUGGCAAAAACCCAAGUAGGGACAAAAUCCAUAGUCUAAGGAAAAAUGCGUGAGGAAUGCAAAGUCAAAAGAAACGUCUACAGGACAUCAUCAGGGAUAUGACCAGCCCAAGGUGGGUGCCUCGUUAAAACCUAGUUAGGUAGCAAAAACCCAGUGGGAAAAAUGCUCCUAAUCGUAGGGAAAAAGAGUACAUUAAGAUCAAGCAAGUAUCCAGAAGAAACUCCCCCUGAGUUUGACAUAAUUCCAAAGAGAAAUAGCAAAGUUACAACUCAGAAAGUUUUUACGCAUACCAAUUCCAUGAACAAGCUUCUAAAAACGUCGCCUUCGGUAGUGAUUUGGUGAAGAGGUCGGCCAGAUUGUCUUGUGAUCGGAUUUGCGUGACUUCAAUCUUCUGAUGCUCUUGUUGUUGAUGUGUAAAGAAGAACUUCGGCGCAAUAUGCUUGGUGUUGUCUCCUUUGAUGUAACCCUUCUUGAGCUGUUCGAUGCAAGCUGCGUUGUCUUCAAAAAUCGUCGUCGGGGCAUUAACGGCGGGAUGAAGAUCACAGGAGCUUCGAAUAUGGCCCACUACUGCUCUCAACCAAAAGCAUUCCCGAGUUGCUUCAUGUAAGGCGAGAAUUUCAGCAUGGUUAGACGAAGUGGCAACUAAGGUCUGUUUAGUUGACCUCCAAGAUAUUGCGGUGCCUCCAACGGUAAAGACAUAACCCGUUUGAAGAACGCGCCUUGUGCGGAUCAGAUAAGUAUCCAGUGUCGGCAUAACCAACAAGGCGAGAAUCAACCCGAUGAGCAUAGGGUGCGGCAUCACUCGAGGAUUCGUAGGGAUAAGAUAAAGCCCAAAUCCGUAGUACCCUUAAGGUAACGGAAGAUGUCUUUCACGCCAGUCCAAUGUCUGCGUGUUGGUGCAUUGCUGUAUCUUGCCAAAAGAUUAACAGCGAAGGAGAUGUCGGGUCUAGUGCAUUGAGCUAAGUACAAUAAAGCGCCUAUCGCACUUAGAUAAGGAACUUCAGGCUCCAAAAUCUCUUCAUCAUCCUCCUUCGGACGGAAGGGAUCUCGCUUUGCAUCUAGCGUACGAACGACCAUAGGAGUACUCGAAGGCUUCGCUUUAUCCUCAUUAAAACGGCGCAACACCUUCUGGGUGUAGUUCGAUUGAAGUACUAGGAUUCCAUCCGAACAAUGCUCUAUCUCGAGGCCGAGACAGUAUCGAGUCUUACCUAGAUCUUUCAUCUCAAAUUCCGACUUCAGGUGCGAAGCAGUUCUCGCGAGCUCUUCAGGAGUUCCGAUGAGAUUCAUGUCAUCGACAUAUACUGCAACAAUCGCAAAUCCGGAAUGUGACUUCUUAAUGAACACACAAGGGCAUAGUUCGUUAUUCACAUAUCCCUGACUAGUCAAAUACUCACUUAAACGGUUAUACCACAUUCUUCCGGAUUGUUUCAAACCGUAUAGUGAACGCCUCAGCCGAAUUGAGAGCGUGUUCCGAGGUUUGGAAAUAUUUGAACCAGUCAAUGUAAGUCCUUCGGGAACUUUCAUAUAAAUUUCCGUAUCAAGAUCCCCAUAGAGAUACGCGGUUACUACGUCCAUCAGCUGCAUAUCCAGUUUUUCGGAAACUACCAAACUGAUAAGGUAUCGAAAAGUAAUCACAUCCAUAACGGGUGAGUAAGUUUCGUCAUAGUCAAUCCCGGGGCGUUGUGAGAAACCUUGUGCUACAAGACGAGCUUUGUAACGCACAAUUUCGUUCUUCUCAUUACGCUUCCGAACGAAAACCCACUUGUAGCCAACGGGCUUCACAUGUGGAGGAGUAGGAACUACAGGUCCAAACACCUUACGUUUCGCAAGUGAAUCAAGUUCGACUUGGAUUGCUUGUUUCCAGUUUGACCAAUCAGCUCUACGUCGACAUUCAUCAACGGAACGCGGUUCAAUGUCAUCGCUCAACAUGAUCUCAGUAGCUACUGCAAAUGCUAAUGCAUCGUCGACAAUCAUCUCAUUUCUACGCCACACAUCAUCUAAGCUAGCAUAAUAGACCGAAAUCUCACGAUUCUCGGGAGGAGGAUUCGUCUCUUCAAGGACGCUUCCAUAAUCUAGAAUUUCCUCAUGAGUUGGGUAAAAUGAGUAAGCGAUAGUCGGAUUCACGGUAGGCUCUUCAGGACCUUGUGCCGUGGUUUUCCUCUUCCGGGGGUGUGAAUCCUUUGAACCAAGGGGUCUGCCACGCUUUUGUGUAGGGGCAGAUGAUUGGCUAGCCGCUAAUGUACGUGGAUCACCAGAAUUGGCGUCCCGGGCUUCCAGGAGGGUAGUCCGUCGUACAUUUGGUACAUCCAUCUUUGCAGGCGUUUUCGCAGCUGGAAUAUGUGAUCUUGUCACGCGCGCUAGAUCGGUGAAAGCAUCUGGCAUGCUCUGAGCUAUGCUCUGGAGAUCUAAUAUGCGCUGCACUUCAGCUUCAGACUGAGCGGUGCGGGGAUCUAAAUGAGACAAAGUGGGAGUCAUCCACGAUAAUUCGCGUCGUUCAUUAGGAACGUUGACGUUCUUAUCUCCCCCUAACGACGGGAAGACUGUCUCAUAGAAGUGACAAUCCGCGAAACGAGCGGUAAACAGAUCGCCUGUCAAAGGUUCUAAGUAACGAAUAAUCGAAGGAGAAUCAUAUCCGACAUAGAUUCCCAUCCUUCGCUGAGGCCCCAUUUUUGUACAUAAGGGCGGCGAGAUCGGCACAUAGACCGCACAACCAAAAACGCGCAGAUGAGAUAUGUCGGGUUCGCAUCCGGUGACCAACUGAAGGGCACUAAAUGGUUGUGUCGCAACAGGCCUCAGGCGGACCAACUUUGCUGCGUGCAAUAUUGCAUGGCCCCAAGCAGCGAUCGGGAGCUUGGUACGUAUGACCAACGAUCGAGCAAUCAUUUGUAAACGCUUAAUGAAAGCCUCUGCCAGGCCGUUCUGGGUGUGAACAUGGGGUACAGGAUGUUCAACUUCAACCCCAACCGACAUGCAAUAGUCAUCAAAAGUUUUAGAUGUGAAUUCUCCAGCAUUAUCCAAUCGAAUAGAUUUGAUCGGAUAAUCAGGGUGGUGAGCCCUGAGCUUGAUAACCUGAGCCAACAGUUUGGAGAAUGCAGCGUUCCUUGUGGACAACAAGCACACGUGUGACCAACGUGUAGAAGCGUCAACCAAAACCAUAAAAUAUCUAAAUGGUCCGCAGGGAGGUUGAAUCGGUCUACAAAUGUCCCCCUGAAUCCGUUGUAGAAAAAUGGGAGGAUUCGAACGAAUCUUGUCAUAAGAAGGCUUAGUAAUAAGCUUUCCCAUAGAACAUGUUUGACAUGCAAUUUCAUGGAUCGAACCUAAGCUUCGGGUUAGUGGAUGCCCGUGUGAAGUUUUGAGGAUACGGCGCAUCGCUAUUCGUCCAGGAUGUCCCAAACGAUCAUGCCAAAGUGUAAUUUCGUGCGCGGUCCCUGUGGUAGGGCCGGCCACAUAGUGGCAUUCUAUGGGGCGUAUGGUCGUAGUAUAUAGACCACUCGGGUUACGCGCCAUCUUCUCUAGAAUACGCUUCUGGCCAUAUUCGUAGGAAGUUACGCACAGAAAUUUAACUCCGUUUUCUACGUGGGUUUCAGCGUGGUAAUUGUUAUCUCUAAUGUCCUUGAAACUUAGUAACGUUCUUCCGGAACGUGGAGAAUAGAGUGCCUCAGCAAUGGUCAAGAUUGUACCAUUGGACAACAUUAUACGUGCCUUACCGUAUCCUUCGAUCAGGUUGGAUGGGCCUGAGGGGGUUGUCAGAGGUGCAUUCUUAGGUACGAAGUUAGUGAAAUAGAUGCGUUCACGCAAAACAGUAUGCGUGGUUGCACUAUCUGCCAGACAACUAACUUUCCCACUAUUCAUACCUAGAAUUAAUUUGAAUUGGUCACAUGCAUAAAAGUUUAUAAAACAAGUAUCAAUUCAAAAUAAUUUCAUUUAUUCAAGGAAAAAACUUAAUAUCCAAAAUAAAUCGCCAACUAAUAAUCCAAAACAUAAAGGAAAAUUGUUCAAAAUCAACCAAAAACAAGGUGGGGUUCGGCCACUAGGUGGAAUUCGGCCCCAAUUGUCUUAUUUUAACUGAAAAAUAAGUCUAUGUCUAAGAUUCUAAUCUUCCAUAGGAGUGGUAUCCUCCUGAAAAUCAGAAACCUCCAUCUUUGUAAUCUCCGGUUCGUCCACUUGCAGGAAGUUUGAUUCAAACUUCGUACAACGAGAAUGAUAUGCAUCCACAACCUUCUUGGGAGUACGGCAAAUACGGGACCAAUGGUCCUUGGAACCACAACGAUAGCACAUAUCGUCAUUCAUUGUGGCAGGUGCUUUGCCCUUAUUCUUGAAGUUCGGGGCCUUGGGAGUGAGGUUUGGGCGCUUCUGGGCUUUGUUUCCUCCCUUGGAUGGGCCUUGGCUCUGUUGACCUUGGUGGGAUGGCUUCUGGCCGCCCUUACCACGCCUCUUUUGGCGUUUUGGGUGCUGAUUAGUGCUAUAAUGUGCUUCAGGCACAGCAGUAGCCCCAGUAGGUCGAGCUUGAUGAUUUUUCAUCAACAGCUGGUUCUGCUUUUCAGCAAGAAGUAAAACAGAGAUCAAAUCAGAGAACUUAGUGAACUUCUGAGCUCUAUAUUGUUGCUGCAGGACAAUAUUAGAAGCAGAGAAGGUCGAGUAGGUCUUCUCCAGGAGAUCCUCUUCAGUCAAAGUUUCAUUGCAAAACUUGAGAAGUGAUCGGAUUCGACAAACUUCAGAAUUAUAUUCAUUCACAGACUUAAAGUCUUGGAAGCGCAAGUGCUGCCAGUCGUGUCUUGCUUCAGGCAAGAAUAUGUCCUUUUGGUGAUUGAAACGAUCAGCCAAAGCGACCCAUAAUGCACGUGGAUCCUCCUCAGCAAGGUACUCAGUUUGUAGAGCGUCAUGGAUAUGUCUUCGGAUGAAGAUCAUAGCAGUGGCUUUUUCAGCCUCGCCAACAGGUUUAUCUGUUACUUCUUCAAUAGCAGGACGCAAGUUCUUUGCAGUGAGGUGGAGCUUCACAUCUUGAACCCACUUGAGGUAGUUCCUUCCAGAAACCUCCAAAGCGGUGAAGUCGAGUUUGUUCAAAUUCGACAUGUUCCUAUCACAAAAUGGAUGAACAAGAUGUGGUUAGUGUAAUGGAGAAAAAUCAAUCCAUUCACAUAGGAGUAGAACAUACAGGUUCUAAUAGACAUGUAUUGGUUUAAUUUUGCAUGAAAAACUUCGGGUUUUCAUGGGUGAUAUAUUUAAGUGAAAACUUCGGGUUUUCAAACAAGGCAUGUGUAUAAGAAACUUUGGGUUUCAAAGUAAUUAUGAACUUCAGGUUCAUAUAUUCCUGCAGGCAAACACAAAUAUAUAUGCAAACAAAUAUGCAAAGAAUAUAUGUAGAAAUAUUGUAUAAUGAUAAGUGAAUUAAUUUAUUUUUGGUCUUCGGGGCCAAAUUAAAGUGUGGGUGAAAAUAUAAAAACCCAUAUUAUUUAAAAAAAAUUAAAUAAUAAAAUCUCGGGGCCUAAAAAUAUAGGCCAAGAACCCUCGGGUGGGAUUACAGGCCCACGGGGUGAGAAAAGGGGAAUGGGCUGCUGUGUGCAGCCCUAAAAUUUUUUUUUUCUCGGGCCGUUCCAGGCGAGCCCAUAAUUUUUUUUUUCUUUUCGGGCCGUUCCAGGCGAGCCCAGAAACUUUUUUUUUUUUUUUUUAAUUUAGAUGCAUAUAUAAUUCAAUGAAUCACAUAUUUACUUUGAUGCAUAUGCAAAUAAUAGUUUCAAUGCAUGUACAUAUGUAAGAUUCAAUUCAUGGCAAAUAUCAAAUUCACAUAAUUGUAGCAAUUUUGAUUAUGAAGCAUACACAAUUUAUGUAGAAUCUAAAAUACGUAAAACGUAAAGUUGGGUCAUGCAUCAUGGUGAAUGUUCAUGCUAUCAGGGCUUGCAAAAUAUCGAGUUAAAAGCCGUUGUUUGGAAAGAACCUGAUUGCGUGAUGAUAUGGAUGAACUGGUUUGAUGCAGAAAAAAUCUCCAACGUCAGAUUCCUAAGCGCAACGGUAGGAGCGUGCUGAUAACGUGUUGUGGUCUAUUUUAUCUGACAGAGGGACUAGGGCCGGCGGCAGAGAGAGAGAGGAGAGAGAGGUGUGUUUGUAGAAUUGUAGGGGAAUGUGUGUGUUGUUAUCCCUCCUACAUUGUGCCUUUAUUUAUAGUAGUAAAGGGAGAGAAGAUAUUCCUUCUUCUCCAAGUAAUACAAGUUGUAAUAGGAAAGGAUAACUAGAAUCAAAUCUUAUCUAGGAUUUACACAAUCAUACUUAAACUAGGAAUGUUUACAACAAAUCUAAAUAUUUGUCAAAUUAUCUAAAUAUAUAAAGAGAGAGCCCCAGUUUGGUGAAGCAUUCCAAAAUGCCAAGAAUAUCCCUAUGUUUCCUUCACAAUCAAAAUCCAAAAAAUCCAAAAAAAAGGAGGACAAACUGGUAAAAAACUUAUAACCGAACAUAAAAUUGUAUUGAAAGAAAAAACUAAAUUUUUACUAAAAAUUGAGAGCAAGAAAUACAAAAAAAAAAAACAAAAAAAAGGGAAAUUAAACCGAAUACUGGUAGAACAAGUCCACGUAAUUGAUAAUUGACGAAUGCAAUGUUGGUAACUGGUCUUGAUUUAAAAUAAAAAGUUGAAAACACAAAGAGACAGAUGCAGUAAAAAACACCAAUAAAAAACAAAAUAAAAAAAAAAAUAUUGGAAACUGAGGAAAGAAACGUGGGAGAGAGACUGCUGUUUUCAAACUGCAUUAAGUUUAAAGGCUCUCAUGUUAUUGCUAAUGGAAUAAAACAAAAAAGAAAAUAAAAAGAGACCUAAUACGUUUAGAAUAGAACUGCUAUUCGACAGUUGCAGGCUUGAAGUGUGUGAAGGAAACAGUUUUGAAGAACGAUAAACUCGAACGUUCAUGAAAAUAAAAGCGAACGUGGGAGAGGAACCAGUUUUGCGGGACAUGUAAAUAAAACACAAAAUAAAAUAACCUCAAGAGAAUAAAUUGAAAUUGUUGUGCCAGAGCCUGAAGGAGAAGAUCAAAUUGGCGAAAACCAACAAGAACUGGUAGUUCUGUAGUUCUCAAUUAUUAAAUUUGUGUGUUUUGUUCUCUAUCAAAAUGCUUCUUAUUCCUUAAUCUUCUCAUGCAUUUUCACAUGAUUAUUGAAAAUUCUGCACGUUAAUUGUAAUGGUUUGAUUGUGGUUUUUGUUCUCUGCAGGUUUUUCUUCCCUUAUCUUAUCAAAUAAAUCAAUUGAUAGGUUAGGCUUUCAUUUUUUUUUCUUCACAGGACUUUUAAGGACAUCCUCAAGUCAAAGUGAUGGAAUCAAAGUCUUCAGGUUUGGAUGCUUUUUUCCUUCUCUUUUUAGAGUAAUUUUCGAGUUUCUUCUCGCAUUUUUCGGGUUCCUUUCCCCAGUCCCCCAAAAUAACAAUAACAAAUUAGGCUUCUUCAUUUUUAGACUCUCUUGGGGUUGGCAGAUAAGGGGUUGCUUGCAUUUAAACCUCACCGUCCGGCUUCUUCUUUCUUAUGAAUUUUUAUCCCUUUCCUACGGCCAGUUCGUGAAGGCCGUUUUCAAAUUGAGGUUUUGUAUAUUCUGUCUCUUAAGAUUUGAUUCUUUCUAUUUUGGAUUAUUUUUUGUCUGAUUUCUCAAACAAUUUGGCUAAUGAAGAGUUUAUGGAUAUACAAUGGGACAAUAUUAUUUUCUCUCUGUUUUAUGUGUUUAUUUAGUUUUACUGUAGUUUUCAUCUAUGCCUUGAGUUUUGGCUUCUCUAUCUUUUUAUCUUUUGUAGCGUUCCAGGUAAAUGGUGAGAAUUAUUCAAGUAUGCGACAUCAUUUUAGUUUCAUGUGAAAAAUCUUCUCUUAUAAUUUUGUUUGAGUGAUUGAAUGUGCAUAUGUGAGCUCUAAGGUUUGGUUCCAUAUUUAUUGUUGAAGAAAAACAGGAAGUGAGGAACACAAUAACCCUACCACGAUUAUGUAUGAAAUAAAUUGGAUCUAUUAAAAACUCAUAUUUUGGGUGUGUUGUUAGGAAGAAAUGCCUAAACUCCGAAUUUGUAUGGAACAUACUCAUUAUAGAAUAGAUUAAUUGUAUGUGUUAUUGCUUUUAGUACUAAAAUUGACUUAUUUGCCCUCCUACAAGUCAUAGCUUUGCUAAUAAAUUGAGAACAAUGUCUGAUUUAGUUUUUUUUUUUUGUCGAAAUGUCUUAUUAGUUUAACUCUUUUCAUUUGAUAAUUCUCUUGCCCUUGGUUUGAGAUAUAAAGUAUUUCAUUUCAGUCAUCAAGUGUCACAGCCUGUCCCGAAAUAUUUUAUUGAUGUUGUGAAAUGACGAAACUGCCUUUGAGCGUUUUUUGACAUUUAAACUUUAGGGUUUGUUUUGGUAACCAUGGUUGUGUUUAGGGUUAGGUGGAAGUGUGAGGACACACACAUCACCCUUUCCCUUUCUUUCUCUUCUCUCCCGUGCACUCUCUCUCUCUCGGAAACACUCUCCCUCUCGGAAACACUCUCCCUCUCUUCCUUCUUUGUACGGACAACAUCAAAACCCUCUCAAACCUUGUAGAUCGAGGGUGUAAAGAACACCAUUGGGUUCGUGAGGAUCAUACAAGUCAAAAGGUACCAGUUUCAGGUAAGGAAACCUUCGAUUUCCCGUGAAAACCCUAACCCUCCGAUUUUGUCACUGUUUAUGCUCAUGUAAAACCUUGUGUUUUAGGGGAUUUUAAGCUCAUAGGGAGCUUUAGGAGGUCCUAAGGAAGAUCAGAGUGGUUUGUUGGAAGAAUUUGGACGUCGAAAUAGUGAGAUCGACGAGUUGCAGGGUUUGGCCUGAUUAUCGAGGUUUUUUUCCAGCGAGUUGGAGGUCGAGGCAUGUAUGGUUUUGUUCGUCUUUGUGAGAUCUUCAAAUUGGUUCAAAUUUCAUUGAAAAUGGUGCAAAAAUGAAGAAGUUAUAGGCAUUAGAAAUUUUUCCAUAAACCGGUGACUCACCGGAGAAGAAAGGAGUUGACGGAAUAUACUAACGGCGUCAUGUAUCUUUAACAGAUUCAGUUAGUUUUAACGGAAUAUUCCUGACGGCGUUAACUGACGCCGUCAGUGUGCCAAGCACAUGGGCGCACGUGGGGGCGCAUCUGGCCGUGCCUUGGCCACGUGGGUGAUCAGAAAAUUAUUCUAAAAAUAUGGGGAUGUUUCUGAGGUUGUGUAGAUCAUUUUGGUAUAUUCAAACACCCCGAUUGAGCAUUGUAUGAGAAGUUGUUACCAAGUUUUGUGUUUGUGCUUUAAAAGUAACGUUUAUAUAGUUGUUUCGCAUAUAGGUGAGACCUAUCCCGAGGACGAGCGAAGUCAGGGGCAACUCGGGGGUUACGACCCUUCCACAUACCAGUGAGUAUAUAUAUAUAUUGAAUAUUUUCCUAGAAAAGCGAUUUAAAUGUGUGAAAUCCCGUUUCUGGAUUUCAUUGUUAUCACCUACAUAUUUGUAUUAUUGAGAUUUUAUAUUAUUUCUCGAGAAUUUAUUUUAAUUUGUUUGAAUUUAAAUUUAAAUUAAAUUAGUUAUUAACGUUUGAAGUUUGAGGCAUUUUAGAAAUAAAUAGAAAAAUCUGAAAUUUUCUUAUGAAAUCUGGUGUGCCACAUGGGUGGCCCAGAUUCAAUGGAAAGGAAAAUGGAUGGUGGAGAUGCAAAGGAAAGGAUUUAAAAGAGAGUGGGCGCUGCCCAGUUAGGAGGGGGGAGAGAAAGAGGUGACCAAUUGGGCGAAGAGGAAAGGAGAGUAAGGAGAGAAGAAGAGGAAGAGGGAACCGGCCGGGGUUUACUAUGGCCCAUGACCCGACCCGGUUAUAUCUCCCAACUCCGGCCACCAUGGACGGCUAGGAUGGUGUCAAAAUGAUCCUUAGCUCGAGGCCAAUCGAUCUCUCUUCCAUUUCUACACUUAAAACGACGAGGGGGAGUCCAAUUUUGAGGAAAUACCACGGUGGGUGCGUCGGGCUUAUGUGGAAAUCCAUUAAAUCUUGAAACGUUUUCUUCCAAUUACAACCACCCAUAGCAUCCUCAUGAGGCCUAGAACAAAGCCCAGACAAGUUUGGGGGCGGCAGAGUUGUUUUCGAGUCGGAUCGAACACACCUAAAAACAAGGGUUCCGUACGGUUCGAGUGAAAUUGGGGAUUUUCCCGGCCAAAUUGGACUUGGCCACAGGUAUAAAAAUUGCUAUACUCAUUGAAAUCUUCAUUUCUGUAAAUUUUGAUAAUUUUUAAAAAUAGUUGAAUUUUUCCGGCAAGUCGGGGCGGCCGACGGCCACCCGUGGCGGCGAGUGCGGCGGUUUCCUGGCCAGUGGGCCGAAAAUAUCAUUUUAAGUUCAAUUAGAUGUCUUGAUUUCAUAAUUGAUAUCCUUAUGAUAUGGUUUGAUUGUUUGAACCUAAUUUCAUUACGAUACGUGGUUAGGUCAAAAUAUGAUUCGACGAUCCUACCGUUGGAUCGUCACCAAACCUUAAUGCGUGAUAGAACAUAAUAUUUUUGGAUCAUAGAAACUUACGGAUCGAGAAUCUGACGUACGGAUCUUCCCUAAUUGGAUUUCUAAGUUUGUAAAAUUAAAUGUCGACCGCCACUUGAAUUUUGAAAUUGGCGGAGAUCCAACUGUCGGAUCAUGUUGAGAUUUCAGUAUGUUGUUAUUUGAGCAUAAUGUGGACUUUGGAAAGUUUCGGAUCGGAAAUCCGAGGUGCGGAUCUUCCGAAUCAAAUUACAUAAGUUUGUGGACCCUACUGUUGAUCGAGAGUUGACUUUUGCUCAACAUGUCAUGAAACGUCCUAAUUACUAAAAUUAGUACUACAGGGGAACUAGGUGAAGUCUAGUGGGCAUGCAUUGAUUAGAGAGUGACUUGAAUAUAUGUGAUAUGAUUAUUACCUUAAUUUCCUAUUAGUAUCCUUUGUGAAGAUGAAUUGGUUUUAUAAAUGUGAUUUCUAUUGAAAUGUGAUUUUUAUAUAUUUAGCCAUAGGCCUAUGAUUAUUAAACAUGAUUUGGCUUGGUACUGAUGAUGGUUGUGACAUAUGUGAGUUAAAUUAUCUUUUUAGUAAUGUGAAUGAUGUGUAUGAUUAUUUUCAUGACAAUGUGAUCCUAGAAUCCUAUUAAAAGUAUGUUGUAGCACUUAUAUGCUUGGGUGCCAUAUUAGUGGUGACCUUGAGAAGUUGAUGGUGUAGGUGACUACGUUGUAACUCAUAGGGUUGAGAUGUGAUGUGGAUAAGUUGAGGUGUUGAAAUUACUACACCAUGUAGUAGUUGUACAUUGAUGGUCCUGCUUGGUAUAUCCGCAUUGGGGGACCAUACGCAUUCUAGGAGUGAUCAUGCUUGGUAUAUCUGCAUUGGGUGAUCACUACCUACCUGAUUAUCUUGACCCUGCUUGGUUAAUCCGCAUUGGGGGGUCACAAGUGGUCCUGCUUGGUUAACCCGCAUUGGGGGACCAUACUUUAUAUGGAUCGCGCUUGGUUAAACCGCGUUGGGCGAUCCUUAUGGCCAUGUAUGCUUAGGAGUGAUCAUGCUUGGUAUAUCCGUAUUGGGUGAUCACUGCCUAGGAUAUUAAACUAUGCAUACGGUUUUGCUUGGUAUAUCCGCGUUGGGGGACCAUAUGCAUUCUAAAAGUAAGGAGGAUUAGUUGUGUUGAUGCACAAAAUCAGCGAAGACUUUGGUACAACAGAAAGUGUCAGGUUUUGUGACCUUCGCUUGGUUGCUUCGGUCACUAGUGAGGAUAAAUACGUAAAUAAAUAGAGACAGAGAAGCAAACACAGGAUGUACGUGGUUCACCCAGAUUGGCUACGUCCACGGAGUAGAGGAGUUCUUAUUAGUAGUGAAGGGCUUACACAAGUACAAAGGAUCAAGCUCUCAAUUUAGUGAGUUCUUGUGAAUGAUUUACACAAAAUGGCAUUAGGCAAUAUUGUGGGGGAAUGACCCCUAUUUAUAGAAAAACUUGUAGCUUUGUCACAUUGACAUGUGUCAUGUUAUGAUUGGUUCUUGAUGUUGACACGUGCUGCGCUCUGAUUGGCUUCUAAUCCUGACACGUGUCGAGUAGUGAUUGGCCUCCUGGUCGGAGGGGAACUCUUCUGGGUCCUUGACAGUAUAGCGUUGGCUGGUACUCGGUAGUUUCGGGAUUGGUCAAGUAUGGUACAAACAGUGCUCCCCUAAGUUCCCGAGUGAGGGAAACUCCUCGGUUGGGGACUUGCAAGAUCCAAUCCCUUGAGUAAUCACGAAACUUCUAAGUACCGAAGUGUGGUCUGAUCUUCAUCUGCCCUUCUCUGGAAGUACCUUUCCUCCAUCCGGGAAUGGUGUAUUUAGCUGAUGUUGACGCACAAGCUAAUGUAUCAAUUUCACUUGAAGCUUAGUUGUAGUUUCGGGCUUAGUCAAGUGUGAUACAAACCCUAUAGUAGGAGUCCCCCAAGUCGCCGAGCUAGGAGAUCUGCCGAAAGAGGUGACAGACAAGGUAAGCAGUCAAACUUCCAAGUAAGCAACCCAGGAUCAGAGGUUUGACUUCGGCUUCCGGUUGAUUGUUCUCAUUCUCCUUGUCUCUCAUUCAACUGCCAGGAUAAGGAGAAGCAAAUGGAUAAGAGAUGAUAUGAGAUACUUUUGCUUUUGAAGAAGUAACUUUCCACAGGCUUAUUCUUGAACUGUGCUGGAGGGUUUUCUGGUGCCCUUCAGAGUAUAAGGCCAACUCAAAAAUUUGAGGGUCAAAACAAGUCCAUCAAAUCUAGAGUACGUUCGACCUUGAUGAUAUGGGAUACUUUUGCUGUUGACGGAAUAAUGAAUGUGGUAUGGAAAGGUGUCGUGCUGUAGUGAUCUGUUUCAGCUCACCGUUUGAACCUUCUGCUUCAAUCUUUUGCAUGGCAGAAGUGGUGUGCAACCUUUGCAUUUAAAUGGUCCUUCAGAACAUUCCUUCAUAGUGACUCAUCCACGCUUGGCAGCUUCAGUGUAAAGAGCCAAUAUCUGAUCAACUGUCAUGAGGUAUUUGCCGGUGGAAUUCGUGACCUUGACAGCAGUUGAGGAUGAGUACUCGAGAGCAAUGCUAAGUAAGCAACCAGGCAAAGGCUCCAGGCAGUCAGUUCCAAAUUGGAGGUUUGAUUUCAGGUUCCGACUGACUGCUCUCUUUCUCCUUGUCCUGCAGGUGUGGACAAGGACAAAGACAAAGACAGGGAGAAAGCAUGAUAUGGGAUACUCUUGCUUUCGAUCCUGAUGAUAUGAGAUACUCUUGUUCUUGGUGUGGCUUAUUUGCUGAGGUAUUAUCGGGGGGAAAUAAAGCUGAGUAUUUCGAGAGGUUAUGUUGAGGGUGCCUUUUCGAAUGCGAGAAAGGGUUGAGCAUUUUUGCAGGUUUGCCUGUCCGUUGAGGAGGGAGGUCAAUGUAUAUAGGGAUUUCCCAAUAACAAGUAGUAAUGCUAUUCCUUUACCCUUCUUGGUCACAGCAAUGUAGUGGGAGCUGCCAGCUUCACGUGUUUUAAUUUUGUCAGAGCACUUUGAAAAAAGUGGUAUGUGGUAUCUGGAAAGCUGAUGUUACGUGUGAAGAUUACAGACAAGCUUUAUCUAAGGAAAUCUGGCUCUCGAAGUUCUGAGAGUUGUGCCUCUUCGGUUUUCGAACAAGCAAUCCCGUCGAGGAUCUGACUCUCGAGAUUCGGAAAGCGGUGCUACUCCGGUUUUUUAGAAAGUAAUUAUGUUGGGAGUCUUUUCUUGAAUGUGAGUAAAGGUUGGACGUUCUUGCCAACCUGUCUUGCCGCAAAACACGGAGGUCGACACACAUAGGGACUUUCCAGUUGUCAAGCAGUGGUGCUGUUCCUUUACCCUUAUGGGUAAUAGUAGGGUAGCUGGAACUUCGAAAUUCUCGUGCCUAAACUUUGUCAGAGAUCUUUGACAAAGUUAUAUGUGGUACCCGAUGAGUUGAUGGUGCAUAUGGAGAGCGGUGAUUGAACAGUAAGAUUCACGUGCUUUCUACUUCACCAGAAAUCUUCGACAGAUUGCCCGUAAUUUCUGCAAAGCUGAGUGUGCAUGUGACAGGUGCUGACGAGGCUGAAAAAGCAGGUGCUUCUUUGAUUUCUGAGAUCGGCCCUCGUGGUCUCUGAGCAGCCCAGCUUUUGAGAAAGCAAACGCCUCUUCGAUUUCUGAAGCUCCGUCGAGUGCAGAUUUUUAUAGAGGCUGGCAUUAAGUUCCACAGCACACUUGAAUCUCUACCAGUAGAAGCUCAUUUCUUGCACUUCUAAGAUCUUGAUUUGUCUGACCUCUUCCCUCUUCAACACAUUUGAAAAUGUCUGGACCCUCCGACCGUCGUUUUGACUUGAACCUUGGAGAAGAGACAGCCACGCCUUCUCCAGACAACAUAUGGCGCCCAUCAUUCAUAUCCCCUACCGGUCCUCUUACCGUUGGGGAUUCUGUGAUGAAGAAUGAUAUGACCGCUGCAGUGGUGGCCAGGAACCUUCUCACUCCCAAAGAUAACAUACUACUUUCCAAACGGUCUGAUGAGUUGGCUGUUAAGGACUCUUUGGCCCUUAGUGUUCAGUGUGCAGGUUCUGUGUCUAAUAUGGCCCAACGCCUAUUUGCUAGAACCCGCCAAGUUGAAUCAUAUUGGCUGCUGAAGUGAUGAGUCUCAAACAGGAGAUUAGAGGGCUCAAGCAUGAGAAUAAGCAGUUGCACCGGCUCGCCCAUGACUAUGCUACAAACAUGAAGAGGAAGCUUGACCAGAUGAAGGAAUCUGAUGGUAAGGUUUUACUUGAUCAUCAGCGGUUUGUGGGUUUGUUCCAAAGGCAUUUAUUGCCUUCGUUCCUCUGGGGCUGUACCUGGUAAUGAAGCUUCAAAUGAUGAACCUCCAAUGCCUCCUCCUUCUGGGGUUUUGUCAAGUACUGAGGCUCCGGAUAACCACCCUCCGGUGCUUUCUCUUUCUGGGGCUCUACCGACUGCUGAGACUUCCCCUAAGCAACCUUUGUGAAGGCUCCCUUUUGUUUGUUUAUUUUGACUCAUGUAUAUGUACAUAUUUGUGGCUUAUCGAAAAUAUUAAUAAAAUAAGCUUUGCUUCAUUUCAACAUAUUGUGUUAAAUACACCAAAGCCUUCUUCAUAAAGUUCUUUGAAUUUUUGCUUUUGUUGAAACCUGUAUUGUUGAAGCUUUGUGAGUGAAGCAUGUAGUUUGAGGUAGUGUUCCCUUAAUUUCUCGAGUGAGGAAAACUUCUCGGUUGGAGACUUGAAAAAUCCAAGUCACUGAGUGGUUGUGAGACUGCCGAGUAUCAAGGUGCAGUAGCAUAUGGUGGGAGUCCCCCAAGUCUUCAGGCGAAGAGAGUUGCCGAAUGAGGUGUCUCGCGUGUUACUAAUUUGUCAAAGUAACGAAUUCUUGUUUCGAUGUCACACAUUCGUAUAUGCUUUAUCUAAAAAAUAUUUCCAACUUUUGUGUGUGUUUGAUGCUGCAUGCUAUUGACUAGACAAGAUCAAGUGCAAUUAGUAGCUUUCUCUCUUUUUCAUCUUUUCUUUGGUGGAAUUGCUUUUCGUUUCCACUAAUCAGCCUGAGUGGAUGCAAGAUAACACCUUUCUCUAUAGCUCAGAUUGCAAAGUCGUCUUCAUGAAAGUUUUUCCUUAUCUUGUGAACUACAAUAUAUCCAAAUUUGAGAUCCAUCGGAGUAGUACAACUUCAGAAAUUCAAGUAUGAUGAGUAACUGUUCAUCAAUGUUCUGUUAAUCCGUCAGACUUGUUGUGAGCUUCGAAACUCCAUUUUCUCUUGUUCAGAUCAACAUACUUUCUUUCUUCAUCGAAGUUGUUCCUCAGCUUGUGAACUACAACAUAUCCAAAUUUGAGAUCCCUCGGAGCAGUAUAACUCCAGAAAUCCAGGUAUGAUGAAUGACUGGUUAUUAUUUUUCUGUCAACCCGUCAGAUUUGUUGUGAGCUUCGAAACUCCAUUUUCUCUUGUUCAGAUCGGUAUGCUUUUCUUCAUUGAAGUUGUUCCUCAGCUCGUGAACUACAACAUAUCCAAAUUUGAGAUCCCUCGGAGCAGUAUAACUCCAGAAAUCCAGGUAUGAUGAAUGACUGGUUAUUAUUUUUCUGUCAACCCGUCAGAUUUGUUGUGAGCUUCGAAACUCCAUUUUCUAUUGUUCAGAUCGGCAUGCUUUCUUCAUUGAAGUUGUUCCUCAUCGUCUCUUUCAUAACAUAUCAAAAAUUCAGAAUGAACUAAUGGUUAAAUAUUUCCAGAUCUUUGAAACAUCACAGCAGCUUCGAAAUCUGCAAGAAUCCGACUGUCAUGUUUGGAACUUCAACACUUUAAUUUCCGUCGCUCAAACAGAAAUGGUUCCUUCUUGAAAGUUGUUCAUAUGCUCAAGAACUAUAGGGUGUCCAAAAUUCAGCUCCAUUGGAGAAGAGCAGAGGUUGCAGAAAUUUGAUAGAUGAAAGGAGGCGGAAGAGGGAGAGAGAGAAAAAGUCUCUUGGGUUGGAUUUCUAUUUUGGGGCAGAUUCCAAUUUUUGUAGCACCUUCAUUAUUGAUGAAUUGCUUGUACUUUUGUCCAUUAUGAAACUUGGGACUUUGGCUUGUUGUUGGAUCUAUUAUAAUAUGUUUGGGAACAUAUAUAAGUGAAUAAAUAAGAAGGAAAAUUUUGGGCCCUUGUGGGUGUAAAACAAAAAAUGUUUAUGUUUACCCAAGUGGUUUUGUGAACAAAAUUUGUUUAUUUGGAGCAAGGUUUUGUGUUGAAGCUUUGUAGGUGAAGCUUUGUAGAUGAAGCUUUCGAGGUGAAGCUUUGAUGGUGAAGCUUUGUAGAUGAAGCUUUCUGGGUGAAGCUUUGAUGGUGAAGCUUUGUAGAUGAAGCUUUCGAGGUGAAGCUUUGAUGGUGAAGCUUUGUAGAUGAAGCUUUCUGGGUGAAGCUUUGAUGGUGAAGCUUUGUAGAUGAAAGUAUGUAGAGGGAGCUUUCUAGGUGAAGAUUUUUUAGGUGAAGCUUUGUAGGUGAAGCUUUUUUAAGUGAAGCUUUUCGGGUGAAGUUUUUGUUGGGUGAAGCUUUGUGGGUGAAGCUUUUUAGGUGAAGCUUUGUGGGUGAAGCUUUGGAGGUGAAGCUUUUCGGGUGAAGCUUUUUGGAUGAAGCUUUUUUUUUUUUUUUUUUUUUUUUUUUUUUUUUUUUUGGCGCUUGACACGGUCUUCAUUUGCUUGUUUUGUAGUGACUGUGGAAGACGGAUUGCUUUCUGAAUUGAGAAGGGUUCCGGCAUCGCUUGCUAUGAAUGUAAAAGAGUGAGGGCUGAGUUGGCUAAAUUACCUCUUUAUUGAAUUCAUUGCCAAAUGGCCUUCAUUACAUAGGAUGCCGAACGGCUAUAGCUCAACACUUGUACAUCGUGAGUCUAUUUGUAGUAGUACUUCAAGUGAUCAGCGUUCCAUGGAUGGCCAAGGGUCUUGCCAUCGGAGCUUCUAAGUGUGUAAGAGCCAGGGCGACUGAUGCCAAUGACUUCAUACGGUCCAUCCCAGUUUGGACUAAGUGUGCCUUCACUCGGGACUCUGUCGCAGAGUAAUCUUUUCUUUUAAGACCCAGUCUCCUAUUUUGAAAGAACGAGGCUUGACCCUAGAGUCAUAAUAGUUGGAGAUGCGCUGCUUGUAGGCGACAUUCCUCAAGUGAGCUUGGUUUCUGUGUUCCUCGACUAAAUCCAAGUUGAGGGUGAGUUGUUUGUCAUUUUCACUUUGAAUGUAGUUCUGGACUCGGAAUGUUGCUUGCUCGAGCUCAACAGGGACAACCGCCUCUGUGCCAAAGGCAAGUGAGAAUGGAGUUUCUCCUGUUGAAGUCCGAUAUGAAGUGCGAUAUGACCAAAGAACUUGGGGUACAAAUUCUGGCCAACAGCCUUUAGCUUUGUCCAAGCUGGUUUUCAAAGUGCGCUUGAUUAUUUUGUUGAUGGCCUCAACUUGUCCAUUAGACUGGGGAUGAGCUGGAGAGGCAAAGCAUAAGUUGAUGUUGAACUUAGAGCAGAACAACCUGAACUUCUUGUUGUCAAACUGUCGCCCAUUGUCAGUGACUAUCGCAUUGGGAAUGCCGAAUCUACAAAGGAUGUUCUUCCACACGAAGUCUUCUAUCUUUGCCUCAGUAAUGGUUGCCAAGGGUUCUACUUCGGCCCACUUUGUGAAGUAGUCCACUGCAACGACUGCGUAACAGACUUUGCCCUUCCCUGCCGGCAUUGGGCCGAUCAAAUCAAGUCCCCACUGGGCGAAGGGCCAAGGGCUGAUCAUAGGAGUAAGAGGCUCUGGAGGGGAAUGAGGAAUAGUUGCAUAUCGUUGACAUUUGUCACAUGAGCGGGAUACUUUGAUGGCAUCCUGGUGGAGUGUUGGCCAGUAAUAUCCUUGGCGAAAAGUCUUGUGUGCUAGGGACCGAGAUCCAGCAUGAUCUCCACAGACUCCCUCAUGUAUUUCCCGAAGGACGAUUUCCGCCUCGGCAGGCGUAAGACACCUUAAGUAUGGCAGGCUAAAACCUCGCUUAUAGAGUUGAUCAUUGAUGAUCAGGUAGCGGGUAGACUUGUAUCGAAUUUGCUUAGCCUGGACUUUAUCAUUUGGGAGGGUGCCAUGAGCAAGGAAAUUAUAGAUCGGGGUGAUCCAACUAUCCCCCUGUUGUAAGUUGCAUACUUCUGCGGCCAUGGUGCUUGGUGUUGCCAACAGUUCGACAUGAAUUUUUCUUCCAAUCUUGUCUUCCACAGCUGAGGCGAGGCGAGCCAGGGCGUCUGCAUGACUGUUUGCCGCUCGAGGAACUUGGGUGAUCUGGUAGUGGAAGUGCUUGAGUAAAAGUUGUGUUUGCGCAAGAUAUGCUGCCAUGGAGCUGUCCUUAGCAUCAAAGUUGUUGGUAACCUGGUUGACCACUAAUUGGGAGUCACUGAAAAUAUCAAUUUGUUUAACCCCGAGGUGUUUGGCCAAACGUAAUCCUGCUAGAAGGGCUUCAUACUCGGCCUCAUUAUUUGAUGCCUUGAAUUUGAAACGAAGAGCAUACUCCAUUGCUACUUUGUCGGGUGUAGUCAAGACUAGUCCCGCUCCACAGCCCUGUUGGUUGGAUGAGCCAUCAACAUACAGACUCCAUGCUGGGGUUGUUGGUUCUAUCUUCUGAGCUUCCGGGGGUAAUGAAGCCACUGUUUCAGGUGUAGAAGCAAUGUCAACCGGAUAUGUGAAGUCGGCAAUGAAGUCUGCCACUGCUUGGCCCUUCUCAGCUGGCUUUGGUUGGUAGGAGAUGUCAAACUCACCCAACGCUAUUGCCCAUUUGAUCAUUCGCCCUGAAGUGUCAGGACUUUGGAGUAUCUGUCGAAGAGGAUAAUUGGUAAGCACGAUGAUGGAGUGCGCUUGGAAGUAAGGGCGGAGUUUUCGAGCAGACAUGACCAAUGCCAGAGCCAAUUUCUCAAUGUUAGAGUACCGUGUCUCCGCAUCUUGUAAGGCUUUGCUAGCGUAGUAGACAGGUCGCUCAAUAUUCCCAUCCUUUCGAAUGAGAACGGAACUUACGGCUGAAGCUGAUACCGAUAGGUAGAUAAUGAGAAUGUCUCCUACCUCGGGCUUGGUGAGUAGAGGGGCUUUACUCAUGUACUCCUUGAGGUUUUUGAAUGCCUCGGCACAUUCAUCAGUCCAUGUAAUGUACUUCCUACUUCCCUUAAGUGCUUUAAAAAAGGGAGCACAUUUGUCUGUGGCCUUAGAAAUGAACCUGGUUAAGGCUGCCACCUUGCCAGUAAGGCUCUGGAUGUCCUUUGAAGUUACCGGUUCCUUCAUGUCGAGGAUUGCUUUGAUCUUCUCGGGAUUAGCUUCAAUGCCUCGUUGGCUAAUCAUGAAACCUAAGAAUUUGCCAGAGCCUACGCCGAAGGCACAUUUGUUGGGGUUUAACCUCAUUCGAUACCUCUUCAAAAUAGUGAAAGUUUCAGAUAGGUUGGUGAUGUGUUGGUCAGCAUGUUUGCUCUUGACUAACAUAUCAUCAACGUAAACUUCCAUGCUCUUCCCAAUCUGCUCGGCGAACAUUGAGUUGACUAGUCUCUGAUAAGUCGCUCCUGCAUUCUUUAGGCCGAAAGGCAUGACUUUAUAGCAGUAUAGUCCUCUGUCGGUAGUGAAGGCUGUGUGUUCUUGAUCCGAAGGGUUCAUGAGGAUUUGGUUGUAUCCUGAGUAAGCAUCCAUGAAGCUCAGGAGUUCACACCCGGCCGUAGAGUCUAUAAGUCUGUCAAUAAGAGGAAGAGGGAAGCUAUCUUUCGGACACCCUUUGUUUAGGUCGGUGUAGUCAACACACAUUCUCCACAAGACCUUUUGAAGCGAAAGACUUUCUUUGGUCGGAUUUUUCCUAACAAGGACCACAUUUGCUACCCAUGUCGGGUAAUUGACUUCGCGGACAAAGCCUAUGCCUUUGAGUUUUUCAACUUCUGCUUUCAUUGCCUCGUAUCGUUCAGCGUCAUAAGAUCUUCGCUUCUGUCUCACCGGCUUGAUCUUGGGGUCAAUACUCAAACGAUGACAGAUGACAUCGGGAGAGAUGCCUGGCAUGUCCUCGUAUGACCAGGCGAAGACUUCAGUGUUCUCUUUCAAAAAAGAUAUCAAUGCUAACCGAAGGGGUGGUGACAAUGUGGUGCCAAUCUUCACCAUGUGAUCUGGAUAAUCUCUUGAGAUAGGUACCUUCUCCAACUCUUCAGCAGGUUGGGCUUGCUGGGUGAAAGAGUCAUCUCGAGGAUCAUCGGGUUGAUUGUUGCUAUCAGGAAGAUCCAAGUUCGCUUCAUCUAGGCUGGUCUUUGUGACUUGGUCAUGUACAGACAGGGUUUCCUUGGGUCCGGGCAAGUGUUGUUGCUUAACUGAAGUGUUGUAACAUGAUCGUGCACUAAGCUGAUCUCCUCUGAUGUAGCCGUUGCCAUGGGGGGUUGGAAAUUUCAUCAACAGCAUAUGCGUGGAUACCAUAGCCUUGAGAUCAUUGAUGCCUGUGCGCCCAAAGAUGACAUUGUAUGCCGUUGGGCAGUCAACCACUAGGAAGUUAGUGGUAAUGGUAGCCGUGUAAGGGCCUGUACCAAUAGUAAAGGGUAAAUGUAUGCUCCCUAAGGGUUGCACGAUAUCACCGGAGAAGCUUAUCAGAGGAGAAAUCGAGCGAUCGAGCAAGUGUUCAGCUACACUGAGUGCCCUGAAAGCUUCGGCAAACAUGAUAUUGACCGAAGCCCCUGUGUCUACGAGGAUUCGUCGAACAUCAAAGUUGGCUAUGUGAGCCUCCACGAUCAAUGGGUCGUUAUGAGGGUAGAUGAUGCCUCUUUCUUCCUCAGGGUAGAAACAUAUCGGAUCCCAGUUAGGCUUUUGAUACUUCCCUCCCCUGAUGUCUUCCACGUGAAACACUUGGUGACCAGGCCUCAGAAUUCGUUCACUGUUUUUCAUGGCCCUAUUGGAAGAUUCAGAUAUGGGUGUGCCGCCGCUUAUGGAAUAUAUGACAUUCACCUGGCGUUGGUUACGGUUAUCCCUUUGAGGGUGAAGGAGGAAUUGAUCAAUUUUUCCUUCUCGUGCCAAAGCUUCAAUACGAUCACGGAGGAUGAUACAUUUCUCGCUAUCAUGGCCGUUAUGCUCAUGGUAGCAACAAAACAUGCCCGCGUUAUUCGGGGGCGUGUAAUCUGGGUGCCUCGGCUUUGGCUUUGGUAUCAGGUGAGCUAUGCUGGGGUAAAUGGCCGCGCAUGUGGCAUUCAAGGGCGUGUAUGUCUCAUACCUUGGGGUAGGGGGUAUCUUGACGCGGGUUUGACCCACUGCAUUGACUGCCUGGGGGCGAGCGUUAUUGUGGCGAUACCCUUGGUUAUCGGGAUAGUGUCCCUUACUCUUUUUUACUGAAAUGAGAGUGGUGAGGAUGGAAAUCCUUCCUCUUGCCUUGAAAUUGAUAUGUCUGUUGAUUCGGCGAAGCAUUAUGCAAGGCAUGGGGAGGUGCCACUGCUGUUUGGAAAGUCGAGGUCUUCUCAUUUAGGUGAGUCUGGCUUCCACCUCCCACUUGUUGAUAAAGGAUGGUUGUAGGGGGUUUCUCCUGAUAUGUCUUUGCCUCGGCGGAGGCAUGGUUAUAAGCCUGCGCCAUCACCUCAGAGUAAGUCUUCCAAGUAUUGGCAUUGAUCAUGUAUUUAAAGAAACAAUCACGUAGGCCUGCCGUGAAGGCUUUGAGGGCAGUCUUGUCGUCUGCCUCGGCACACCGGGAGUAUUCAUGGCUGAAGCGGCCAGCAUACAUACGUAAUGACUCGUCUGGCUUCUGGCGGAUAGUGUACAGGUCAUCUGCAGAGUGCAAGCGAUCGGUUUGGAAAAUGUGUUGGGAAACAAAUAGUUUCCUCAAUUCCUCAAAUGAGUCUACCGUCUCAGGUGUAAGACGACAAUACCAAUUUAGAGCUCCGCCAGAGAGGGUGGAGGGGAAGAGAAGACAUCGCUCUUCGUCGGUGUGCAUCCGGUAUGCCAUGGUGGACUCAAAGAGGUUAAGGUGCUCAAUCGGGUCCUCUUUUCCAGUAUAAAGUUGCAAGCCAAGCUUUUUGCUUUGUCUUUGCUUGAAGGGGGGUGUUGAGGAUCCUCCUUGUAAGAGGGCCAGGCCUGGGUUGGUUCCAGUCAGGUAUUUCAGCCUGACGUUCAGCCUUCAACUUGUUUACUUCCUCAAGAAGUUGUAGGACAAGGGGGUCCUGAGCGGAGUUAUGUGCCACUGGAGCUUUCUUUCGUAAAUCUCCAUCUUCUCUUGGAAUUAGGAAGGUUUGAUCAAGGGCAUGUGAUUUUUCCCUGGACUCGCUGUACUGGCUUCCAGGGUAUGUCUGUCGGAACACCUCUGAGUCCCCUGUACCCUCAUGUCUCUCUAGGACUUGUUGCCCCUUCCCCAAAUUGGUGGCCGGCUUGGGCCGUGGCAGGGGACCGAGUCUCUCAGAAAUCCUUGGGUCAUUAAUCUUUGAGCUUAUAUGGAUGGAAUUCUCUCGACGUUGCUUCAGGAAAUCCCGACAAUAGCGAAAGACAGCUUUCGAUCCUUCUGCCCCUUCAGCAAAGAGGUGUCUCCCUCCACUUCUCAUGGUUCGGGUUGAAGCAACUGGGUUAAGAGAAGCCUCAUGUUGAUUAUCAAGUCGAGGGGUAAUCUGUUCCCUAUCAGGGAUAUCUAUGUCGAAUGCAUGUGACCCUCCAUGUUGGAGGGCACCCAGUUGAUGGUUGACUUCCACGGGGGCAACAAGCUCGCGUGUCUGAGCUUGCCUAGCUUCGUGGAGUGUCUCGAAGAGCUUCUCAUAUUGCUCCUGGAGGACCUCAUUCCUCAUUGCUAUCUUGUUGUUCUGAGCUUCCAACUCAUCGACUUUAGCUUGAAGAAGAACUCGUUUUCCUUCCUUCUUUCGUUGUUUCGCACUAUGUGCAAGGGGGGUGUCAUUCUGUGUGCUGUGGCUUCCUUCGCUUCCCAUGUUGGAGAGGGAUGCCUGGUCAAAAGAAAGUGUACGAAUGAUAGAAACCAGCUUGACACAGCUGAAGAGAGUAGGAAUAAGUGUCGUUUCCCACAGACGGCGCCAAAUGUUGAUUAUCAAAAUCAGCGAAGACUUUGGUACAACAGAAAGUGUCAGGUUUUGUGACCUUCGCUUGGUUGCUUCGGUCACUAGUGAGGAUAAAUACGUAAAUAAAUAGAGACAGAGAAGCAAACACAGGAUGUACGUGGUUCACCCAGAUUGGCUACGUCCACGGAGUAGAGGAGUUCUUAUUAGUAGUGAAGGGCUUACACAAGUACAAAGGAUCAAGCUCUCAAUUUAGUGAGUUCUUGUGAAUGAUUUAACACAAAAUGGCAUUAGGCAAUAUUGUGGGGGAAUGACCCCUAUUUAUAGAAAAACUUGUAGCUUUGUCACAUUGACAUGUGUCAUGUUAUGAUUGGUUCUUGAUGUUGACACGUGAUGCGCUCUGAUUGGCUUCUAAUCCUGACACGUGUCGAGUAGUGAUUGGCCUCCUGGUCGGAGGGGAACUCUUCUGGGUCCUUGACAGUAUAGCGUUGGCCGGUGCUCGGUAGUUUCGGGAUUGGUCAAGUAUGGUACAAACAAGUUGUACUUAGUACAUUUGAUGGGCAAUCAUAUUUUAGUUGGUUCCGUUGAGUGGUCCGGAAUCCUUUUUGGUGUCUUGGUUCCGUUGAGAGGUCCGGAACCCGAUGCUGAUGGAUUUCGUUGAGGGGUCCGAAAUUGCAUCAUUUGAUUCAUUUAAGACAGCUUCAGCAAUGUAGACUUAUGUCGAAUUGUGUCGCUCUAACCCGGCAUUCCGAUGAAUUGUAUGUGUUAUUGAUGAUAUGGUGAUUGGCAUUAUUGAUUGAUGUGAUAAUUGGAUGGUAAUGGAAUGCAUAUGUGAGGAUGAAUGACGUUAUGAGUAGAGAUUAUUAUUGUGCUUUGUUAAAUGUUCCUUAAGGUGCUACAUAAUUGAAUUGUGGUAUUAUGUUGAGACCUAGUGGUCUAUGUGACGAAUGUUCGAUAGUAGUGAAAUGUGAACUACGAAUGACUUGAUCCCUGUUGAGGGUACGUAGGUAGUCUAACGAGGAGGUUAGAUGCAGUCAUAAAAUACACAAAAAUUACAACGAAAUUCGAAUAUUGAAUUAUGCUUUGUAAAUAUUUCGGGCGGGAUAUGUGAGAUAUACGGGUUUUUAAUGACGUCACGUGCUGAUCUUGGACGUAUGUCGGGAUCAGGGCGUGACAAAAUGAGUUUUAUGAAAUGAAAUGGCAUGCCAAUUAUAUUUAUAUUAAGAAUGUGCAUAUGUGAUUAUAUAUGUUGUGAUUCGAUGCUAUGGGCGCUCAGGUAAGUUUCAAGUAAGUUUAUGUGUUGAGUUUAAGGUGUGGAAAAAUGAUGAUUGUUGAGAUGUGUUGAGAGCUCAUUAACCUGCACCCGGGUGUUAGUGCUCCUGCCCAUGGUUAGGGGCACAGUCUUUCACGUGAUGUUUACCUCCCGUAGCACACGCUCAUCUUGGAUCCAAGUUAGGUGCACAAUCCUGUUGUAUAGACCACUUUCAGUGGGUUCGACUCGUUGGUGACCUGCAAUCAUUCGCACAGUCUUCACGUGAUUGUAGCAUUAGAGCAUAUUUGUUUUACACCCAGUCAUGUCGUAUAGACCACUAUAGGUGGGUUCGACUCGUGUGCAGACAUGAUUUAUGAGAUAGAAUUCAGUUGAUUUGAUAUUCUCACAUGUUAUCACUCCUUGGGGUACUUACCUUGUUAUUUGAGAUGAUUGGCAUGGUAUAUUCACGUUUUGACUUUGGAUUUUGAUAUUGCUGGAUAUGUUGAGAUUACGAGUAUAUGUAUAUGCUAUUUGCUGGGAAAUUAUACAGGUUUUACAGAGAGGGGUUAUACUUUUGAGAAAUGAAAUGAUUUUGAAAAGUUUUGUUUUUUGCCCACUCACGCGUUUUGUUUUGCGCCCCUCUAGGUUUUAGGUAGCGUUGUUGGUGGCUUACGAGUUUUCAGCGGAGGUUCUGACAGACCAUCACUUAUGUAGAAUCACCUUUGGGUGUUGUUAUUUAGUACUUUUAUGCUUGACUGCACUUAGGCUAGUUAAGCUCUGAUUGUGUAUUCACACUUAAUUUCCACUCUUGCAUCUUAGUCUUGUCUAGUACUAUCAGGAUUUGGUUUCUAUUCAAUUGUAUUUCUCUAUAUUAAUCUUGCUUCCGCACUGUGCAUAUGGCUACGUCACCCUCACGUGACGGUUAGCAUGUCUCGAUCUUGGUCGGGGUGUGUCAUCAAGUCACCUUUUAACUUCUAUUAUGUUGAUUUUUGUCUGUAGGUACACAAAAAUAUGCAGAUUUGGCUUUCAAAUUGAGAGGCCUAAGGACAAUCUCUGUUCAUAGAAAAAAAAGUUGGACAUAGAAGGCAUGGGUAUGGGAACAUGAUUGGUUGUUAUAUUGCUUUGGGACGUUUUGAUAUUUUAGAGAUUAAUGAGUUUGUGGAGAUUUUGUUUUUCACAUCUUGCUUUGUAUUUGAACUUAAGCACUAUAACUGAACUUACUUUAAAAUUAUAGGACUUCAAAACGCGACCGCGGUUAGGAUUAGAAAGGGCCAAGUAUAUAUGUUGAGAAACUAGGCAUUGCAAGCAUAUAAAUUCCAAUUUUAUUAUUGCUAAACCAUAUAUCAAAUGUAGUUAGGAAUUAAAUUAAGUACAAACUACAUGGGGAUGGAGAAAGUUAUGUAUAGGUGAGAGCCUAAAAAUACUUGAGAAUCAAAUACUGCACAAAUUUGUGAUAAGUUAGAUGAGUAAAGAUCGCCUUUUGUCAAGCAGUUUUUGACUUUUCUGCAUUCUUUUAUAUAGUUUUUUCUUUUUUUCUUCCUAUUUUGUCAGAUUAGAUAGAUAGGGGCGCUAAUAAAAAAAAAGAAAGAAAGUAUUUUUGCAUUUUGCUGCACGUGAUGAUGUUGAUGAUAUACAAUAUUCAAUGACUAAACCCUAUUCCCUAUACUAUAGCAAAAAAUGAAGCAUAAUUAUACAAUAGCUACACACAAAACAUUGAAAGUAUACAUGCGUGCAGUAAGAAUGAAUGGUAAAAAUGCCAUGUUCCUUUUAACAUUGCGAAUUACCGAGCUUUAUGGAGGGAGUAUAAAUACGAAUGCUCUUGGUGGUCUUCAUCUAAUUUCUUAUUAGUAUCAUCUCGAUGUUUUGGAACUUUUGACAGCCCUCUCACCGAACAUAUAAUUUUUAGGGGCGCGCAGCGCUCGUAAUUAAAAAAACGCGCAUGCGGAGAGGCUGGUAUAUACUAAAGUCCUACGCCCAAAAAUGCUGUUCAUAAGAGCAGUGUAAAGACGCAAAUACCCCUCCUCAACUGAUCUUUUCCUUCCUAUAUUUCAUGAGGCUACAGUAAAAAGACGAAAAACCAUGUUGCACACGUGGCGUGCUAGCGAGAUUUCUCUCUUCCACCGCUUCCUUCCUCUGCAGUCUACACCUCUUGCGUUUUUGCCUUUCCUCUCCAGCUGUCGGCCAUCACAGAGUCUUAUGGCAUCUUCCCGUUCUUUUCGCUGUUUUUCCUUCGGUUGCUUUUCACUUCUUUUCCUCUAAUUUGACUUCGUUUGUUUUGUGUUAUGUGGUUUUUAUUGAUUUUCAAUGUGUAUUGAUUGAUACUAACAAUUACAAGAUGAAACUUAUAUAUAGGGAAAGAAAGAUGACAUAAGCCUAACUUGCCUAACUUGCCUAACUUACACAAAGAAAGUUGACUAGCCUAACUUCACUAGUCAUCCAAUACAAUUGUUCCAACAUGUUUAUUUCAUGCAUUUUAACACUCCCCCUCAAGUUGGAGUGUGGAUGUCAAUGAUACCCAACUUGCUAAGUAAGACCUCAAAUUGCGCCGAGCUUAGUGGUUUGGUGAACAAAUCUGCAGGUUGAUUCGAGGUUCGUAUGUAAGCUGUUUGCACCAUUCCCAUCUGAAUCUUCUCACGUACUAAGUGACAGUCGAUCUCUAUAUGCUUCGUUCGUUCAUGAAACACUGGGUUCGAAGCAAUGUGCAUGGCAUCUUGAUUAUCACAAAACAAUGUGACUGGUUGUGCAUGAUUCACUCGUAAGUCCUUCAAAAGGUUUCUUAGCCAUAUAACUUCACAACAGGUGAUAGCCAUAGAACGAUAUUCUGCCUCUGCACUAGAACGAGAUACUGUGCUUUGCUUCUUUGUUUUCCAAGAUAUCGGUGCUUGCCCAAGGAAGAUACAAUAACCGGUUAUUGACCUUCUAGUGUCUUUACACCGAGCCCAAUCAGCAUCACAAAAAGCUUGUAAUUGUAGUGAACCUGUAGAAGGCAAAAGAAUUCCCUGGCCAGGAGAUUGUUUGAUGUAUCUGAGAACCUUAUACACUGCAUCAAGGUGUGGUUGUCGCGGCUUGUCCAUGAAUUGGCUUAACAUAUUAACCACGUAAGUCAGGUCAGGCCUCAUGAUGGUUAAGUAAAUUAGCCUCCCUACGAGUCUCCUAUAUGAAGAAGGAUCAUGUAGGAGCGUCCCUUCAGUUUAUGUAAGGGACAAGUUUGGUUCCAUGGGCAAUCGUGAGGGCUUCGCACCAAGGAACCCAACAUCUUCUAGUAUCUCCAACGCAUAUUUGCGUUGGCACAAGGCAAUCCCUUGUUUAGAUCUUGCAACUUCUAUCCCCAAAAAAUAUUUGAUUUUUCCCAAAUCCUUUAGCUUAAAAUGUUGGGAAAUGAAGAGUUUAGUCUCUUCAAUUUCUCUCAAAUUGUUACCUGCAAGUAUUACGUCAUCAACAUACACAAGUAAUGCCAUGAAACUGCCUUGAUUGAUGAAAACCAGCAGUCUUGAGAGCACUAGACAGCUUAAUAAACCACUGUCUUGAGGCCUGUUUUAAACCAUAAAUGGAUUUGUGUAAUUUGCAUAGUUGUGUCUCCCCCUUUCGUCCGAACCCAGGAGGUAUAUAAACCUCAUCGUAUAAGUCACCAUGCAAAAAUGCGUUGUUUACAUCAAGUUGGUGAAGAUGCCAACCACAGAUGAAGGCAAUACUGAGGAGGACAUGGACGGUGGUGAGCUUGGCAACUGGAGCAAAUGUUUCCCGAUAAUCAAGCCCUUCAAUUUGACUAUAGCCUUUAGCAACGAGACGGGCUUUGUAGCGUUCAACACUGCCGUCAAGUUUAAGCUUCACCUUAUAGAUCCAUUUGCAGCCUAUGGGAUGUUUGUGAGGUGGUAAGGGCACAAGAGUCCAAGUGCGAUUGUCAUGGAGGGCAUCAAUCUCUUUUUGCAUGGCGUCACGCCAUUUUGGAUCCUGAACAGCCUGCGAAAAACUGGUGGGUUCUUUGAUAAUGGUGAGGGUGGUGAGAAAGGUUUUGUGAGGGGGGAUACAUGGUCAUAGGAUAAAUAACGAGAUAGGGAGUGAGAUGUACCUGAGGACUGAACCAUGCUUGUGGAAGAUGUGGGUGCAACACGGGAUGGGAGGGCCACCUCAACAUGAAAGUCUUGCAAAAAUAUGGAAGUUUUGGUUGGUCGAGUGCUAGGACGGAGUGCAGGGGUUGGAUCUGGUGAUGGAGUGGUUGGAGGUGGGGAAGAGUGUAGGGUAGGUGAAGGUGUUGAUAAGGUAUCUGGUGGUGGAGUUGUAGAGGGUAAAGGAGAUGAGGGUGGUGUGAUGUCGGCAAGUGUGGGAGAUGUGGUGUUUAUGUCUGCUGGUGCAAGGCUUGAAUGCGACUCAAUGGGAGAGGUCGAGUCAAACGGGAUAGGUGUAGUGUUUGAUGGAGACGGGGCAACGGAAGUGUUACAAUGUUGGAAUGGAAAAUGAUCUUCAAAAAAUACGACAUCCCUAGAAACAAAAGUCUUAUUGUGUUUUAUAUCAAACAAUUUAUAACCCUUUUGACCAUAAGGAUACCCAAGAAAAAUGCAUUGGAUUGCACGAGGGUCAAAUUUAGAGGGCCUUUGGGCAUGUGUAGAAGCAAAACACAAGCUACCGAAAACCUUCAAAUGAGAAUAGUUAGGUGCUUUGUGAAACAGUUUUUCGUAUGGUGUUUUACCUUGGAGAAGUGGAGUGGGUGUUCUAUUGAUGAGGUAGGCUGAGGUUAGGAUUGCAUCUCCCCAAAAACAUUUUGGCAGACAAGCUUGAAAGAGCAAAGCCCGAGCAACAUUGAGCAAGUGCCGGUGUUUACGUUCGGCAACACCAUUUUGUUGUGGUGUGUUGACUCAACUAGAUUGAUGUAUGAUGCCUUUGAGAGCAUAAAAUUGCUCAAGUUUAAACUCAGGGCCAUUGUCACUUCGUAUGAUUUGAACUCUGGUAUUGAAUUGAGUCUCAAUCAUUUGAAUGAAUUUGACUAAAAUGUCUUUUGUGUCAGAUUUAUGUUUCAUCAAAUGAACCCAAGUGCUUCUAGUGUAGUCAUCUACGAUGGUAAGGAAAUACUUGGCACCUGAAAUAGAAGCAACUUGAUAACCACCCUAAAUAUCAAUAUGCAAUAAUUCAAAACAUGAUUUGGUAGAAAUAGAGCUCAAAGGAAAGGGUGAUCGUGUUUGUUUGGCCAAUGGGCAAAUUGAACAUUUUUCCAAAUCACAAGCUUUAUUGUUAAAGAAAGGUAAUAACGAAGUGGCUUUAUGAGAUGGGUGUCCUAGGCGUUGGUGCCAAAGCUUUGGUGCGAUGGUUUGAAUAUUGUUGCAUGUUCUUUUCCUUGAUGAGUCGAGGUAGUAGAGUCCAUCCCUUUCAGUUCCCAUCCCAAUCAUCUUCCCCGAGCGAAGGUUCUGAAUGACACAAAAUUGGGUGAAGAAAAUUGUGACAUAUAAGGAAUCAUAGGCUAGUUUACUGAUGGAUAUUAAAUUUAAUUUAAAGAAUGGCACACAUAGGACAUUGUCAAGGAUAAGAUUAUGAGAGAAAACAACUUGUCCAAUGUGAGUGACUUUGGCAACGGAACCAUUUGGCAGUUCAACUGUAUGAUUUUCAACAGCUCGUGAGUGUGUAAAGAGACUAGGGUUGAAAGUUCUUCAUGACUAGAAGGAUUACCGACUUGAUUGGCAAAUGAUGAUUUGUUCUUGUUCAACAUUUGAAGGAUUUGCUUGCAAUCCUCCUGAGAGAACGGGAAAUUGGGCAACAUCUCUUGCUUGUUACUUUGUGAAACUUGAUUCCCUUUUGAAGAAAAAGGACGACUGCUUUCCGUUUCUGUGGCUGCUUUUCGUUUUCGACAGAAAUCGAAGGUGUGACCUUUCCAUCCACAAAAAGUGCACUUGAGAUGUGCACGACAGUUUUUGGUGAUGUGAUUUGUUCUAUUGCACUUUCCACAUCGCAUCUCUUUGUCUUCCGGUGUAGGUUCUUGCGACAAAUUCUUCACUCCAAAGACAACAGCCUCUGGUUGUGUACUCUUCCCAUUGGAAACCUCUGCCUGGCGUUCAUGUCGAAGGACCAACGCAUAUGCCUUGUUCACCGUAGGCUGUGGUUCAAGAAGAAGGGUAUUGCUUCGAACCGUAGCAUACGAUUCGUUCAAUCCCAUAAGGAACUUCAUGGUUUUCUGAGUUUCAACAUAUGAGUUCAUCUCAUUCUUUGUUCCACAACUGCAUGCUGGAAUGGAACACAAAGUAUCACGUUCAUCCCAUAAACUUUUAAGUUUAGUGCAGUAAGAACUUACACUCAUAUUGCUUUAGACGCAAUCAUGGAUCUCGUUCUUAACAUGGAACAGCUGAACUAUAUUCACAUGUGAGAACCUCUCCUGCAGAUCGGUCCACAUUUGUCGAGCAUCCUUGUAGUUGAUGACACUCCUUGAAAUCUCCUUUGACAUGGAGCCUAGUAGCCAUGUCUUGACCAAGUUGUUGCAGCGAUUCCAUUGUUGCAACUCCUCAGAAUUGUCCUCACUUGGUUUGUUGAUUGUCCCAUCAACAAAACCAAGUUUGUUCUUGACCGUUAAGGCCAUACUCAUGGAUUGAACCCAUGUGCUGUAGUUGUCUUCCACCAAUGGUUGUGGUACGAGGAUUGCACCAGGUUGGUCCGAGUGGUGGAGAUAGAGUGGGUGGUUGGGAUUUUCCCAUUUUGAAUGAGAAGCCAUGCCUGGAAUGGUUGACCUCAUGACUGCCUUAGAGCUUGUGUUUUGUGGUUUUCCCAGAUCACAGCUCUGAUACCAUAUUGAUUUUCAAUGUGUAUUGAUUGAUACUAACAAUUACAAGAUGAAACUUAUAUAUAGGGAAAGAAAGAGGACAUAAGCCUAACUUGCCUAACUUGCCUAACUUACACAAAGAAAGUUGACUAGCCUAACUUCACUAGUCAUCCAAUACAAUUGUUCCAAUACAAUUGUUCCAACAUGUUUAUUUCAUGCAUUUUAACAGUUUUGGUUUCGUUUGCUCUCUUUCCCUUCUUCUCUGUUGGUUUCUGUUGCUUCUCCAUCAGUUCACCCAAACCACCGCUUGCUUCUCCACCAGUUCACCCAAAUCCGACGAAGGGCGCCACAACAAACGUGCCAAUCUUCCUGCACCACCGGUCUCCGCAACGUUUUCCAAAACCCGCUUGACCGAAGGUAAGCGAAUUUGGUGUUCUGGAUUAUAUCGGAAUUGAAAUAGGUUUGGUUUCAUUAACUUUUUGGGUUAAUAAAUUUGUAUGCUCUGAUUCUUUUGAAUUUGAGUUUGGAUUGGAAUUUAAUUUUGAUUUACAAAUCUCUGAUAAAACCUCAACAAGAAACUUAAACCCUCAGCAAGAAACUUAAACCCAAUGCAUCAUCCUAUUAAUUCCAACAUCUCCUCAAUAAGUAUUCUAAGAUAUAAAUAUUACAAUUCUGGUGAUCAUAGAAAAAUGCAUAUUUGAGUGAUCAUGGAACACUGUUAGUAGCUACACAUAUCAUAAUAAUUUAGGAUAUGGACGUUAAAUUAUCUUAAACUGCAGAAUGUGGCUUUUACAUUGUUAUAUGGAAUUUCCCCUAGGAAGAAAUAGCAUUGAACUUAUAGGAUGGAUACAUAAAUAGCCUAUGUACGCAUUACAAAAUGAUUUAGUUGUUUGGGAUUAAACAAAGUUUGGUUUUUCAUGGUGAGUUCUCAACUGGGUUUUACUUAUUUUUUUGCCUCCGAUAUAAGUUUUAGAUGCUUUUCUUUGUUUUUCGCUAAUUUUUAAAUUUAUUUUUUUUACUAUUUAGUGUGAGAAAAUGGCUUCAAAAUUGGAUUUCCAAUGUCUGGGCAGAGGAAAACAGGAAGAGAACACCAAUGGUGGUUACGAAGGAGAAUCCCUUCUUUGCGGUGGAAAUUGACGGUCCAUGUGCAACAUUCAACCCAGUUUAUAAGAGCAGGGGUCAAUAUGAAGAACCAAUGACAUGGGGUUUUGUUUAAUUUUAUUAAGUUUUGUACUGAGGUAAAAUUCUCCCCAUUUAACAUAGUUUUAAAUGUUGAUUAGUAUAUGUGUAAAUAGGAUUGUGAGUAUGGUUGUAUAUGUAGUAGUAGAAUUGAAAACAUUGUUGUAAUUAUGUGUAAGUAGAGUUGUAAACCCGACGCAUCGCGCGGGCCUUUUUGCUUGUUACCCCUAAACGUUACAAAAAUCCCAAAAAUUAAAAGGAAACUAAAAAAAAUUAGAAUUUACCCAUAGUUUCGCGAAUCCCAGCCGGAUGAACUGGUGGCAGUUGUAAGAGCGGAUCUCCAGCUCCGAACCUCUUCUAUUUCAGCGUUAGAAUCAUGGUCGUGCUGAUCAAAAGCUUUCGCGAAACUUCCCUUUAGUUUACGACAUCAGACGGAUCAACUUCAUAGAAAAUGGGGAGUACAAUCUGUUUAUUGGUAUCCUCGCAUUCCAGGAUUUGCACGAGUUCUUUCAAGCACCAAGUGGAAGAAGCAUAGUUUUGAGAGAAAACUACAAUCGAAAUCCUUGACUCUCGAAUGGCUGACAGGAGCUUGGAAAGGCGGUCGCCUUUUCUGAGGUCUUCGGCAUCAAUGAAGGCGUUGAUUGGUUUCUGACGCAGGGCUUUGUAGAGAUGGCUGACGAAGCCCCUGCGAGUGUCUUCCCCUCUGAAAUUGAUGAACACAUCGUAUUUCCAACCAAGGCCAGAAGAAGAAGAAGAAGCAGCCAUUAAUCGAUCGAGCAGCUAAGUCCUAGAGUAAUGUAAGAACAGAAAUACUCGAUUGAUCAAUAAAUUGAAUCACAGAAAAAACUGGUCUGAUCGAUACGAAGUCAACGAGGACAGAAAAUUAUGCUUUAUGUGUUUUCACAUCUUCUUCCGGGAAAUUUAACGAAAAUAAUUUUCUUGCCGGCAAAAUUGACUUCAAAAUAUAAAAAUAUUCUUCCAGGUAUGGACAUAUGAAGUUUCAGUGUGAAACGAAUCUGCAUACUUUGGUUUGGUUUUGACCCAAGAAAAUGCUAAGAAAGGAUGGUUUAGCAGCUUUGCAUGAGGGGACUGGGUCAAAGUACUCUGUUGAAUCUGCCCUUGCCUACCCAACAACUUCUUUGUAAGUCGGAAAUAAAUCCCGAUCUUCCUAUUCACACGAAAAAUGAGUGGGGUGACAGGAAAUAUUUCUUGUUAAAUGUAAGCAUCUCACACAUGUGGUAUAUUCAAAGGUAUUGAGGCGACAAACGAGCGAUUAAUAGUUUGGCUUUUAAUUUGAUGUCACGGUAGUAACGGUACUUACUAUGAAAUCUUUGAUAUAUUUGCUUUUAGCUACAAAACAACUAAAACUCCACAAAUUGCUUAUGAAAAUAAAAAAUAUUGACAAGAUUUGAACUUGUAUUAUCUACAUCUUCACUACACAUUGUUGCUCCGCUCGUGUUCUGAAGUUGACAAUAGCUAGAAGGUCACAGCAAGAAGCAGAGGAGGCUAACUGUUACAGAAAAUUUGUUUAUUCAAAGCAUUAAUAAAAACACAUUGAAAUUAAUUCACGCAAAAAAUAAAUAAUACAGUGAAGGAUUUACAGUGGUGGCAGCCACACUUCAAAAAUAGGGCGUCUCACCCUGUGGAGAAAGCAUUUUUUGCUAUGAAUAAAAAUUCCACUGCGUAACAAAACAGGAGAUUAAUGAUUGAGUGAUAGCUGAGUUGUUUGCAAUGAGAGAGAUGUUUUUACUUUUAUUGAUAAGGAGUCUACAUAUGCGAUGUUCUCAUAGUAUAAAACUUCGCCGACAACAAUUAUAACUUGUUUGUGUUGAUAAAUUUUGAAUGACAUUAAUAUUGUCUAAUAUCUAAAAGAAUUUGGAUGGCUACAUUUUUUUUUUUUGGAAAACCUUUUAACCUUAUAAAUUGCGGGCUUCUUCCGACAAUUCCUAACUUCGUCACUGCUUCAGUCAACUCGAAGUCCUAGUGGUUCUUGUCCAUGAUAUCAAUAUCCCUACAAUAAACGGUGACUUCAAUAUGAGCUACACUCAGUCUAACAAAAAGUUUGUAUAGAGAAGAUAUGCAUGAAAAAAUGGCAAUGGUUGUGUUUGUGUUGCUGAACGAAUGAUACUGAAAUACCUAAACCCAAGUCAAGCUCCUUUAGUCCACGAAAACAAAAGUUUAGAAUACAAUAAUGUUUGCAUAUAGACUAGAGAAACGACAUACCGCAGGCCAGGAAGGUGCAGUGAAAGAGAGAGGAAGAGAGGAAAAGAGGAAAGAAACAAACAUGAAAUGACAAAGACUAUCAAAUAGAUUAUAACAAUGACUUCUUAGCGAUGGUUACAACUAUUUAACUAUCGAUAAUGCAUUAUUUUAGUUUGAAACGUGGAAGCAUUUGAGAAGUAGCAUGUCAACAACCAUUACACAAUAAUAUUGUCUAAUAUCUAAAAGAAUUUGGAAGUCUACAUUUUUUGGAACCUUUUACCCUUAUAAAUUUUGCGCCUCUCCUGACAAUUUCUAGUUUCGUCGUUGCUUCAGUCAACUCCAAGUUCUAGUGGUUCUUGUCUAUGAUAUCAAUAGCCCCACCGUAAAUGGUGACUUCAGUAUAAGCUACACUUAGUAUAAGUGUAUGGGGGACAUAUAUGUAUGAAAAAAUGGCAGUGGUUGUAUCUGUGUUGACUAACGGAUGGUACUGGAAUACCUAAACCCAAGUCAAGCUCCUUCAGUCCACAAAAAUCAAAAGUUUAUAAUAUAAUAAUGUUUGCAUAUAGACUUGAGAAAAGACAUACCGCCAGCCGGGAAGGUGCAAUGAACAAGAGAGGAAAAGAGGAAAUAAACGAACAAGAAAGGACAAAGACUAUCCAAUAGAUUAUAACAAUGACUUCUUAGUAGUGAAGUGAUUAAGCUAUUCCACUAUUAAUAAUGCAUUAUUCUUAGAUUGAAAUGGUUCAGAAAUUUAAAAGCCAGAAUUGACUUAUAUAAAAUCAAUUUUUAAUUGGGUAGAUGUAAUUUGUAAAACAAAAAUGUUUAUAAAAAAAAAUUUCUCUUGAAAAUGUAUUCUGGUGCCAGGAUUUAAACCUGGAUGAAAACUCUUAACCGUAAGACUUUUUGUAGUGAGCAACACUGGACUAGUUGAUAGACUAUGAUGAAAUAAACCAUUUAAAUGUACUCCUUACGUUAUGCAGUGCGCAUACUGGAUAAACAAUUAGUGCACAUAAUGUGGUUAUCUGAUUUGUGGGGAAUGGUGAUGCUCACCGCUGACUUUUGGUUUACUGACAGGCUCUCAAAGUUAAAUAUAUCAGAUUUUGUUUGACAUUCGUAACAUAUUUUAAUAUUUUCACCACAACAACAACAACAACAACAAAGUCUUUUCCCACUAAGUGGGGUCGGCUAUAUGAAUCCUAGAACGCCAUUGCGCUCGGUUUUGUGUCAUGUCCUCUGUUAGAUCCAAGUACUCUAAGUCUUUUCUUAGAGUCUCUUCUAAAGUUUUCCUAGGUCUUCCUCUACUCCUUCGGCCUUGAACCUCUGUCUCGUAGUCACAUCUUCGAACCGGAGCGUCAAUAGGCCUUCUUUGCACAUGUCCAAAUCACCGGAACCGAUUUUCUCUCAUCUUUCCUUCAAUUUCGGCUACUCCUACUUUACCUCGGAUAUCCUCAUUCCCAAUCUUAUCCUUUCUCGUGUGCCCACACAUCCCACGAAGCAUCCUCAUCUCCACUACACCCAUUUUGUGUACGUGUUGAUGUUUCACCGCCCAACAUUCUGUGCCAUACAACAUCGCUGGCCUUAUUGUCGUCCUAUAAAAUUUUCCCUUGAGCUUCAGUGGCUUACGACGGUCACACAACACGCCGGAUGCACUCUUACACUUCAUCCAUCCAGCUUGUAUUCUAUGGUUGAGAUCUCCAUCUAAUUCUCCGUUCUCUUGCAAGAUAGAUCCUAGGUAGCGAAAACGGUCGCUUUUUGUGAUCUUCGCUAGAUUACUCCGGUCAUUAGCGUGGAUAAGUAUAUAAAUGGAUAGAGAUAGGAAAGCAAACACAAGAUGUACGUGGUUCACCCAGAUUGGCUACAUCCACGGAAUAGAGGAGUUCUCAUUAAUUGUGAAGGGUUUACACAAGUACAUAGGUUCAAGCUCUCCUUUAGUGAGUACAAGUGAAUGAUUUAGUACAAAUGACAUUAUGAAAUAUUGUGGGAGAAUGAUCUCGUAAUCAUGAAACUUCUAAGUAUCGGAGUGUGGUAUCGUCUUGACUUGCCUUAUCUGUCUCAUAGGUAGAUGUGGCAUCUUCUCUGGAAGUACUCUUCCUCCAUCCAUGGGUGGUAUCUUUAACUGGUGGAGAUGCAUAAGGUAAUGUAUCAAUUUCACUUGAAGCUUACUUGUAGUUUCAGGCUUGGUCAAGCGCGAUACAAACCAUGUAGUAGGAGUCCCCCAAGUCGCCGAGCUAGGGGAUUUGCUGAAAGAGGUGACAGACAAGGUAAGCAAUCAGAGCUCCGGCUGAUUGUUCACAUUCUCCCUAUCUUGCAGGCAGCAUGAAGGAUAAAGAGAAGAAAAAAUGAGAAGAGAUGAUAUGGGAUACUUUUGCUUUUGAAGAAGUAACUUUCCACAGGCUUAUUCUUGAACUGAAGCUGGAGGGUUUUCUGGUUUCCUCCAGAGUAUAAGGCCGACUGAAGAAUUUGAGGGUCAAAACAAGUCCAUCAAAUCUAGAGUACGUUCGACCCUGCUGAUAUGGGAUACUUUUGCUUUUGACAGAGUAAUGGAUGUAUCGGCACGUGUGCUGUUACGCUUGUCUCUCCACAUGCUUCCUUGUAUCCUUCUCACUUGCCCUAUCUGUUCCUCAAGGCAAGAUGCGGUAUCUUCCCUGGAAGCAUAAGAUGUUGAAGAUGAGUACUCGAGAGCAAUGCCAGGUAAGUAAUCAGGUAAGGGGUUCCAGGCAGUCAGUUCCUAGCUGGAAGCUUGAUUCCAAGUGCUGACUGAUUGCUCUCUUUCUCCUUGUCUUGCAGGUAAAGAACAAGGCCAAAGGAAAAGACAGGGAAAAAGCAUGAUAUGGGAUAUACUCUUGCUUUUUAACCCUGAUGAUAUGAGAUAUUCUUGCUCUAGUAUAGCUUGUUUGUAGAGGUAUUAUCGGGGGGAAAGAAAGCUGAAUAUUUCGAAAGGCUUCGUUGGGAGUGCCCUCUCAGAUAUGAGAAAGGGUUGAGCAUUUUUGCAGGUCUGCCUGUCCGUUGGGGAUGGAGGUCGACAUAUAUAGGAGUCUCCCUAAUAACAAGUAGUAAUGUUAUUCCUUUACCCUGCUUGGUCAUAGCACGAUAGUUGGAGCUGCCAGCUUCACAUGUUUUAACUCUGUCAGAGCACUUUGAAAAAGUGGUCUGUGGUAUCUGGAAAGCUGAUGUUGCGUGUGAAGAUUACAGACAAGCUUUACCCAAGGAGAUUUGGUUCUUGAAGUUGGGAAAAUGGUGCCUUUUCGGUUUUCGAACAAGCAAUCCUAUCGGGGAUCUGGCUCUCGAGAUUUGGAGAACGAUGCCUCUUCGAUUUUUGAGAAAGCAAUCAUGCUGGGGGUCUAGCUCUCGAGAUUCGGAGAGCGGUGUCUCUUCGAUUUUUGAGAAAGUAAUCAUGUUGGGAGUCUGGCUCUCGAGAUUCGGAGGACGGUGCCUCUUCGAUUUUGGAGCAAGCAAUCUUGUUGAGAAUGUUUUCUCGAAUGUGAGUAAAGGUUGGGCAUGUUUGCUAGUCUACCUUGCCACGAAGCACAGAGGUUGACACACAGGGACUUUCCAAUUAUCCAGCAAUGGUACUGUUCCUUUACCCUCUUUUCGAUUUUUGAGAAAGUAGGCAUGUUGGGAGUCUGGCUCUCGAGAUUCGGAGGACGGUGCCUCUUCGAUUUUGGAGCAAGCAAUCUUGUAAUCUUGUUGGGAGUGUUUUCUCGAAUGUGAGUAAAGGUUGGGCAUGUUUGCUAGUCUACCUUGCCACGAAGCACAGAGGUUGACACACAGGGACUUUCCAAUUAUCCAGCAGUGGUACUGUUCCUUUACCCUCGUGGGUAAUAAUAUGGUAGCUAGACCUUCAAAAUUUAUGUGUCUAAACUUUGUUAGUGUUGUUUCUUUGCUAUUCUUUUACCCUUCUUGGUCAGAGCGAUGUAGUGGGAGCUGCAAGCUUCACGUGCUCAACUUUGGCAGAGAACUUUGGUAAAGUUAUCUGUGGUACCCAUGAGCUACUGUUGCGUGUGGGAAGUGGGUGAUUGAACAGUAAGAUUCAUGUGCCUUCUACUUCACCAGAAGUCUUCGACAUAAUGCCCAUAAUUUCCGCAAAGCUGAGUGUGCGUGUGACAGGUGCUGACAAGGCUGGAAAAGUAGGUGCCUCUUUGAUUUCUGAGAUCGACCCUCAUGGUCUCUGAGCAGCCCAGCUUUUGAGAAAGCAAGCGCCUCUUCGAUUUCUGAGAUCGGCCUUCGUGGUCUUUGAGCAACCCAGCUUUUGAGAAAGCAAACGCCUCUUCGGUUUCUGAGAUCAACCCUCGUGGUCUCUGAGAGUAAAGGUUGGGCAUGUUUGCUAGUCUACCUUGCCAUGAAGCACAUAGGUUGACACAUUCGGAGAGCGGUGUCUCUUCGAUUUUUGAGAAAGUAGUCAUGUUGGGAGUCUGGCUCUCGAGAUUCGGAGGACGGUGCCUCUUCGAUUUUGGAGCAAGCAAUCUUAUUGGGAGUGUUUUCUCAAAUGUGAGUAAAGGUUGGGCAUGUUUGCUAGUCUACCUUGCCACGAAGCACAGAGGUUGACACACAGGGACUUUCCAAUUAUCCAGCAGUGGUACUGUUCCUUUACCCUUAUGGGUAAUAAUAUGGUAGCUAGACCUUCAAAAUUUAUGUGUCUAAACUUUGUUAGUACUAUUUCUUUGCUAUUCUUUUACCCUUCUUGGUCAGAGCGAUGUAGUGGGAGCUGCAAGCUUCACGUGCUCAACUUUGGCAGAGAACUUUGGCAAAGUUAUCUGUGGUACCCAUGAGCUACUGUUGCGUGUGGGAAAUGGGUGAUUGAACAGUAAGAUUCAUGUGCUUUCUACUUCACCAGAAGUCUUCGACAGAAUGCCCAUAAUUUUCGCAAAGCUGAGUGUGCAUGUGACAGGUGCUGACAAGGUUGGAAAGGUAGGUGCCUCUUCGAUUUCUGAGAUCGGCCCUCGUGGUCUCUGAGCAGCCCAGCUUUUGAGAAAGCAAGCGCCUCUUCGAUUUCUGAGAUCAGCCUUCGUGGUCUUUGAGCAGCCCAGCUUUUGAAAAAGCAAACGCCUCUUCGAUUUCUGAGAUCAACCCUCGUGGUCUCUGAGCAGCCCAGCUUUUGAGAAAGCAAACGCCUCUUCGAUUUUUGAAGCUCCGUCGAGUGUAUAUUUUUAUAGGGGCUGGCAUUAAGUUCCAAAGCACACUUGAAUCUCCACCAGUAGAAGCUCCAUUCUUGUACUUCUAAGAUCUUGAUUUGUCCGACUUCUUCUCUCUUCAACACCUUUGAAAAUGUCUGGCCCCUCCGACCGUCGUUUUGACUUGAACCUUGUUGAAGAUGCAGCCCCGCCUUCUCAAGACAACAUAUGGCGCCCAUCCUUCGUCUCCCCUACUGGUCCUCUUACCGUUGGGGAUUCCGUGAUGAAGAAUGAUAUGACCGUUGCGGUGGUGGCCAGGAACCUUCUCACUCCCAAAGAUAACAGACUACUUUCCAAACGGUCUGAUGAGUUAGCUGUUAAGGAUUCUCUGGCUCUCAGUGUUCAGUAUGCAAGUUCUGUGUCUAAUAUGGCCCAACACCUAUUUGCUCGAACCCGUCAAGUUGAAUCAUUGGCGGCUGAAGUGAUGAGUCUCAAACAGGAGAUUAGAGGGCUCAAGCAUGAGAAUAAACAGUUGCACCGGCUCGCACAUGACUAUGCUACAAACAUGAAGAUGAAGCUUGACCAGAUGAAGGAAUCUGAUGGUCAGGUUUUACUUGAUCAUCAGAGAUUUGUGGGUUUGUUCCAAAGGCAUUUAUUGCCUUCGUCUUCUGGGGCUGUAUCGCGUAAUGAAGCUCUAAAUGAUCAACCUCUGAUGCCUCCUCCUUCUAGGGUUCUGUCCAGUACUGAGGCUCCGAAUGAUCCCCCUCCGGUGCCUUCUCUUUCUGGGGCUCUACCGACUGCUGAGACUUCUCCUAAGCAACCUUUGUGAAGGCUCCCUCUUGUUUGUUUAUUUUGACUCAUGUAUAUGUAUGUGUAGCUUAUCGGGGAUAUCAAUAAAUAAGCUUUCCUUCAUUUCAACAUAUUGUGUUAAAUACACCAAAGCCUUCUUCGCUAAGUUCUUUGAAUUUUCUUUUGUUGAAGCUUGUAUGUUGAAACUUUGUGAGUGGAUCAUGUAGGUUAAGGUAGUGUUCCCUUAUUUUCAUCAAUAUUGAUAUUUUAAACAAUGACAAUUCUUAGAAUACUGGAAUUCAUGUCAUUUUCAUAAACAAAUAAAUGGUUAAGAAAUGUAUAUAUUAGAAAAUUAAGAGCCAGAUUUAACUAAUAUUAAAUCGAUUUUAAAUCGGGUAGUAAAACAAAAUUAGGAAUCUGUGUCCUUUUCAUAAAUAAAUAAAUGGUUACAAAAUUUAUAUAUCAUAAAUUUAAAAGCCAGAAUUGACUUAUAUAAAAUCGAUUUUUAAUUGGGUAGAUGUAAUUUGUAAAACAAAAAUGUUUAAAAAACAAUUCUCUUAAAAAUGGUAUUCUGGUGCCAGGAUUCGAACCUGGAUGAAAACUCUUAACCGUAAGACUUUUUGUAGUGAGCAACAUCAGAUGAGUUGAUAGAUUAUGUAACGCCCCGCGCCCGAAAUAUUUAUUUUCAUAAAAUAAUUCCAAUGAUAAGCCUAAAUUAAAUUUUUUAUUUACAUUACAACCAAUAAUCACGAUUCCUUAUUUAAUUUUCUUAAUCCCUCACAAAAACUAUAACCCAUAAUUAACUUACCAAAACAUACGAUUAAAUUUUCAUAAUUUGUCACCAACUUCUACUCUUAAAACAACUUCCCAACUAAAGAUUAAAUCUCAAUUAUUAAGGCUACAUCUAACUCUUGUUAGACUGCCUACAUACCCUUUAGCGGGAUCAAGGCUUUCGUAGUUCAUAAAUCCGUUUAAAUCCAUUCUUAUAGCCGUUUCUGAAAAUAUUCUAGAAUUGGAAAUAUUCAACAUUAGCUUUCACAAUCGAAUCACAUCAAAUGAUUACCAAUUAUGGAUUUAAAUUGUCUAAAUUAGUAUUAAAAGGCAGCGUCGGCCCACUGGCCACGCGCCACCACGGGUGGCGAUCUCCAGUGAUCGGAAACCCCAAUUUCCGACAAACUCUACAAAUUACCAAAUUUUAUAGGGUUGUAGAGUUCAAUUAUAGGAACAACUUUCAUACUUGGGACGAAGUCCAAUUCGGCCAAGAAAAGCCCCAAUUUCACUCAAUUCCGUCUGAACCCUAGAAUUUGGGUGUCCUCAAUUAGUCAUCUCCCGUGCCCCGCCGCCCCAAACAAGGCUUGGUAGAUGUUCCUGGGUUCACAAGGAGUCUAACCAUGGUGGUAGUCAAUGGUGGUGGCUUCACAAACGGGAGAUCGCAGAAACGGACCCAUCGCACCCACCAAUGUAGGUUUCACUAAAUUAAAGCAUAUUUCCAUCGAAAUUGGGAUGGAAUUGGUGAAGGUAUCAAUUGGUAUCGAAGGGAGGGUUAUUUUUGGCACCGUUCCCAUCAUCAACGAUGGUCGGAAUAAAAAACAAUGGUCAGGUCGGGUCGGCGGGUUGAAGGAAGGUCUGGUUCCCUUCUCUCCUUUCCCUCCCUACCUCCCCCUCUGGUUGGUCCGUGUCUCUCGCCUUCUCUCCUUCCCUUUCCAUCACAGCCACACACGUGGCUUCUCAGAUCCUUGCUCCAGCAAAUCUGGAGCCUUUUAGAUAUUGGUCAAAUGACCAUUUUACUCCUAACUUCAAUUGUUAAUAACUUCUUCGUUAUAACUCCGUUUCAUGAACGGUUUUCGUCUACAUGUUCGUAGGGCCAUCCUUUAUCCAAAUAUAUCAAGAAAUCCGAUAAAAUAUAUGAGGAUAAAAUACAUCCUUGUAUAAUUACGUCAAACUAGUUAGGGCAUUUUCUUCUUUUCUACUUAACGAUAAAUUUUACUACGUAAAUUAUAAAAUUUCCGGAAACAAAACUUUAAAAGUUCACAAUUUUUUUUUCUUUCAUAACCAUAAAUUGAUUUAUUGUCGAUUUUUCUUCACAUAUUCAUAUAUUUAAAUUUUCAGGGUAUUACAGAUUAUGACAAAAUAAACCAUUUAAAUGUUCUCCUUACGUUAUGCAUUGCGCAUAUUGGAUAAACAAUUAGUGCACAUAAUGUGGUUAUCUGAUUUGUGGGGAAAGGUGAUGCUCACCGCUGACUUUUGGUUUAGAGACAGGCUCUCAAACUUAAAUAUAUCAGAUUUUGUUUGACAUUCGUAACAUAUUUUAAUAUUUUCACCGUUAUUGAUAUUUUAAACAAUGACAAUUCUUAGAAUACUGGAAUUCAUGUCCUUUUCAAUUUUCAUAAACAAAUAAAUGGUUAAGAAAUGUAUAUAUUAGAAAAUUAAGAGCUAGAAUUGACUAAUAUUAAAUCGAUUUUAAAUCGGGUAGUAAAACAAAAUUAGGAAUCCAUGUCCUUUUCAUAAAUAAAUAAAUGGUUAAGAAAUUUAUAUAUCAGAAAUUUAAAAACCAAAAUUGACUUAUAUAAAAUCGAUUUUUAAAUGGGUAGAUGUAAUUUGUAAAACAAUUUUUUUUUUAAAUAAUUCUCUUAUAAAUGGUAUUCCGGUGCCACGAUUCAAACCUGGAUGAAAACUCUUAACCGUAAAACUUUUUGUAUUGAGCAACACCGAACGAGUUGAUAGAUUAUGACGAAAUAAAAACAUAAUAAUUUCUUUCAAACUUAGUGAAUAACCUUCAGAAAAUAAAAACACCGAACGAGUUCAUAGAUUAUGACAAAUUAGUGGAUAAACACCUUCAGAAAAUAAAAACACCGAACGAGUUCAGCGGUGAGCAUCACCAUUCCCCACAAAUCAGAUAACCACAUUAUGCGCACAAAGAAUCAAUCAAAACAUAAUAAUUGAAUGAACGAGGAUUUCUUUCAUUUUUUCCAAAUUUUCUGAAGGUUUUUUCUAUAAGAACUUUUCUCUGACCAAUGCUUUCUAACAUUUCAUCAUUUUUUUUUAAAUUACACAAAUUCUUUGCAUACAUUGUUGUUAAAAAGAAAAUUUCUAUUAUUAAGGAGAGAGUUCGAAACUAUUGAAUUAUGGAAGAUGGACUUUUGAACUCGAGACACGGGUAGAAACCUAACACCUAUCCACUAGGACAUUAGAUCACCAGAGGUGGUCCUGGUUUUUUGGUGCCGACUGCCCAUGAACACUCAAAAUGUGCUUUUUUCCAGUACAACAUAAAUUAAACUGAAAGAUUUAAAAAGGGCUGGAGCCAGUCGAAGCUGUUGGGACAUUCUUCCAAAGAGGGAGAUGAAAUCGUUGAGGCUCUUACAGAUCCCACGUCACUGUCUUCAUUCAGCAGUUUUCCUCCAUCUACAUCAACAACUGCACGUUGCUCAAGAAGGUACUUCUAAAAAUUGAAAGUCAAACGAUAAAUUAUUAAGAAACAUUGAAUAUAAGCAUGAAACAAAGAAAAUGUUACGGAAUGGUGAUCCUCAUCCUCAAAGAUGAUUAAAAGCAAUUUGAUUCAAAAAUGACAUAUCAACUCUGGAGAAAUGGAAGACAAACAUGUGGUACCAUAUUCGCAACAGAGGUUAUGAAAGCUGAAAUCGAUUGUUCCUGUGUGCAUUGAUAAGUAAGACUACCGUAGAGAUUCACAACUAAGUAAAGACAGGUAUUCCACAGAACAACCCUGACCUCUUUGGAAACACAGAUCUAACAAAAACUAAAACAUUUUGGAUUAAUAUUGACUAAUCAAGAAUAAUGCAAGGGAGCAAAAGAGAUACUCUUCCUUCUAAUAACAAGAAGGCAUAAAAAGUAUACAGAGUUCCAACAAUUAGAGAACUUAAAUCAAACUAAAAAAAUCACCAAAGUAGACAGAAUUUCACUUCGCCAAAAAUUUGAAAAUAUAUCCUUUUUAUCCACUGAGAAUCAUAAACUACUACUACUACAUCAUGCCAAUAAGCAAUGCGUAAGAGGUGCUACAAUUUACCAAUAUAUUUACCCUGAGAACAAGUUUUGAAAUCAUCUCUAGUGUUAACAGCACCUUGCGUCCUUGGGUAAGCUGAGUCCUAGUAUCAAGUAAAGAGACCAAUCAGUACAUAUCCAAAAGAUCUUAAAUGCUUGUAAUACCAAAUAAGAAAGAAACAUGAGUAUAUCUUGAGUUAACCAUGCAAAAAUGUAAUGUUAAGGCAUCUUGUCAUACAGACCUCUUCAAGGUACCAGAAAUUUUUGCACUAAAGAUGUCACAAGCGGCUGAUAUGAAGCUGCAUUUUCUGUGAGUUGAGAUUUUGUCAAUAUAAUCGAUCACCUGAAGAGAGAGAGAGAGAGAGAGAGAGAGAGAGAGAGAAAGACAGUGAUAUCCAGAGAUGUGAGCCUAAAGGCUGAGUGUGUAAAAAAUAAGAUUAAAUGGAUAGCAAGAAUAUACAACUUUAAUGCCGAAAAGAACAUUAUAUGAUGCUCAUUCAUCAUUGCCAUUGAACGUGUACCUUCUUCUUUUCCUCUUUCUCAAAAGGAAGUAGACCCUUGAAGACUUGCCUAUAUGAUCCAUCAUCACAACCAGGCAAAGUCAUUUUAAUCAUAGCAACAAUGGCUCUAACUACCUGCCAUAAGAAACAUGCUACAUCAACAAGAUCACAGAGUGUACCAGAAACCGUAAUGUAGCAAAAUCUUAGAUAGAAUAGCUGGCCAAAAGGGAAUGGAAAAGCAAGCACAAAAAACAAUGAAAAGGACCAGUGAUGCCAAAAUUCAGGUGUUUAUAACUUUAAGUUCUACGUAGCAAAAACCACCUUAUGCACAACAAUAUUGGAAAAAUUAGAUACAUACAACUGAGAAGAUAGGUUUUCAUAAUCUGGACAAGUGCUAACUACCUUCUUCCUAUAAACUGCCACUCCAUGAACAUUAAAUGGUAUUUUCGUUUCACGCAAGGCUGUCUGGAAGACUUUUCCUGAUACCUGUAGUAUAAAAUACAAAAGAAAAUGUGACCAAAAUGUCUUAUAUGAUUCACCUCAUUCACAUUAGCACUAGGGCAAGCAAGCUUGACCUGCCUCCGGUAAAGGAUUGCUAUAUUUCCAUAGGAGCACCCUGCUUCUGACAGUUAGAUGCAGUCUCCAGGAUCUUGUCGACAACAAAGGCGCAUUAUGCAUCCUCAUUGUGACUUUCCUUGAUAAUUACCUACAUUUUGCCAGUAAAACCAGUGUCACUAACUAAAAAGACUGAAAAAUGACAUCAAAUUGUACUUGUUGGAGCAAGGAAAGAUUAGGUACAUUAGACCCAGAAGAAUUGUCGGUGUCAACAUUCUUUAGUUGGCAUCACUUCUUAUUGUUUUUUAUAACAGAAGAUGCAGCUUCCACAAUAUAGCGUGUGGACCGAUAGUUUUUAUUAAGCCUAAUCUGAACCAUAAAGUUAUGUCAAAUCCCACAGAACCCCAUAAAAUAAAACUUACUUUCCUGUAAUUAUACAAUAUAUUUGUUCUAUACUAUAUAUAAUGAAAAAAGACACUGAAUGACAUAAGAUAAACAUAGCAGUUAAGUGCGAAGGAACCUCUUUGUAAUUUGAAAAAUCUUUACAAAAAGAAUCAAAUCCAGAACUGUCCGCCCCGUUGAAACUGAAAAUGGACUGCAGCAGGAUAUAUGUUAUUUGAUUUAGAACAGAUAAGGGCUGGAUUAGAAUGAGCUGAGAGAGAGAGAGAGGGAGAGAGGGAGCAAUAAGAUUGGAUUUCCAUAAUAAAUCAACAACAUGCCUGAUCAUCAUCACCAACAAUGGUUAUGUGGUUAUGAGAGGCGAGAAUCCGCAAAAGACUAUACUGCAUAGCACUUGUGUCUUGAAACUCGUCUAUUACAAUAGCUUUCCAUGACUCCUGGCACUCCUCCGACACUAAUUAAGAGAACACCAUGUAUCAACAUUUAGCAUUACUUGUAAAACUAGAUAAAUCAAUUUAAUAUACUUAGAUGAUAGAGACCUUCAGGAAAAUCACUUAGCAGCUAAUUAAGUCAUGGUAGUCCAAAGCGUUGCACGAUUCCUAAGAAUUUCACCCUGAUUCAGAUUGAGAUCUAAAACUCAUAAGCAAUAGUUUCAGAGAACUGAAAUGAUAACUGAAAUUCUAGAACUGAAAUGAUAACUGAACAACAACAAAAACAACAACAAAGCCUUUUCCCACUAAGUGGGGUCGGCUAUAUGAAUCCUAGAACGCCAUUGCGCUCGGUUUUGUGUCAUGUCCUCCGUUAGAUCCAAGUACUCUAAGUCUUUUCUUAGAGUCUCUUCCAAAGUUUUCCUAGGUCUUCCUCUACCCCUUCGGCCUUGAACCUCUGUCCCGUAGUCACAUCUUCGAACCGGAGCGUCAGUAGGCCUUCUUUGCACAUGUCCAAAUCACCGGAACCGAUUUUCUCUCAUCUUUCCUUCAAUUUCGGCUACUACUACUUUACCUCGGAUAUCCUCAUUCCCAAUCUUAUCCUUUCUCGUGUGCCCACACAUCCCACGAAGCAUCCUCAUCUCCGCUACACCCAUUUUGUGUACGUGUUGAUGCUUCACCGCCCAACAUUCUGUGCCAUACAACAUCGCUGGCCUUAUUGCCGUCCUAUAAAAUUUUCCCUUGAGCUUCAGUGGCCUACGACGGUCACACAACACGCCGGAUGCACUCUUACACUUCAUCCAUCCAGCUUGUACUCUAUGGUUGAGAUCUCCAUUUAAUUCUCCGUUCUCUUGCAAGAUAGAUCCUAGGUAGCGGAAACGGUCGCUUUUUGUGAUCUUCGCUAGAUUGCUCCGGUCAUUAGUGUGGAAUGGAUAGUGAUAGGAAAGCAAACACAAGAUGUACGUGGUUCACCCAGAUUGGCUACGUCCACGGAAUAGAGUUCUCAUUAAUUGUGGAGGGUUUACACAAGUACAUAGGUUCAAGCUCUCCUUUAGUGAGUACAAGUGAAUAAUUUAGUACAAAUGACAUUAGGAAAUAUUGUGGGAGAAUGAUCUCGUAAUCACGAAACUUCUAAGUAUCGGAGUGUGGUAUCGUCUUGACUCGCCUUAUCUGUCUCAUAGGUAGAUGUGGCAUCUUCUCUGGAAGUACUCUUCCUCCAUCCAGAGGUGGUAUCUUUAACUGGUGGAGAUGCAGAAGGUAAUGUAUCAAUUUCACUUGAAGCUUACUUGUAGUUUCAGGCUUGGUCAAGCGCGAUACAAACCAUGUAGUAGGAGUCCCCCAAGUCGCCGAGCUAGGGGAUCUGCUGAAAGAGGUGACAGACAAGGUAAGCAAUCAGAGCUCCGGCUGAUUGUUCACAUUCUCCCUAUCUUGCAGGCAGCAUGAAGGAUAAAGAGAAGAAAAAUGAGAAAAGAUGAUAUGGGAUACUUUUGCUUUUGAAGAAGUAACUUUCCACAGGCUUAUUCUUGAACUGAGCUGGAGGGUUUUCUGGUUUCCUCCAGAGUAUAAGGCCGACUGAAGAAUUUGAGGGUCAAAACAAGUCCAUCAAAUCUAGAGUACGUUCGACCCUGCUGAUAUAGGAUACUUUUGCUUUUGACAGAGUAAUGGAUGUAUCGGCACGUGUGCUGUUACGCUUGUCUCCACAUGCUUCCUUGUAUCCUUCUCACUUGCCCUAUCUGUUCCUCAGGCAGAUGCGAUAUCUUCCCUGGAAGCAUAAGAUGUUGAAGAUGAGUACUCGAGAGCAAUGCCAGGUAAGUAAUCAGGUAAGGGGUUCCAGGCAAUCAGUUCCUAGCUGGAAGCUUGAUUCCAAGUGCUGAUUGAUUGCUCUCUUUCUCCUUGUCUUGCAGGUAAGAACAAGGUCAAAGGAAAAGACAGGGAAAAAGCAUGAUAUGGGAUACUCUUGCUUUUUAACCCUGAUGAUAUGAGAUAUUCUUGCUCUAGUAUAGCUUGUUUGCAGAGGUAUUAUCGGGGGGAAAGAAAGCUGAAUAUUUCGAAAGGCUUCGUUGGGAAUGCCCUCUCAGAUAUGAGGAAGGGUUGAGCAUUUUUGCAGGUCUGCCUGUCCGUUGGGGAUGGAGGUCGACAUAUAUAGGAGUCUCCCUAACAACAAGUAGUAAUGCUAUUCCUUUAACCUGCUUGGUCAUAGCACGGUAGUUGGAGCUGCCAGCUUCACAUGUUUUAACUUUGUCAGAGCACUUUGAAAAAGUUGUCUGUGGUAUCUGGAAAGCUGAUGUUGCAUGUGAAGAUUACAGACAAGCUUUAUCCAAGGAGAUCCGGCUCUUGAAGUUGGGAAAAUUGUGCCUCUUCGGUUUUCGAACAAGCAAUCCUAUCGGGGAUCUGGCUCUCGAGAUUCGGAGAACGAUGUCACUUCGAUUUUUGAGAAAGCAAUCAUGCUGGGGGUCUGGCUCUCGAGAUUCGAAGAGCGGUCUCUUCGAUUUUUGAGAAAGUAAUCAUGUUGGGAGUCUGGCUCUCGAGAUUCGGAGGACGGUGCCUCUUCGAUUUUGGAGCAAGCAAUCUUGUUGGGAGUGUUUUCUCGAAUGUGAGUAAAGGUUGGGCAUGUUUGUUAGUCUACCUUGCCACGAAGCAUAGAGGUUGACACACAGGGACUUUCCAAUUAUCCAGCAAUGGUACUGUUCCUUUACCCUCUCUUCGAUUUUUGAGAAAGUAGUCAUGUUGGGAGUCUGGCUCUCGAGAUUCGGAAGACGGUGCCUGUUCGAUUUUGGAGCAAGCAAUCUUGUAAUCUUGUUGGGAGUGUUUUCUCGAAUGUGAGUAAAGGUUGGGCAUGUUUGCUAGUCUACCUUGCCACGAAGCACAGAGGUUGACACACAGGGACUUUCCAAUUAUCCAGCAGUGGUACUAUUCCUUUACCCUUGUGGGUAAUAAUAUGGUAGCUAGACCUUCAAAAUUUAUGCGUCUAAACUUUUAGUUGUGUUUUCUUUGCUAUUCUUUUACCCUUCUUGGUCAAAGCGAUGUAGUGGGAGCUGCAAGCUUCACGUGCUCAACUUUGGCAGAGAACUUUGGCAAAGUUAUCUGUGGUACCCAUGAGCUACUGUUGCGUGUGGGAAGUGGGUGAUUGAACAGUAAGAUUCAUGUGCUUUCUACUUCACCAGAAUGCCCAUAAUUUCCGCAAAGCUGAGUGUGCGUGUGACAGGUGCUGACAAGGCUGGAAAAGUAGGUGCCUCUUCGAUUUCUGAGAUCGGCCCUCAUGGUCUCUGAGCAGCCCAGCUUUUGAGAAAGCAAGUGCCUCUUCGAUUUCUGAGAUCGGCCUUCGUGGUCUUUGAGCAUCCCAACUUUUGAGAAAGAAAACGCCUCUUCGAUUUCUGAGAUCAACCCUCGUGGUCUCUGAGAGUAAAGGUUGGACAAGUUUGCUAGUCUACCUUGCCAUGAAGCACAGAGGUUGACACACAGGGAAUUUCCAAUUAUCCAGCAAUGGUACUGUUCCUUUACCCUUAUGGGUAAUAAUAUGGUAGCUAGACCUUCAAAAUUUAUGUGUCUAAACUUUGUUAGUGCUGUUUCUUUGCUAUUCUUUUACCCUUCUUGGUCAGAACGAUGUAGUGGGAGCUGCAAGCUUCACGUGCUCAACUUUGGCAGAGAACUUUGGCAAAGUUAUCUGUGGUACCCAUGCGCUACUGUUGCGUGUGGGAAGUGGGUGAUUGAACAGUAAGAUUCAUGUGCUUUCUACUUCACCAGAAGUCUUCGACAAAAUGCCCAUAAUUUCCACAAAGCUGAGUGUGCGUGUAAUAGGUGCUGACAAGGCUGGAAAAGUAGGUGCCUCUUCGAUUUCUGAGAUCGGCCCUCGUGGUCUCUGAGCAGCCCAUCUUUUGAGAAAGCAAGCGUCUCUUUGAUUUCUGAGAUCGGCCUUCGUGGUCUUUGAACAGCCCAGCUUUUGAGAAAGCAAACUUCUCUUCGAUUUCUGAGAUCAACCCUCGUGGUCUCUGAGCAGCUCAGCUUUUGAGAAAGCAAACGCCUCUUCGAUUUUUGAGCAGACGCCUCUUCGAUUUCUGAAGCUCCGUCGAGUGCAGAUUUUUAUAGGGGCUGACAUUAAGUUCCAAAGCACACUUGAAUCUCCACCAGUAGAAGCUCCAUUCUUGCACUUCUAAGAUCUUGAUUUGUCCGACCUCUUCUCUCUUCAACACCUUUGAAAAUGUCUAGCCCCUCCGACCGUCGUUUUGACUUGAACCUUGUUGAAGAGGCAGCCCCGCCUUCUCCAGACAACAUAUGGCGCCCAUCCUUCGUCUCCCCUACUGGUCCUCUUACCGUUGGGGAUUCCGUGAUAAAGAAUAAUAUGACCGCUGCGGUGGUGGCCAGGAACCUUCUCACUCCCAAAGAUAACAGACUACUUUCCAAACGAUCUGAUGAGUUAGCUGUUAAGGAUUCUCUGGCUCUCAGUGUUCAGUGUGCAGGUUCUGUGUCUAAUAUGGCCCAACGCCUAUUUGCUCGAACCCGUUAAGUUGAAUCAUUGGCGGCUGAAGUGAUGAGUCUCAAACAGGAGAUUAGAGGGCUCAAGCAUGAGAAUAAACAGUUGCACCGGCUCGCACAUGACUAUGCUACAAACAUGAAGAGGAAGCUUGACCAGAUGAAGGAAUCUGAUGGUCAGGUUUUACUUGAUCAUCAAAGAUUUGUGGGUUUGUUCCAAAGGCAUUUAUUGCCUUCGUCUUCUGGGGCGGUACCGCGUAAUGAAGCUCCAAAUGAUCAACCUCUGAUGCCUCCUCCUUCUAGGGUUCUAUCCAGUACUGAGGCUCCGAAUGAUCCCCCUCCGGUGCCUUCUCUUUCUGGGGCUCUACCGACUGCGAGACUUGUCCUAAGCAACCUUUGUGAAGGCUCCCUCUAGUUUGUUUAUUUUGACUCAUGUAUAUGUACAUAUUUGUAGCCUAUCAGGGAUAUCAAUAAAUAAGUUUUCCUUCAUUUCAACAUAUUGUGUUAAAUACACCAAAGCCUUCUUCGCUAAGUUCUUUGAAUUUUCUUUUGUUGAAGCUUGUAUGUUGAAGCUUUGUGAGUGGAGCAUGUAGGUUGAGGUAGUGUUCCUUUAAUUUCCCGAGUGAGGAAAACUUCUCGGUUGGAGACUUGAAAAAUCCAAGUCACUGAGUGGGAUCGGCUAUAUGAAUCUUAGAACGCCAUUGUGCUCGGUCCCGUGUCAUGUCCUUCGUUAGAUCCAAGUACUCUUAAGUCUUUUCUUAGAGUCUCUUCCAAAGUUUUCCUAGGUCUUCCUCUACCACUUCGGCCCUGAACCUCUGUCCCAUAGUCGCAUCUUCUAAUCGGAGCGUCAGUAGGCCUUCUUUGCACAUGUCCAAACCACCAUAACCGAUUUUCUCUCAUCUUUCCUUCAAUUUCGGCUACUCCUACUUUACCCCGGAUAUCCUCAUUCCUAAUCUUAUCCUUUCUCGUGUGCUCACACAUCCAACGAAGCAUCCUCAUCUCCGCUACACCCAUUUUGUGUACGUGUUGAUGUUUCACCGCCCAACAUUCUGUGCCAUACAGCAUCGCCGGCCUUAUUGCAGUCCUAUAAAAUUUUCCCUUGAGCUUCAGUGGCAUACGGCGGUCACAUAACACGCCGAAUGCACUCUUCCACUUCAUCCAUCCAGCUUGUAUUCUAUGGUUGAUAUCUCCAUCUAAUUCUCCGUUCUUUUGCAAGAUAGAUCCUAGGUAACGAAAACGAUCGCUCUUUGGUAUUUCUUGAUCUCCGAUCCUCACCCCUAACUCGUUUUGGCCUCCAUUUGCACUGAACUUGCACUCCAUAUAUUCUGUCUUUGAUCGGCUUAGGCGAAGACCUUUAGAUUCCAACGCUUCUCUCCAAAGGUUAAGCUUUGCAUUUACCCCUUCCUGAGUUUCAUCUAUCAACACUAUAUCGUCUGCGAAAAGCAUACACCAAAGAAUAUCAUCUUGAAUAUGUCCUGUUAACUCAUCCAUUACCAACGCAAAAAGGUAAGGACUUAAGGAUGAGCCUUGAUGUAAUCCUACAGUUAUGGGAAAGCUUUCGGUUUGUCUUUCAUGAGUUCUUACAGCAGUCUUUGCUCCUUCAUACAUAUCUUUUAUAGCUUGGAUAUAUGCUACUCGUACUCCUUUCUUCUCUAAAAUCCUCCAAAGAAUGUCUCUUGGGACCCUAUCAUACGCUUUUUCCAAAUCUAUAAAGACCAUGUGUAAAUCCUUUUUCCCAUCUCUAUAUCUUUCCAUCAAUCUUCGUAAGAGAUAGAUUGCCUCCAUGGUUGAGCGCCCUGGCAUGAACCCGAAUUGGUUGUCCGAAACCCGUGUCUCUUGCCUCAAUCUAUGCUCAAUGACUCUCUCUCAGAGCUUCAUUGUAUGACUCAUUAACUUAAUACCCCUAUAGUUCAUGUAAUUUUGUACGUCGCCCUUAUUCUUGUAGAUAGGCACCAAAAUGCUCGUUCGCCACUCAUUUGGCAUCUUCUUCGUUUUCAAAAUCCUAUUGAAAAGGUCAGUGAGCCAUGUUAUACCUGUCUCUUCCAAAACUUUCCACACUUCGAUUGGUAUAUCGUUUGGGCCUAUUGCUUUUCUAUGUUUCAUCUUCUUCAAAGCUACAACUACUUGGAAAAAGCGUAUCAUACGCUCCCAAACAACUUUGAGUGGAAUCGUUCGAAAAGAAGUUUCUAUGGCCCCCUUGCUCAUUUAACACUGCAUCCGGAUGCUGAUGGAGAUACAGCGACCCUUGCUCACUUAUCACUGUGCUCGGGCCACACAGCGCGCCACUUACGGGUGACGCCCUAGAUUUAGCGCGAUUUCGUUCUGGAUUCAUUUUCAUAAGGAUUCGACGUGAUCAUGGAGUGCCGGCUGUCGACUACCUGACGCCCUCCCCCUCCUCCUUUAUCCGGGCUUGGGACCGGCAAUGUAAGAACAUAGGCGGAGUUAACUGAAAUGAUAACUGAAACAUAAAUAAAUUUAGAAUUCAAGACUAACCUGUGUAGCUAAUAUAUUCUAGCUUGAUUGUAGCUAAUAUUUUUUAAAUCGAAUGAAUGUUGUUCUUAAUCCACUAUAAUCUGAACAUUAAAUUUGGUAUUCAUGACUAACCUGUGUCACGAACUUUAGCCAUUUCUUUGAUGGAUCCUUAAAAUGAUGUGGAGAUGUUACGCCAUUACUCUUCCCCAUCUAUAGCAACAUUAAGAUUCGUUUUACUCUUUUCAUCUUCUGAUAACCGCACAGCUUCAAUGACUGCUCUUCUCUGUUGCCCAUGUCCAUAUAUAAAAAAUUCUGGUGUGCGCUCAAGUCUAAAACACAAGCCAACAUAACAGACUCAGCUAUACCACCAUAGGUAUGGUGUUCAAAAUCAAGGGAGGUGAAUCAAUAGCUUACUUCUCAGCAUGUGAUCGGCAAAGUUGCAAUGAAAAUGAAUGAAAUGUACUGAUUGUUAGUAGUUUUGCCGUUCCUUUCCCAGUCACAGAUCCAAUUCGAUCUCUCAUCUCGGAAGCUGCUGCUGUAGUGAAAGUCAUUGCUAGAAUGUUAGACGCGCUCAUGCCCUAAGAACACAAAAAAAAAAGGAAUAAGAUUUCGAUCAUAAACAAGAAAUGUAGAGAAACAGACAAUUAAGAAAGAAAAAGUUAGAGGGAAAGUGGCAACACCUCAUUGAGCAGCAUUAGAACCCGCCCAACCAUCGUUGAAGUCUUUCCACUUCCAGGGCCGGCAACAAUCAUCAAAGGUACUGAAAUAUCGCUGCAAGCUGCCUCCCGCUGCCUUUCGUUGAGAGAAAGCAAAUACUUCGAAUACUCAUCCGGCAUGUUAGGCAAUCCAUGGUUAACAGAAUCUGUUUGGUUUUCACUACUCAGAGGUGGCGCUGAUGCGGCAUUAACAUCGCUACCACAACUCCCAAUAUCAUCACGCUGAAUGUCCCCACUCGGUUUCUGCUCAAUUAAAGCGUCAAUUUCCUGCAAAAUACUCUCAUCGAAAUCAUCAUCCUCGAGAAUUCCAGACGCAGAGAAAGAAUCGAAUGAAGUCGGAAACUGCGGUUGUUUGAUUGGAAUUGUGAAAGAAUCCGAUUUUGACACGCUUGAUUCAGUCCGGCUAGCGCUUAAGCUCCCGGAACACGACGCACUGCCAUAUUCAGUCCGGCUUGUAGAAAUCGGAGGCGGUGUGUUCAUCGGUAGCUCGGCAAGAGGAGUUCUGUGAACUCUAUUGAGCUGAGCUGGCGUUUGGAUUCCAUUUCCGCCACAAAUUCUGGAAUUUGAAAAACACAAUUGAAUUGAUUUAAAUUGAAUCAAGAAAACAGCCGAGUACCAAAAAAGUAGUAAGAAGAUGAAAUCUUUGAUUCCUGAACGACUUACUUGGUAUGAGGGAGGUGAUGAUCAGUCAAAACGGCGUCGUUGCGGGGGCGUUUGCGAUCAAUGAGGGCCUUGGCGGCUCUGAAAUUCCCAGAGAUGCGGUUUCUUUUGAUAGGAUCACAGAUCUCAGGACCCUAUUCAACCUACAAGCAGCAAUAGAAAUGACAAAUGGAGAAGACGAAGUAGAAGGGAGCAGGGCUCCAAUAUAUUUUUUUGGUUUUGUAUUUCUGUUUGUAAAAUCUGAUCUGCUACAUUUGAGGGAGCUGGACUCCUUUUAUACAAACUCUACUUCUUAAAAUGCCAGCUGGCAUAUUUAACAAUUCUUAACAAAUCAAUUAAAGCAUAAAACCUCAGUAAUAAUUUGGGUCAUAACAAUACUUCCCCCUUGAAGAACAACCUUGUCCUCAAGGUUGAAAGUUGAAAAACUUAUUUGAACGAGUAGAAACUAGGAGUCUUGCAACAGAAGGGAAGCUGCAGGGACUGCAAAUACAAUCUGCAUGUAGCUCUCAACUUUUGGAGAUGAGCCUGACAGCACCCCUGUACUUGUUAUGGCAGCUCCCCACAACUUGGUAAGUGAGCACUUGUUACCCGUAGCCUCUUCAUAAAUUUCAACCCACGAUAUCAUUUCAACUUCCAUGCUAGUUGCCAAAAAGCAUGCAGCAUCAAAUGGAGAAAAUGGGCCAACUCCCAGGGAACCUGCCAGAGGAUCAUUCUCAACGAAUGCAGCUACUAAAGCAAUUGGACCCUUGCCAAGAAUUAUAACCUUAGAGAUGGUUAUGAGCCUGAUAUCCUCAAAAGCAAGACGAGCGGUCUGAUUGAUAAGAGACUGCCUAAGAUUAACUAUCCUCUUCUUAGGUCCAACACACCAUUCCUUGCUCCGAAUGUAGCCAUCCUUCAUCACACCAAACCGAGGGAAGCCACCCAUGGGAGUGAUGUCUUUCUCAGUCAUCUUCCCCUCAUGGAGGCACAUUUCAUAGUUUUUUUCAGUGAAACUAGGACCACCUAAUGUCGGAUUGUCAAAAAACUCCUGAAAUAAGCUGAUGGAUGGGAGCAGUCUAUAUUGGAUAUUGAAACUUGCAAUUCUUUCUGAAUCAUUGAAAUCACUGUACUUUAAACUGUCAUUAGCAACACCGAUAUUAUGCAUGGAAGAUUUAAAGGACCUGAGCAAACCCAAAGCUUCAACCAUGUCCUUCAUCACCUCUGUUAAGGUGUACAAUUGGCAUUUGAAUUCAUAUGAUGGCUCAAUAGUAUCAAGUUCCAAAAAUUUAAACAACUCAUUUUGCCAACUUACACUCACGGUAAGACAAACAUGCAAAAACCAUGCAAAGACAAAUAUGUUGGACAUCCUUUCUGAAGAACAGGCAAAGAAAUAACACCAACAGCAACCAAAUGAAAUAACACCAGCAGCAACCAAUACAUUGAUGUGUACCAUAUUGUCUAACAAAAUUACUUUAAGCUGAUGACUGACUUUGCAGAUACGUCCAUAAUCGUACAACCAUGCAUAAACACUAGCACCAUCAAAUCUUAGAUUUGGCCUGAAUACUAUUACCUCUUCACUACCAAAAGUGAGCAUCUGAAUACGUCUGCCGGUUUUCUUAUGAUGCAACUCCAGCUCUACCAACAUCCAUCUUUUACCAAUCACAUAAGAGAAAACAUAAUGACUUACACAAUGUUGCUCAGGUACAGUCAUAUAUGGUGUUGUCCGAGAUUUCCAUUGCUCCUUGAAAUGCAUUCCAUAAACCAAGAAAAAUAAGAUUGAAGUAGUAGUUGUUCCAUCCUCCUUGAAAGAGAUGAGAAUGCAGGGCCUCUCCAUCAACCAUAUUGUAUAAUUCCUCUGAUUGAAGACAACCCUUUGAGAAGAUAUAUUGUCACAAGGAUUAGUGAGAGUGUGACACCAACCCGGUUGCUGGAAAAUCUGGUCAUUCGCUACGCAAUUAGGAAAGAAAACAGUAUCGAGGUGUACAUCAACACUAUUACAUAAUUCCGGAUUCAAUUUCGAUAACAAGCUGGUGAGAAUAGAAUAGUCAAGCUGGGAAAUGGCCAUGACUGUUAAUGCACAUCUGUGUAACAGUGAUAAGCAGAGGAACUGCUUGAUAGCAUUGAUAUAACCCAAAGUCCCAUUCUCCUCAGUCAAACUAGCUGCAAGAUCUUUAGGCAAAGAACGACAAACAAGUACAACAAUAUCCAAAGCUUCCAGGUUGCUACUCAAUGACAUAUUCUCCAUAUUAUGCCUCUUAGACAUUUCAUCAAAUAGAUGCAAUGCAUAGAAAUUCUUCUUCACAAAUUUACCCACAAGGUACCAAUUAACCCAGCCAUACUUAGCAUUCAAAAAAACAUGAUAUACAAUCGCAUUAUGACCAGUAUAGCAUGCAAUUACACCAUACAAAAGCAAUACCUCAUGUCCACGUACCAUUCCUAACUCCCAUAGCCCACUAGGUAGCUGAUACCAAACAUGAAGUUUCUUCUUGAUGAAAUAUCCAAUGUUGUCAUCGUAAACCGACUGUGUAAUCUUCUCUCCCAGUCUCAUUCGACAAUCUUCCAGUGGCCUAAUUUUGGAGCCUCCACCCUUAUCCCGAAUGCCAUUGCAGUAGCACAUGUCACGAUUGAGAACAACAUAGCCACUUGAGUCUGGAAUUUCAUCAAACAGGUUCCAUGCACAAAAAUCCUCAGGUCCAUUUUUCGUAGUAUCAGAGAACGAGUGCUUAUGGAGUAGCCGCGGAGCAGAGGUCAUCGUCUUCGAUCCCGGAAGCAAAAUUGUAGCUGCAUCAGAGUUGUUCGAGUGUGGCUUCACGGGCGGAGUUGCCAGUGCUUGCAACAACGGUGAAGAUGAGAGUAACGGCGGAACGGAAUGGACUUCAAUUGGCGAUGGAAUUCUCGGUGGAUUGUCGUCUCCUUGAAGUCCGGGAUGAUCGAGAUUGAUUGAUUGAAUCGUUGGGGUAGGAUCGGAAACUUCCCCGACACCAAGAGUCAAGUGAUGGCGGAACAGAGCAAGGUCACGGCGGACUGCGGCGGCUAUUGAAUCUAUAGCCUUGUGGAAAGCCUCCUCCGUACGCCUGAAUGUUUUCCUUGGACAUUGCUUCGAAGAUUCCGACGGAAGAUUUGGCCUGACAGCCUGACCAGGCAACCCUAGAAAGAAGAAGGAGCGAAGAAGACCAAAUGUGUCCGUUUUUCCUUUGGUUUUUUUCCCUCCUAAUCGAGUUGUUCGAAAUAAUUGGGCCUGGGCCUAGUGGGCCCAAUUGUCAGGCCCAUUAUCUCCUGUCUUCUAGUUCUACUUCCAAUUUCCCAAGUUAACAACGUACUGGUUCGCUUUUAGCGCGAGAGAGAAAUGGAGGCCCUGAUUGCCUCGUACGGAGACUCGUCGUCGGACUCAGACUCCGAGUCGCCGGCUCCACCUCCACCGCCACCUCCGGAGCUCAAAAACUCUCAAGAAUCGACCACUGCGCUGCCUCCACCUCCUCUGUCACUUCUCGACAGCCCAAUUCCUUCGGUAACCUCUGAUUCCCAUAAAUAUUCUAUCUUUUAACUUUCUGUUGUGAUGGCUUUUUCCGAGUUGCCCACCAAGUGUUUGAUGUUUUGCCUCUAAAGGAUUUCUGGACUUCUCCCCAAGCGCCCAGCCGAGCAGAGUUCGGAACUUUCCUCACGUCGAAGGGAACUACGCAGUACAUGUAUACAUCCCAGGUAAUCAAAAUUCUCGAAAUUUUCAGCUCCAUUAGCAAAUGCGAUCCCUUUGCACUUAGAUUUUGCUUGUUUAAUUGUGUGGUUCCAGUUUAUAUACCACCAGCACCAAGGAAAGAGAUGGCCUUGUUUUUGAACAAGCUUGCUUCUCUGGUGCCUGGUCUCCACGCCGUUGACGUUGACGUCCCGCUUGACAUUCUGCGUAAGGACGAGCAUAAGCUUGAACAAGUUGCUUUAGGCAGAGAGUUCCAUAUAAGUCUCGGAAGAACUGUUCCGAUUCGGGUGCACCAGAUUAAUUCCUUGGUGACAAUGCUGCGGCAGAAGCUUCAGAUUCAGAGGCGGUAUGGUUGCAUUUACCUUCUCUUGUGUGCAUUGCGUGAAUUUAGUUCUGUUAUUUAACAUAAUUGUUUAAGCCUGCAGAUAUUUUGUCCAUUUUUGGUUUUUAACACAUUUGGUUAUUGUGGAACAGGUAUUGGAUUGAUUUUUGCAAGUAGGAGGUUUUUGUUAACGAUGAUCAGACCCGGACCUUUGUGUCGAUCGAAGUCAUUGCUGCUGGGUUAGCUGAGGUAUGAUUGCUAGCUUUCUCUCUUGGUGCAAUUCAAAAUGUUUUGAGUUGUUUAUGGACUUAAGAUUUAGCAAGUACUUGCCGAAGGUCAUGGGAUUUUGAAAUAUCGAUAUCUUGCUUAUAGAUUGUUUGGUCUUCGAUGCACUUGUUACCUGAAAAGUAAAAAUGUAAAAGAUCAUGAAAAGUCCAAACGAAACAUAAUGGAUGUAUGAUAUGCUCAUGCUUCUAACAUGUGUUGUCCUGGCAUAAAUUAUGUUCCAAAUACCGUCAUUUGCGUGUAAGCCUAUGAACUUAGAGCACGUUUGGUAUGCCGGGUAAGAUUGGAUUUGGUAUUUCAGACUGCUUAGGUUAGGAUUGGAUUGGGUAGGUUAGGUUUUUUGUCUAAUGUUUGGUGUAGACUGUCGCAACAACGCUCGUGAGCCUCCACAUCCAUUGCAAUCUUGCACCACUCUGAUGUCCUGGAGGAGCGAAACAUGGUUACUUGAAGCAUACCUGUUUUCGUAUUAAUACAUGGUUGAAUCAGCUUUCAUUGUCAAUCAGUCUGUAAUAUUUCAACUUCCAUUGAUUUCAGAUAACAAAGCAGAUUCAAGCUGUCAAUGAGGUGUAUAUGCUUCACAAUCUUCCUGAAUUUUACAAGGUUAGCAUUUCGUGUUUUUCAAACUUGAAUCACUUCCUGAACAUAUGACAAUAUAUUGGAGCAAAUGGUUGUGCAUGAAUACUACUCAUUGCUCAGAGGGUGUUGCUGAUCACAGGAUCCGCGUCCUCAUAUUUCGGUAGCUUAGGCAUUGGGUGACAUCAGCAAUUCCCUGAAGAAAGUGGUUGAAGAAGAAAGACGAAGAUCUACCAUCGGAGGAUCGUUACAGAAAUGUAUUUUUACCAGUAAAUUCAAUGGUAUCGAAUGUAGGAUUGGUAAUAAAACACACAAAAUAUGUAAAUUUUCUGAAGAAUAAUGUAGCCAUUUAACUAUAUUGUGAAAUUCCGAGAAUAUAUCGCUGAGCAUUGGAUGAGAAGACAUUUCUUCGUUGGUGUCGAACUUCAUGUUGAAGGUAUUGACACCAGUGUAAACGCCAUCAUCCAUGUUGAUGGUAAUUACUUCCCAGCUACUAAGGGUGUCGGAACAACCUUGCACGCAGCCUCCUGUGCAUUACUUAGUAUUGUCUCAGUUUCUCCAAACUUGAAUGCUCCUGUAAACCCACUUUUGACCUUUCCGUCAUCUGUGAUUACCGGAAUGCUGGCUAGGAUGUUGCCGUUGACCUCCCAAACUUAAAAUACCGGAAAGCCGGCUCCAAUGUAUGCGAGAGCUCCACCUCUAUUGUUGUAACAGCAUCUGAUGCGUACUAGUCCUUUAUUCCCGUUACUCUUUGCCAUCUCCACUUGGAACUUGGCGUAAUGGCUCCCGGCCUCCUCUCCGGUGAAAUUGAGCAACCCCGGAGCUGGCGUGCCAUCAAGAUUUCCGUCAUGUCUGUAGCGAAAGUAUUCGCUGUUGUGGUUUGGUUUCACCACUAUAAAUCUUGGCAGAGUUGGCAUUUUCAUUUCUGUUGUCUGUAUAUCUUGAUAUUACAAGUAUUUGUUGUGCAAUAUGCAUGCUAUGUUCAUGUUAUGCGUAUAUACAUAUAUAAGUGUUUUAACACUUUGCAAACGUUUUCUCCAAAAUUUUGAUUUUGGUGGUGUUCUAACUUUUGUGAAUGCUAAUAACAAUUCCCUCAUUAACUGUUAGGACGAGCAACAAAACAGUUUUGAUUCUGUGCACAAAGGCGAUCCCUCGUAAGAAAUUGAUUCUUCAACAGAAAGAUGUUUUAAAACAAAUUUGAAGGGAAGGAAAUAUUUGAAUCGCAUUCAGAUGUCUGGUCAAAUUCUUGAACAGUUGAUAUACACAGAAGUUCCUUGUUUAUGUCACUACUUAUGAGAGGAUGUACGCAUUGCAUUCGCAUCAAAAGAGAGAGAGAGAGAGAGAGAGAGAGAGAGAGAGAGAGAGAGAGAGAGAGAGAGAGAGAGAGAGAGAGAAGGUUGUCAGUGGUAAGGGAACGAAUAACGAUGGCGUUGCGCUUCUAAUCAAAGGGGUCGAUCCGAGGGUCGUGUUCACUUGCCAUCGCCAUUCCAGUGCAAAGGCAUGUAGGGCACAUUACCUGCCACAUUAAAAACGCGAUGUUAGAUAUACUCGCCAUUUGGAAGUCAACCCUCAAAAUUUGCUACUAAAUUAUCUUAAACUCCAUUUCCAGUCAAUUUUUUUUCUUCCGAAAUGUCUUUCACGUGCUUAGGGAUAGGCAAAUACCCAUUGGUUAUAGGUAAUCGCGGUUACUCGCCCAUUUAAAUUAAACAGUUACGGUUAUGGCUAACUGUUUAGAUAAAUAAACGGUUAUGGGUAUAACCGUUUACCCGUAAAAUUUAAAUGGAUGGUUAUGAGUAUUAACCAUGGUUAUAAACGAGUAACCGUUUACCCAUUUAUUUUAUAUAUGUAAAGCUAACACAAAUCAUGUUCUCCAUCCAAUAAUACUUAGCACCCAAUAAAUUAGCAAGGAAUUCAUCGAUCAUUCUCUCAAUAACACUACUACAUGAAUGAUGAUUCCCAUCAUCAAGGAAUUUGCCAAAUUAAUUUAAAUUCCUUGUGGGUAACCGUGAAAUUGACAGAAAUACUUUAACAAAAAUGUCUUCUAAACAAUUUUUGUAACCCAAUAAUACUUAGCAAAUAUUAUAUUUACCUUCAUUGGUAACAGUUAAAAAUAUCGUCCGUAAACUAUUAUUUCAAUUAUUGGAAUGGUAUAAAGACUUAAAAAAUUAAAAUAUAAAAAUGUAUGACGAAUGUACCUAUAACGGUGUUUAAUUGUCAAAAAAAAAAUUAUGACAAUUUUUUUUAAUUUUCAAGUUGUUAAAAAACAUGUAGACUGGUGAAAAAAAGGUAAUGGUAAAAAGAAAAGAUAAACGGAUUAAAAAUGAUAAAUGGUAUACGGGUAUUAAAUUGUUACGGUUAAAUGGCUAUGCGGUUAUGGGUAUGGUUAACCGUUUAUAAAUGGUUAUGAGUAUGAGUAUAACCAUUUAGGCAAUUACCCAACGGGUAAACGGUUAUGUAGGUAUGAGCAUAAACGGUUAUGGGUAAAUUAACCGCGGUUACCCGCCCGCAUAACCAUCCCUACACGUGCUCGACAAACACAACAGUCACCAAUCAUGUGAAUCAGCUAUUCCUCAAUGUAUAUGAUGAAACAAGUGCAUCCCAGAGGCAGGCACGAAGAGGAAUUUACUAUGCAAUAAACAUUCAAUGGGUACAAUUUUAUGUCUAACCUUUCCCGCUCCUGAGCAAUUUGAACAUCUUUCAGUUUUUGGCAGUGAAAGGGGCUGGUUUCCGCCAUCAACUGUUGAAAUUGGUUCGGUAAGAACAAGGGUUCCAGUGCUGGAGCAACGAGCACAAGCAAGAUAUCCUGCAUAAGUAUCAAAUACACCGGUUAGUUGACAUAUGAAGGAUUGGUUUGGUAUUGCUGUGCUUUGAAAAAAAAACUGCUGUGAGAAUAAGCGGCUGUGCUGUGAAAAUAAGCGGCUGUGAAAUAAAUCAGCAGAGUGUUUGGUAAACUUUUUUGUAAAAGUGUUUUUGGAAAAAAAAAAGUCUAAUAGUGGGUCUUUUCAUUAAAGAAACACUGUAGCUCCAUGUGCUUUGAAAAAAACCAGUUUUCCAAAGCUACAAAUAGCAGCUUCAGCUUUUUCCUUUGAUUUCAGCUUAUUCUCACAGCAGCUUCCAAAAUAAGCCUUUUUUUUUUCAGUUUACCAAACACCUAAAACCCUCACAGCUUUUUUUCAUGGGUGCUUUUUUUUUAAGCACCUCACUCCCAAACUUGGUUUGGUAUUGCUGUGCUUUGAAAAAAAGCUGCUGUGAGAAUAAGCGGCUGUGAAAUAAAUCAGCUAAGUGUUUGGUAAAUUUUUUUGUAAAAGUGUUUUUGGAAAAAAACAGUCUGAUAGUGGGUCUUUUCAUUAAAGAAGCACUGUAACUCCGUGUGCUUUGAAAAAAAACCAAUUUUCCAAAGCUACAAAUAGCAGCAUCAGCUUUUUCCUUUGAUUUCAGCUUAUUCUCACAGCAGCUUCUAAAAUAAGCCUUUUUUUUUUCAGUUUACCAAACACCUAAAACUCUCAUAGUUUUUUUUCAUGAGUGCUUUUUUUUUAAGCACCUCACUCCCAAACUAGGUCAACCAAUCCAAACAUCUCCAUCGUAUAUAUUUAAAGCUACGGUACAUAUGACUAAAAGUGAGAAACAUAGGACAUUAUCACACCAGUUCCAAGACAAUAUUUGCAUCGCUUAUGCUCCUGCUGUUUCACAUUGCUUAUUUCAACUACCAUCAAUGCUGAGAUCACUCCGACUGCUCCUCCAGAGAACGAUGCCACUAUGGGAUCAACUUGACUGCAGAUUGAAAGUAUAUGAGAUCAAUAAACGAAACUGAUAACAAUGUAGUAUUAACAUUAUUUAGCUCCAUGUCAAGAUAGACAACACAUCCUAGAUUUUUCUAAUGUGUAAAAUUUGAGGACCCUCGUAAAAUUUGACCACAUCGGUUCCCAAAGUAAAAUUUAGUACCUUUGGUUCCUACAUUACAGACCGAAAAUAGUAACUACCGAAUUUAAAGUUCAUAUCAAGAUAGAGGAUACAAAAUUUCGAAACGAUAAUUGCUAGAGAACAGGAGGGUUAAUAGCCCGAGAUAUGAGCCAUACCUCAACUGCAACGGCAGAUGCAUAUUUACUAUAAAAUCUUUAUACGAUGUGCCUCCUAUUCCCAGCUUCAACUCCAACUGAAAGAUGUAAACGUAAUUGUCGGCAGAGAGUUAGAAACAUAACCGAAUCCAUGUUUUAUAAGCAGAAAGUACACUUAUUUGACAUGCUUCCUCAUUUUUUUACUUGCAAAUUCAAAACCGUAUUGUCAGACCAGUAAAAUAAAAUAAUGUUUACUAAUAACUGUUAAAACUAAUCACAACAAGUUAAUGCAUAAAGAACUUACGGAGGGUGCUAUGAGGCCACCGAAAAGGAUAAACCCCGCAAUAAUUGAAUAACAUACAGCAUAAUACUGCUUAAGGUUGUCUGAACUCUGCAAGCAAUGCAUUCACCUUGUGAUUAAUACUUUUGCACAAACACUAGUUUUCGCAAUUUUUUAUGAACCGACAAAAGGCUACAACAAAAUAUGGCUAAAACAUGUCGGGGAUAUGAAAAUACAUGUCUUCACAGGGGCAGCAGCUUACCAGGGGAGGCAAAAAUGGAAUGAAUGAUGGAAAACUUGAUCUUCAUUUACCGCUCCAAGCUCUGCGCGUUUAAUCCGUUUAAUCCGCUGUUGUAUCCUCAGCCUGCGAACCUACGCAUAUCGAAGCUCAUUCUUAAAGAACACAUUUCUAAGGGCAAUUGGAGAGUAAUUUGAAACAUGCUAAACUGAGAAAGUGGCAGCAACUAGCAAUUGCUCUCACCUCCUCCGUAUGCAAGAAAAUUUUGUUGCGCCGACUCCGAAUAUUAUCUUGAAUUUCCUGCAGCUCCAUUGUCGCAAAGUCCUGCACUGUUUCAGGCCCCUCUAUGAUACAAAAUCUGCACAAUUAAGCAUGUAACAACUAAAACUUACAGGCUACAAAGCAAUUUCCGUAUCAUUUUUGGGUUAAUUAACAUCAACAGCAGAUAAAUCACAUGAGUUUUUCACAUGAAGUUACAAACCUUCAGAGACCAGUAAGCUCUCUGCAAUCUCAUAAAUUUCACUGUGCAAAGUAACAAUCCAAAGCUUGGAACUUUAAAUUUCCAUUUUCUGUUAUUUUCCUAGAGAGAGAGGGGGGAGUACCCGGCGGGGUUUGUAUCGGCGGCGGGUUUAGGAUCAGAAUCGACAGACGGAGCGAACGAGGAGGAGUCGGGCUCCGAAGCCAUGGCCAGGGAUCGCCAUCUGGAGCUGCUUGUUGAUAUGGGGCUUCUUGCGUAGCUGAAUUUGGAGCAGCGGAAGCUAUGCAGUUUGUACGGACCGCACCGAUUUACGGGGAAAGAAACGGCCAAAAGUCUGCCGGAGCAGAGCAUCUCUCUCUCUCUCUCUCUCAAACCAGAAGGCAGAGCUUUCUGUUUCUCUUGAGGUUUCUUUCACUGGUAAAUUCCAGACAAGCAGAGAAGGCGGCUCUCUGAGAAAUGGCGAUGGUGCAAGUGGAGACAAAACAAAUGUAAAUCUUGAAGCACCGAACAUGUGCAGAACACUUGUCAACUACCGAACUCUAGGAUUAGGAGAGAGAGAGAGAGAGCGAGUGACCGGCCAAAAAAAAAUGGAGGGAAGUGGCUGAUUCUUCUUUUUAGUGGACCUGGUGUCCUUCGAUUCGAGUACUAUGUCAUAUUUAAAAUUUAGGGUUAAUUUUGUUUAAGUUUCUUAGUUUUCAACAUUUAGUACAUAAAGUUUUUUUCAUCUCAGAGUGGUACAUAAAGUCAUAAUUUUGAGACAGUCUAAUACAUCCGUUAAGGUUGCUGUUAAAUCAACCGUUAAAUAGUGACGUGGCGUCUAGGUGGAUAUUGACUGGACGACACGUAUCAUUAUGGGUCCAUGUGGAUAUUAAAAAAUUAAAAAAAAAAAAUUAAUGGGCCGUUCAACCCCUCCUCCCUCGACCCCCUCCCUUCUCUCCUCUGCACCCACCCUCCCCACGUCUGCAACCCAUCCCCACGUCGUCAUCUUCUUCUUUGCCCAGAUCCCGCAAGAAUCUUCUUCGUCGCCGACAACUCAGCCACCAUCUCCAUCUCCGCCUUCCCCUCCUCCGAACCCGACUCCUACCCACUUCCAGUUCCAAUUCACCCUCUCCCAAUUUGCCCACUUCUUGUCCGAUUUUCGCGCCACUAUUGAACCCGAGCCCGACCCACAAAGAUGCUUAGAUUCUGAAAAAGAGAUGACACAAAUGCAAGAAAUGGAAAGCAGUGUGGUUUAGAGGUUAGAAACUGAGCAAUUUUUGGAUUGCUUUUUGGUUUGAUCAAUUUAAAGAAAUGAAAUUCUGAGUCGAAUUUCUUGUUCGUUAUAUUCGAUCUCCGCUUGAGAAUUUUAAACUUAAUAAUUGCAAAUCAAGAUACAAAAUUGACAUGAAUUUCGAAUUGGGGUUUUGGGAAAUUUGAGAAGUUCUUGGCGAUUCAUAAGAAACUUCAACUCCCAAUCGUUUCUUCUCGCUCACAACCCGAGAUUAAUAAUUUUAAAGUUUGAGCUUGAAUGUUCUUUGUAAUUAAAGAACAGAUGUGCAUCCCUCUGAAUGGCAAGAGGGUGAAUAGGAAGCGAAAAUCGGUGUGUGGCAAAUCGGAGAGGGUUAGGGAAAAAGUUUAGAGUCGGGUUCGGAUGAGGGGAGGGCGGGGUUAUAUUUUUUGUCGAGGCGAAGAAGAUUCUGCGGGAUCUGGGCGAAGGAAGAUUGACAUGGAGGGUGGGUGCACAGGAGAUAAGGGAGGGGGUCAAGGGAGGAGGGUGAACGGCCCAAUUUUUUUUUUUUUUUGGGUCAUUUGGACCAUCUCACUCAUCACCUAAGACGCCACGAUCUAAUAUUAAUUCCGGUUGACUUUGUAAAUUGGAUGUAUUAAUUAACAAACAUAGAUUAGGACAUUGAUGAUUUAAAAUUUGGGGUUUUGUUCUUCAGAAAUUUGGUCGAAAUAAGAAAUUCCCUAAAAGUUCAAUUCAGAAGAGUUACUUGCCUUACAAACAUUUUUUAAAUACUUACUAAGAAAAAGAUUUUUGUGGGUGGGUACAGUAUGGGGUUUAACUCAUUGUGUUUUAGUUUAAAUCUUUUUCUCUCUUCUUUAAUAAUAUUUAGUAUAUUAUCAAUUCGUAAUAAAAAAAUUUUGAUUAAAAACUCUCAUCUAUAUUCUAGCCAAUGGAAAAAAAUGAAUAGUGAUUUUGAUGUUGCUUUAACAAAAUAUUUUUUAAAAACAAUGGACGGCUUUCAACAAAAAAUUUGAGUAAGAGGGGUUUUGCCUUAAGUAAUUUUUGAAAUUGAAUUCAUGGUGGUUUUUUGAUUUUAUUAAAUUAGUCCCUCCCAGCAAAAAUGUGAUCAAUUUCUCUAUAAAAGAAAUAUAAGAUAUAAAUGAGAUAAUAAAGGGGUCAUUAAUAAAGAGUUGAUGAUUGUUUUUUUUUUUUUACAAUUCACACUAAGGGGGAAUAAUUGAUUUCUUUGUUGGUGUUCAAAAGCUUUUAAAUUUAUCUCUUUAAAAUAGUUUUAAUAAUCUUUUAAUGUGUUUAGUUGCCAAAAUUUUAUUUUUUUAGCAAUGAUAUUAUCUCAAUUUGAUUGGGCUUAAAUUUCUCUUAUUUUUCAUUAAUUUUCAUAUUCAAAACAUCUUAAAUGUCGUAAAUGCCGAUCAAAUAACUCUUUUCUUUUUAAUUAAUUAAUCUAAAAUUAAGUAAAAAUGAAAUUAUUACAGAGAUUUUCGAAAACCAAAUUUACAUUAUUGAUUUUUUUAACCUUUUUACAAACAAUAUAUCUAGUCUUUUUGUUUUACAAAGUAAUAUUGAAUUUUUUCACAAGAAGGCUAACAUAUCACAUUCAUUGAUUCAUGAUCAAUAUUUAAAAGUCAAAAAAAUAUUAGUAACCAUUCUCUAUUUUAACACAAUGUUCCAAGAAACAAUCUAGGGAUUAUCGGAUUUAAUGACCAAGAGGUUGGAAUUUUCCCCGUAAAUAAAUGAAUUGUUAACAACAAACAUAAAAAACAAAGCAAUAAAGAAUUCAGAUAGUGAAUACCUACUAAACCAUGUGAACACAAGCAAAAUACUUCAGAAUCACAUGUUGUCGAAAAAAUACGACUAUUUCUAAUCAGAAUUACAAUAUACCACGUUUUGCCCAUCACAUAAAAUCCAAAAACUAGUUAGGGAGCUCAAAAAGGGAGCGGGUUUGGAAACCACUGAUACACGAAGUAAAGAGGUGGUACUGUUUUGGUAAAACACAAAAGGUGCGAAACAAAGUAAACAAAACGGAAGGAAGAUGUUAUAGUCAUUCUCAGCAACAAAAUUCGAGCUUGUUGUCGAAAUCACAACAGGAGACAAUUUCGAUUAACAGCCUUUCCUGCCAAACUCAAUUUCCAAAAUCCUACAUCACAUCAUAAAUCCAUUGUUUCAUUCCCACGCACAAUCCCUACCCACUGCACAGGAGAACAAUUGUUUCUGCAAAGAAAAAACAGUUAACAAAAAACGGCAUGCAUAUCGCAAAAUCGGGAUAGGAAGCAGAAGCUUUCCUUGUUUUCCUUAAACACCAAGCUCUACAUUCCAAAAAGAACAUGAAAAAAUAAAAUUAAAUAAAGAGCCUUUCCUGCUUAUUUUGAAUUAAGGCGGGGAGGUCGAGACACGGCUGGUGUAUUUUUGUUUUUUUAAUUGUCAAACUGCCCAGGACACGCUGGGCAUUUUUUUUUUUGUUUAAACCUGGGCCCAAAACGACGCGUUUGCCAUUUAAAAAAAAAUUCCUUGGGUCAUUUACCAAUUCCUUUUUUCAAAAAAAAAUAACUGGCCCAGCGCCUUCGUCUUCUACAAAGGCACAAAAGCCCAAAAACCCCGACGAACCUUCCGUUUCACAGUUGGUGUGAGCGAACGGUGGUCGCACCAGGGGUCGCACCACCAGUCCAAGGGUCUUAAAGUUGCUUCAUGCUCUCCAAGGUCCGCGACGUGGUUGCGCACCCCAAUUGAACCGCACAGGAUCCGAAUGGCUUCUUCCCAUACAUGCCAUCGAAAUUCAGCAAAAGCAAUAACCAGCGAUUUCUUCUGGAGAAUUUAAGCCACCCCAUUGGACCAACAAUUCAAUCAAAAGAAACCAGUAACCAAGUUCAAUUGAGUUUAGAAGCAUUUACAAUGUUCCCACGGAUGUUCAUCACUUUACCCAAUAGUUCGUUUCAAGAAGGAAAUUCCAGCAGAACUGAAACUUCAAAACUUCAGAAGGCACCAAAUUUUUGAAGUAAAUUCAUUUCAAGUUGAAAUAAUCAACUUAGGUGAGGACCCAUAAAAUUAGGAGGAACAUGAAAGAAAGCUUUAUCUUUUUCCUCUAAACUCAGGCGUUACUAAACAAACGGACAUUCACAUCCCCACCAGAUGCAUUUCCUUUCACAUCUUCCCAAGUAAAUCAGUACCUUCUUUCGUCUGAAUCUUAAGUCUGAAUUCUGGAAGUGAAAAUACUGGAAAAAAGUGGGCCUUUAUAAAAGAAUACCUCACGUUUUAGUCAAUGUAUCAGCGCACUAAGAGGACCAGAGGCAGGAGUGAACGACAGCAAACAAUUCAUGUAAUAUUCAGUCGAGUUUUGGGUGAUUUCUGCAGCGAUUUCGGAGGCCAAGAGCCUGAUAAGAAAGCUGGGACGGAAGGGCAGUGGUCUGGAAGAAAAGGCUCGGGUCACACUGUCGCGAUUCGCGAAGGAGAAGUGGCCCAAUACAAUUUCGGCCUGUUUGCACUGGACUGUUUUGCACAGGGCCAAGGCCGACCCUGAACCAGAUAAAGCUUCUCCAAACAGUAUAUAUCAGGUGCUAGAAAUUCUAUAGAACCAUUCAAUCUUAGAGCAACAGCUUAGCAUUAGUUGGUACAAAAAGAUUUCCGAUUAUCGCUUUUAUUUAUUCCUCCUCUGAUGUGUCCUUUUAGACUGCAACAGACGAUUUAAAGAAAUGAAAGUUAGCAGAAUAAAUGGCGCACAAAGGGAUUUAAAAUCCUGACAUGUGUAUUUUUGGCAGAUUUAUGUGAGCAUGCAACUAAAACUGGCAUCACUAUCAAUGGUGCACGAAGAUUGGCGGAAAAACGUAAAGGGAAGCAAUCACAACACAAAAUGUACGACGUAAUCUGUCCACAUGUUGGAAGGAGCUAUGAAAGUAUGGCUUUUCACUAAUCAGGCGUCCAGAGAAUCAAUAUUUUACUCACGGAUCAGUUACGGAGAACAAUCCCCACCAAAGCAAUCUCAAUAGUCCUCCACAUCUCAAACCAAACAGAAAUCGCACUAACAAACACGACUUCUAUACUAUUAGUCCUUCCCAUCUCAAAUCUAGUAAGUAACCCAUCUUUCGUCUGAAUCUGGAAAACAAGCAGCAGUGGAUUUAAAAAUCUGGGUAUCUCAAAGUUACUCACUUUAAUCACAAAUUUAACAAUUAAACAUAUAAAUGGGCAUUUUUAGUGAAAUAUUAGUGUAGUACUCACUGUGUGCUAGGAGCAAGAGUACCCAGAAAGCUCAAUGAGCUGCGCACAGAGGACUGCAGCGGUGAACGAUAGCGACCAAUUCUGUAAAAUUCAGUCGAGUUUUGGGCAAUUUCUGCAGCAAUUUCGGAGGUCAAGAGGCUGAUAAGGAAAGCUGCGACCAAAGGGCACUGGUCUGGAAGAAAGGCUCUGGUCACCGCUGUCGCGAUUCGCAAAGGAAGAAGUGCCCCAAAACAAUUUUGGCCCUGGGCAGGUGCACUGUUUGCACUGGGACAGGGCCGGCCCUGAAUCGCGAUAACGUCCUUCUCCAAACAGUAUAUAUACAGAUGCUAGAAAUAUCUACCAGAACCAUUCAAUUCUAGCGUCUACAGCUUUAGCAUCAGCUGGUACAAGGGACAUUCUUCCAUAGAGGGAGAUGAAAUCGUUGAGGCUCUUAUUUAUUCCUCCUCUUGAUGUGCCCUUUUAGACUGCUAAUUCCAGACGAUACAAUCUCAUGCAUCUUCCCUGAAAAAGGGUUGCCACACAUCGAGAUCAAAUUUUUCCAAUAAAAUUAACUUAAAAAUCAAACUCGUUAGCAGAAUAAAUGGUGCACAAAGGGAUUUAAAAUCUAGACAUAUGUGUAUUUUUGGCAGAUUUUAAGUGAGCAUGCAACUAAAACUGGCAUCACUAUAAAUGGUGGACAAAGAUUGGCGGAAAAACAUAAAGGGAAGCAAUCACAAAGCAAAAUGUACUAAGUAAUCUGUCCACAUAUUGGGAAAAAUUUUUAACAGUUUGAUUUGUAACUUCUCCAUUGUAUUAGUUAAAGACAAGACGGUGUCAACCAUGCAAUUUGCUGAUGAUUUUACUGAUGAAUGCAGAGUUAGCUGAUGAUACGACAAGCAAUUGAAAAUCCCAUCAUUAUACCCCACAUAUACCAAAAAAGCAAGUCAUUUGCACAAAUUCAGAAGGUUCAUCCACUGCAAUUUGCAGAUAUAGAAAUGUUAAGAUAAAUGGAAAUACAAAGUACCUUUCACCCAAAUUGGAGGAACACCGGUGGCAUUAGCAAGUUAGCAUCGGGAAUUGACAUUACCAGUAUCUUCACAGUUUCUGCGGUGGAGUUAUGUACCUCUCCUUGGAAAAUGCCACCAAAGCCGCCGCAACGCGGUGUAGUGUCCGAUUGAUUGCUUCAAAACAAAGCUUCGUAUCCAUGUGUUUAAUCAGCACAGAGUACCCAAAACCCCUGAAAAUUAUUUCUUUAUUCAGACAAUAAAAUUUCCCAAAUUUCGAAUUUUAAUUCCAAAUCAAAAAUAGGGUUUGAAUUUUGAUUACCUAGAAAUUGGGGGGUUGGGGUGGAGAGGGACCCGGGCCAGGACGGAGCUAUGUGUAUAUGCUAAGGCGUGCCAAAUUACAUAGAGUGUCAGGAAUGUGUACAAGUCUUUUGCAAUUUAUCAGACUUAAAACCUGAAGCCCCGUAAGGCGUUCAAUCCAGGGGGAAAGCUCUUUGAUAGAUGUUCCACCCAAGAAAAGCAUUCUUAAUCCUUCCAUAUUUUCUUCAAUGCUUGGAAACACCUCAAAUUUUGUACAAUUGUAAAGAGAGAGACGGUAAAAGGAUUUGAGUUGACAAAUGCUGCUUGGAAGACUCUCAAGUUCCUUGCAAUUCAUCAUAAGCAAACACCUCAAUCCCGUGAGAUUAUUAAUUGACAGGGGUAGUUCUUUAAUUUUUGACCCAGAUAAAUCAAGCUCUUCUAACCCCUCAAUAACUUCUGAAAUCUCUGGAAACAUCACAAGACUCGAGCAACCAGAAAGAUCAAGGGUUUUGAGAGAUUUCAUACGAAUGCUGCUUGGAAGACUCUCAAGUUCCUUGCAAUUGUUUAGGUCCAAAUAACUCAACCUCGUGAGAUUAUUAAUUGACAGGGGUAGUUCUUUAAUUUUUGACCUGGAUAAAUCAAGCGCUUCUAACCCCUCAAUCACUUCUGAAAUCUCUGGAAACAUCUCAAGACUGGAGCAGCCAGAAAGAUCAAAGGUUUUGAGAGAUCUCAUACAAACUUUGCUGGGUAGAAUCUUAAGUUCCAUGCAUUUUGAUAGGUUCAAAUGACUCAACCCCGUGAGAUUAUUAAUUGACAGGGGCAGUUCUUUAAUUCUUGACCCGGAUAAAUCAAGCUUUUCUAACCCCUCAAUCACUUCUGAAAUCUCCGGAAACAUCUCAAGACUCCGGCAGCCAAAAAGACCAAAGGUUUUGAGAGAUCUCAUACAAACUUUGCUGGGUAGAAUCUUAAGUUGCCCGCACAAACUCAGAUCCAAUAAAACAAUUUUUGUAAGAGCCAAAAUCGACCCGUGAACCUCAACUAAGCGUGUACAACCUUGAACAAUUAGCCUCUCAAGAUUUGGCACAUUUGUGAAGUCAGGGGUUAUCUCAAGGUUAUGACAAUGACUUAAAUUGAUGAAUUUCAACUUUUCCUGCGUCUGUUAAAACAUUCAGGAAAACAUGCAUUACUUAAUAAGACAUCUCACUCAAAGCCCAAACAUUUAAAAGAAACAAAUACAUGUAAAUGAUUGUACAUACCUGGGUUCCUUCCCAAAGUCGGUCAAUGAGGCUAUAUUGCAUGUCAAGUCCAACAAGAUUUUCGAAUUGAAAGUUGGAUGGCAAAGACUUGAGAGGGUAUCCAGACCAGGAAAGACACCUCAACUCACUAGAAACAAACUUUAAGGGCCCAGUCAGGUGUUGUAUGCCGUGAGCACUGAUCUUGAGAAGUCUUAGUUUAGUCAUCCUAUCAAAAGCUUCAACCAUUAAGCAUCCCUCAUCUGAGUUCCACGAAUCGAGGAUUAUGCUUUCGACUGUUUCUGUACCCUGUGCAAAUCAAAGGGAAGGAAAAAGCAGAGAACCUUAGUUUAGAUUAUGAAGUUAAUGCUUGUUUCUUAAGGAGUUGUUUGAUAAUAAUUUUGUUUUCACUUUUCACUUUUGUUUUGAUUAUUUAUUUAGAAAUCUGAAAAUUGAAAACAUAUAACUUGUUUGUAAUUGUUUUCAAUUUUCAAUUUUCAAUUAUUAAAAAAAUGAAAAUUAAAAAUUAAAAAUGGAAACAAAAGUGGUUAUCAAACGAGCUUAAGAAAUUGAUUUUGGUCAAAAGUUGAAGCUUUCUACUAAACAUUGCAUAAGAAAAGAAAUUAUCACCGUAUUUUUAGUUAUCACAUGAAAAACAUCUUCAUAACUCCACAACCUACUUCGUCUCCCAGGCUCUUUGAUAGAUUCUUGGUAGACGAUUUUCUGACCCAUUUCCUCUAGUAAAUCAUGCAUCUCCAGUUCCCCCUUCGUUGAGACAGUUACUAGAGCUCGAUCGAUUAGAACUUUUAUUCCAAUAUCAGGAUAGAAACCACAGCUGUGCAGAACUUCGGUUGCACAGUCUUCUCUCAUUCCUUUAAAGUAACAUGCAAUAUCUAGAAAGAUAUCCUUCUCCAUGUCAUCUAGUCCAUCGAAGCUUGUUUUAAGCACAUCAUGAAUUCCCUUUUGCGGGAUUUUCUUUAUUUUUUCUAACUCAUUUUCCCACUGGCGUACAUUUUUGUUAUAAAGAAAAGCUCCCAAGACUUUGAGUGCUAAAGGCAGACCUCGAGCAUAUUUUACGGCACGACGGGAGAGAUCAUCAUAAUCUCUGGUGGGUUGGUUUUUUCUGAAGGCGUACCGCCUAAAGAGUUCCAGAGCUCCAGAAUCACUCAAAAUCUGGGGAUUAUAUAUCUCACCAGCUAUGCUUAGUAAUUGCGAAUCUCUGGUUGUUAUAAUAAUUCUGCUUCCACCACCAAAGGAAUGUGGCUCUCCAAGUAAAGCUUCAAUAUGUUCUAAUUCUUCCACAUCAUCAACAACAAUAAGAACUUUUCUCCGACCUAGACUAUUUAACAUCACCUGGAAACCUUUAUUCGAAACGUCGGAACUCCCCACCCUGUUGUUCGAGAUACUCGAUAGAAGUUCUGCCUGCAUAUGUAGUUUGCCAUGCUUCAUGAAACCUUCCUUGAAAUUUUCAAGAAAGCAACAAGCUUUAAAUCCACCAGAGAUUUCAUUAUAAACAGCUCUCUAGCGAUGGAUGUGUUUUUUGCCUAAACCCACACCCAUACCCCCAUAUUCCAACAAUGCGAACAUCAUAUUAGUUUCAACUCCAGGAGGAUGCAGUAAUGAAUGCAUGUUAUGCAUAUGAGAGUCCAUUUCAACCAAGCCAUUAUAUUUGCUUGAUGAUGAUGAGAUGUAUCGCCGACCCCACUUAGUGGGAAAAGGCUUUGUUGUUGUUGUUGUUGUUGAUGAUGAUGAGAUGUGGAUCAAUUUCUUAAAAACAUCUUCUACAAUUUUCUCAAUAAGCUCUGCAUCAUCCCUGUCAAAUUUAAAACACAAUAUAAUUACAACACCAAAUGAUACUUAAUGGGUCGUUUUGAUUACAAUUUCGUUUGCAAUUUUUUUUAAAUCUAGAUUUUAAGUUUGCAGAUUUUGUUUUCAGUUUUUAGUUUCAAUGAAAGUAGUUAUUAAACAAGUUUUCCAAUUUUUCUUUCAUGGUAUACAGUACGUAGUCCCAAAUAUCAGUAGUUAGAUCUUGCAUUUAGAUCUAAUGGGUAUUUACAACCUUUUUUCCUGAGAAUUUUGUACCAUUGUAGCCAGAUCACAUGUUUUCAUCCGUUAGUUUUAUAAAAAUGGAAACUACAAAAAAAAAAAAAAAAAAAUAUAUAUAUAUAUAUAUAUAUAUCAAAUGGCCCCUAAAUGCUAUUAAAAAUCUCAAAAAUUAACAGGAAACUAAAACAAAUUAGAAUUUAUUCAUGGUUUCGCAAAUCCCAGCCGGAUAAACUGGUGGCCGUUGUAAGAGAGAGGACCUCCAGCCGGAUAAACAUUUUCGAGUUAUUUGAUAUUUGUAUAGUAAAAAUACUUUAAUAGCAAGUGCGCGUGAGUGAAGAAAUUGAACUUACUUAUAUAUUCUUCGAAUCCCAACCGGAAAAAUUGCAGGCUCUGGGAAGAGCGGACCUCCAGCUCUGCACCUCCUUCACGUCACGUUACGAAGAACGACUUCAUGUUUAGCAAAAGCUUCUGCAAAACUUCCCUCGAGUUUACGUUUUACGAAUAUUGGACGGAUCGACUUGGUAGAAAAUGGGGAAUACAAUCUGGUUCUUGGAAUGGUUGCAUUCCAAGAUUUCCACGAGAGUUCUUUCAAGCACCAUGUGGAUGAAGCAUAGUUUUGAGAGAAACUACACUACAAUCGAAAUCCUUGACUCUCUCGAAUCGCUGUCAGGAGCUCGAAAAGGCGGUCGCCUUUUUCUGAGGUCUUCAAUGAUGGCAUCAAUGAAGGUGUUUCUGAUUGUUUCUAGAUUUGUAGAGAUGCUCUUUGUAGAGAUGGCCUGACGAGAACCGCGAGUGUCUUUCCCCUCUAAAAAAACUGAUGAACACAUCUCGUCCCAACCAAGGCAAGAAGAAGAAGAAGAAGCAAGCCAUUAAUCGAUCUCACCUGGGCAGCGAUGAUCUCAGAGCAGCUAAGACUAAGCAAGAAUUGUAAGUACAGAACACUCAAUAGAUCUACAAAUUGGAUCCAGAAAUUAGUCAAUGAGUCAAUGCAAAAGGGAAAAGGGCAAUUAUGCUUUUUGCGUUUUCACAUCUUUCUUCAGGAAAUUUCGGUGUGAAAGGAAUCCGCAUACUUUUGAUUUUUCAACCCAAGAAAAUGCGAAGAAGAAGGGUACAAAGUAGUAAAUUUAAUCUACAGUUGCCUACCCAACACAACUCUCUUGAUUAAUAAUAUAUAUUUAAUUGGGAAAAGUAGUUUAGAGGAAGGAUGUUUUAUCUCCUUUUUCUUCUCUCUCGAACAGUCAAUCUUCCGUUCCCGUGCGAUUUAAUCAUGAUUAAAGCUAAGCUUAAUCUUAGGUCGUAUUAUUUAGGUCUAAUUGGAUUCUUAAUUCUUGUUGUGAUAUAGUAGUUCGAAGAUUAAAAAAAAUUAUGAUUUAAACGUUUGUGGUGAAAUCUGUUACGAUUUAGAUUCAAAAUUGAAAAUUUCGUUAACUCCAUUAAUUGUUAGCACAUGAAGAAACACUCACAAAUGAAACUAAAAAUAAUAAAGUUAGCCCUCACAUGUAAUCUUCACGUGCUAACAAUGAAAAGAAAGUUCCGUUUUAGCUUAAUAUAUGUGACUCACGUGUUAAUAAUUAACGGAAUAUUAACAAAAAAAUUUAUUUUAAGCAUAAAUUCAAAUAAACUUCACCACAUAAGCUUAAAUUCUAAUUUAGAUAUCUUCUAACUAUCUUAUCACCAUAAAAAUUAUAAUCAAAUUAAACUUAUUAUUUAUUUAUAAAUGCGUAACUAAAUCACAAAGUGUUGAAUGAAAGGGAGCACUCCAAAUGAUGAAAGGGGUAUGAUAUCCACACAUCUUUUUUUUUACUUCUUACACAUCGUUUUAAUUUUCGACCGUCGGAUCAAAUUAAUUGAAGAAUAUCAAAGGAUAAAAAUCAACAAAGGGUGUGUAAGAAGUAAAAAUGAGUGUGUGGAUAGCCAUCCAUGAUGCCAAAAUGAAGCAAAAAGCGGGAGCAUCGAAAGCUAUCUCCGUUUUGUUGUUCUAGCUUUGUCUUCUUUUGGCAGAUAGCUCCUAGGGACCGGCCUAUUUUCCACAGCUGGUUAUAGACUCAGUUGUGCUAUAUAGAAGGGAGUGUUUUGUUGUAAUUCCAAUAUCGAUGGAAAUCCAACAGCCAAAAUCUUUUCAAAUUUUUGUGAGGAUUUUGGGGUGUACGUAAAUUGAUUAUGUUUAUCGUAUAUUGUGUGAUCAUUUUUUAUCAAAUAUUAUUUGUGUUUCAUUUUAAAUAAAAUAAUUUAAAAUAAUUUUUAACUACAAGAUGUACGAUGAACAGAUAUAAUUCACAAAUCUCCAAAAUCCUUACAAAAAAAUCCGAAAAAGAUCCAAAUUCAAUGGAAAUAAGCUAAUUUUGAAUCAAAUUACAUUACUUUAUUUUGUAAAUAAAUUUAAUUUUGAAUUGAACAACACAUUCAUUUAUUAUGUAAGUAAUUCAUUUUGUAUGUAUCAUCAUAUAUAUUAGGCACAUUUUAUCAUAGGUGAUUUUGUGAAAAAUUAAUAAAAAGUUACAAUAUUAACAAUAGAUCAAUAAUAUUUAUGUUAAUUAUAAAUAGGUUAACCAUGUAUUGUGAUACUUAAAUACAUUUAAAAUAAAUAAAAAUUACAAAAUCUACUACUACAGCUAGCAUUCACUUCAACUAAAACUCUCUUCCACGUAGUUUUUAUAUUUGGAAUAAGUCAUACGAAUCAGAGACAUGAAGAGGUGUAAGAACUGUGAAUGUCCAACAACAAAGACUUCGGAGUUUGUUGUCGAAUAUCUGCAGCGCAUCAUUUCUGAUAGAUCAAAUCGAGCCAAUUCCCGCAAACUCCAAUCCCACCACCACCUUUCAAGCCGGCCUCAGCCCUCCGGGCGGCAUUUGGCAGGACAGCACUGGAUCAAACAAGAAUGGGACUGGCAGUGGGAGCAAUGAACGAGUACACUCAGCAGGGAAGUCCAUCAUGCGUUAAGGCAAAUGGUUCUCAAACACAAAGCAAUAGUUCGCUACCGAAAACAACCAAAGUCUGACAAAGGGAACCGUCUUACACCUAACCUGUUUUUCCCUCAUCAAAUGAGCGCGUUGAUCUGCAGAUAUUUUCUGCCAUCUCAAAACCUGUUACAAAGAAAUAUAACGUUGAUGUCGAGCUGGAUAGCAUAUUAUACCAAUUAUGUGUACAAACCUAUUGAAAUAAAGUAGCUGUAGUUGCAUAUUACGACAGAUAUUAACGAAAACAAAAGAAGGCUCGCCUAUUCAAGAUCCUAAAUCCCAUGAUUCUUUUGUUUUUAGUUUCAGAAAUUUUCAGAGCACAAACUGGAAAGUACCAAGAUACUUACAUAUUGGGCAUAAUGAAAUGCAUCUUCAUCUUUCAAGCAAGAUUUGAGUGAGCGCAAACCGUCCUGAGAGUUACAUAGAGUCAAUCGGUAAUAUAAAAACGUAGAUGCAUCACACCCAAACACAAGUAUUCAAACACCGACAACUUCUUCAUGCGGUGAGGCAUGUUAAAAAAUAGGGAAGAACAGUUAUUGAAUAGGAAGUUAAAGGACUAAAUUUAUGACCUUGUGUUUGUAGUUCUUGGCUCGUAUGCGUUCAUCUAUUACAAAACCAAUCUGUAACAGGUACAACAGAAAAUAUAAGCAGUAGUCAGAACAUUAAGCAUCGGCAUUCACAUUGCCGCCAAUCCAAAGUUAAAAGUCUAAAGGCAAAACAGUAUGAUUCUUAUCUCUCAAACAAAAAUGAAACUAUACCCCAGACAUAAAUGAAAUAAGUUCUACUGCCUCAACUGAGUACUGUGAUUAUAUAUAAAUCCAAUUCACCUUGUCAAGUAAUCUCUUAGGAUCUUGAAAUGCUUGCUUCUUAGCCCAGUCAUUAAAUACAUGCGAGAUAAUCGAUCUCUCAUCCACACUGAAUCUAUUGUACAGUGACAGAAUAAUAAAGUUAAACAUGAACAUAACCAACCAAAAAUGCUAGUUAUAAUAGUACACCCAUAAUUGCAAGCAAAACCUUUUUAAGAAGCCAUUUCCAUGGUUUUCCUCCCCAAAUUCCAUCAAUUCUGCAGAGGCAACGUCAAAUUUACUAUGAUGGAGAUCAUUUUGAACCAUAACAACUUCAGAAGGUAGGAGAUUUGGUUUGAGAUCAUCUGUUGACGGAGUAGUUUCUUUUGAAGGGUCAUGAUGCUUUGAUUGCAAGCCUUCUGUACUUACGUCAGCCUACAAAACAAAAAUUGCAUUCAACCCACACUAGACUUAAUAAGAUUAGAAACACUUCAGAUUCUUCAUUAUUUGUAAGUUUGACUAAACAGCAGAACAACUGAGGAUAAUGAACAGUAAUACACACCUGGACUUCUCGUAGAGAUUUGGAAUUUCUUUCAGAAAUCGCGAAGGUUGAAGCAUCUGAAGGAGUCACCUUCUCAGUCAGAGCAACAACAACAAAUAAGGAGGACAGGAAUUCAAGCUAAAACGUACCUGCCAACUGGAAUCCAUCGUAACAUAAAGAAUGAAAAGCUUUUUUCGAGCACGAGUCAUUGCAACAUAUAAUAGGCGUCUUUCCUCCUAUGAUUAGAGUGGGAUUAUUGAGUUAUUGACCAAAAGAAAAAAGAGUGGGAUUAUUGUGAAAAACACUUCAAAGCUCUGCAUAUAACUGAAAAAUGUUGAACAAUUUACCCCACACCUCAAUGGAGGUCCCAUUUUCUUUUGCAACGCCAUUGAAUUCAUGCAACAACGGGAUCUCAGAUUCAUUUACCUGUGUUAUUGGCAUGAGCAUUAAAGCAAGCUAAGAUGAUUUGAAGAGGUUGAUAUCGUCAUGAUUAUAGUAGAACAGAAUACCAAUUUCAAGUCAUCAAUUAGGUAUAGCAUUGGCAUGUUUAAUCAGUAAAUCUAAUGACAGAACACCUCAACUCUACACAUAAAUAAAUAAACGGUCGUACCCAGUGCACAAGGCUCCCGCUUUACGCAGGGUCUGGGAGAGGUGAAUGUCGGCUAGCCUUACCCCCAUUUAUGGAGAGGCUGCUCCCAAGUCUCGAACCCGAGACCUACCGCUCAUGGGCGAAGGCACUUGCCAUCGCACCAAGUGCGACCUCUACACAUAAAUAAAUAAACAACCUGAAAAAUAUUACAGCCACUUGUUAAGGCAAAUACCUUAAUUAUGAAAACUAUAUCCCACUCUAAACCUUUUGACUGCAAGAGAAUGAAAAAGAAAGACAGUAAGCCAAGAAUGUUUUGUAGAACUCCAAAGGAAGUCCAAUAGGGAAAUCAUCGCAAGUACAAGAGUUAGCGAGGUUCGCAUAAGAGGAUAUCAAAAAGAUCUAUAACCUGAUGAAUAGUAGUCAAAGUGACAGAACUUUGGUUGUCAUGUCUUCGGGAGUGAAAAUUUUCACUCUCCCGCUCAGAUAUGUAGUCGAUGAAUGCUUUGAGUAAAUUAACGCAGCCUUUUUCUUCUGCUACGACUUCUCUCUCCCCUUUUCCCGCAACAAAAUGAGUUGAUAAGAAAUCAGAUACGUCGUCUAGUAGGUACUGAAGAACCUGCAAUGAGAAUAAUCGCAUCACAACAACAGAGUUGGACCAAGAUUUAAGUGACAACAAUGAUUAACUAACUAAAACAGAGAAAUUAUUCAUUUAAGACCUUGUUGACUGAAAAAAGGGUUUUCCAAGCAGCGGGUCAUUUAAGCUUAUUGUAUAAAUGACAAUCAUCACAAACGGCAAACUUACAGAUCUCACGUCAUUGUCUUCAUUCAGCAGUUUUCCUCCCUCUAUAUCAACGACUGCACGUUGCUCAAGACGGUACUUCUAAAAAUUGAAAGUCAAACGAUAAAUGAUUAAGAAGUAUUGAAUAUAAGCAUGAAACGAAGAAAAUGUUAUGGAAUGGUGAUCCUCAUCCUCAAAGAUGAUUAAAAGCAAUUUGAUUCAAAAAUGACAUAUCAACUCUGGAGAAAUGGAAGACAAACCUGUGGUACCAUAUUCGCAACUGAGGUUAUGACAGCUGAAAUCGAUUGUUCCUGUGUGCAUUAAUAAGUGAGACUACCAUAGAGAUUCACAACUAAAUAAAGACAGGUAUUCCACAGAACAACCUUUACCUCUUUGGAAACACAGAUCUAACAAAAACUAUAACAUUUUGGAUUAAUAUUGACGAAUCAAGAAUAAUGCAAGGGAGCAAGAGAUACUCUUCCUUCUAAUAACAAGGAGGUGUGAAAAGUAUACAGAGUUCCAACAAUUAGAGAACUAAAAUCAAACUAAAAAAAUCACCAAAGUAGACAGAAUCUCACUUCGCCAAAAAUUUGAAAAUAUAUCCUUUUUAUCCAUUGAGAUUCAUGAACUACUACUACUACAUCAUGCCAAUAAGCAAUGCGUAAGAGGUGCUACAAUUUACCGAAUAUAUUUACCCUGAGAACAAGUUUUGAAAUCAUCUCUAGUGUUAACAGCACCUUGCGUCCUUGGGUAAGCUGAGUCCUAUUAUCAAGUAAAGAGACCAAUCAGUACAUAUCCAAAAAGAUCUUAAAUGCUUGUAAUACCAAAUAAGAAAGAAACAUGAGUAUAUCUUGAAUUAACCAUGCAAAAAUGUAAUGUUAAAGCAUCUUGUCAUACAGACCUCUUCAAGGUACCAGAAAUUUUUGCACUAAAGAUGUCACAAGCAGCUGAUAUGAAGCUGCAUUUUCUGUGAGUUGAAAUUUUGUCAAUAUAAUCGAUCACCUGAAGAGAGAGAGAGAGAAAAAGACAGUGAUAUCCAGAGAUGUGAGCCUAAAUGCUGAGUGUGUGUAAAAAAAAGAAGAUUAAAUGGAUAGCAAGAAUAUACAACUUUAAUGCUGAAAAGAACAUUGAAUAUGAUGUUCAUUCAUCAUUCCCAUUGAACGUGUACCUUCUUCUUUUCCUCUUUCUCAAAAGCAAGUAGAGCCUUGAAGACUUGCCUAUAUGAUCCAUCAUCACAACCAGGCAAAGUUGUUUUAAUCAUAGCAACAAUGGCUCUAACUACCUGCCAUAAGAAACAUGCUACAUCAACAAGAUCACAGAGUGUACCAGAAACCGUAAUGUAGCAAAAUCUUGGAUAAAAUAGCUGGCCAAAAGGGAAUGGAAAAGCAAGCACGAAAAACAAUGAAAAGGACCAGUGAUGCCAAAAUUCUGGUGGAAAAGGUGAAAAGCUUAUGUCUAUUACAGUUCUUGUAUGCAUUCUUUAUAACUUAAGUUCUACGUAGCAAAAACCACCUUAUGCACAACAAUAUUGGAAAAAUUAGAUACAUACAACUGAGAAGAUAGGUUUUCAUAAUCUGGACAAGUGCUAACUACCUUCUUCCUAUAAACUGCCACUCCAUGAACAUUAAAUGGUAUUUUCCUUUCACGCAAGGCUGUCUGGAAGACUUUUCCUGAUACCUGUAGCAUAAAAUACAAAAGAAAAUGUGACCAAAAUGUCUUAUAUGAUUCACCUCAUUCACAUUAGCACUAAGGCAAGUAAGCUUGACCUGCCUCCGGUAAAGGAUUGCUAUAUUUCCAUAGAAGCACCCUGCUUCUGACCGUUUAGAUGCAGUCUCCAGGAUCUUGUCGACAACAAAGGCACAUUGUGCAUCCUCAUUGUGACUUUCCUUGAUAAUUACCUACAUUUUGCCAGUAAAACCAGUGUCACUAACUAAAAGGACUGAAAAAUGACAUCAAAUUGUACUUGUUGGAGCAAGGAAAGAUUAAGUACCUUAGACCCAGAAGAAUUGUCCGUGUCAACAUUCUUUAGUUGGCAUCGCUUCUUAUUGUUUUUUAUAACAGAAGAUGCAGCUUCCACAAUAUAGCGUGUGGACCGAAAGUUUUUAUUAAGCCUAAUCUGAACCAUAAAGUUAUGUCAAAUCCCACAGAACCCCAUAAAAUAAAACUUACUUUCCUGUAAUUGUACAAUAUAUUUGUUCUAUACUAUAUAUAAUGAAAAAAGACACUGUGAAUGACAUAAGAUAACAUAGCAGUCAAGUGCGAAGCGAACCUCUUUGUAAUUUGAAAAAUCUUUACGAAAAGAAUCAAAUCCAGAAAUGUCCGCCCCAUUGAAACUGAAAAUGGACUGCAGCAGGAUAUAUGUUAUUUGAUUUAGAACAGAUAAGGGCUGGAUUAGAAUGAGCUGAGAGAGAGAGAGAGAGAGAGAGAGGGAGAGAGGGAGAGAGGGAGCAAUAACAUUGGAUUUCCAUAAUAAAUCAACAACAUGCCUGAUCAUCAUCACCAACAAUGGUUAUGUGGUUAUGAGAGGCGAGAAUCCGCAAAAGACUAUAUUGCAUAGCACUUGUGUCUUGAAACUCGUCUAUUACAAUAGCUUUCCAUGACUCCUGGCACUCCUUCAACACUAAUUAAGAGAACACCAUGUAUCAACAUUUAGCAUUACUUGUAAAACUAGAUAAAUCAAUGAAAUAUACUUAGAUGAUAGAGACCUUCAGGAAAAUCACUUAGCUUAGCAGCUUCACAGAGCAGCUAAUUAAGUCGUGGUAGUCCAAAGCGUUGCACGAUUUCAAGAUAUCAUUGUAAUUCCUAAGAAUUUCACCCUGAUUCAGAUUGAGAGCUAAAACUCAUAAGCAAUAGUUUCAAAGAACUGAAAUGAUAUCUGAAAUUCUAGUUCUGAGCGUACUCCUGUCACAUCACCCAUUCUUCGGCAUUCAGCGGGAGUCUUUCCAGAAGCUUUUGCCUGAAACAUAAAUAAAUUUAUUGCCUAAUGCCACAUAUUGUAAGACACACCAUUGUAUUGGUCAUUCUAGCUUGAUUGUAGCUAAUAUUUUUUAAAUCGAAUGAUUAGAGUUCUUAAUCCACAAUAAUCUGAACAUUAAAUUUCGUAUUCAAGACUAACCUGUGUCACAAACUUCAGCCAUUUCUUUGAUGCAUCCUUAAAAUGAUGUGGAGAUGUUACGCCGUUAGACUCUUCCCCAUCUAUAGCAACAUUAAGAUUCGUUUUACUCUUUUCAUCUUCUGAUAACCGCACAGCUUCAAUGAUUGCUCUUCUCUGUUGCCCAUGUCCAUAUAUCAAAAAUUCUGGUCUGCGCUCGAGUCUAAAACACAAGCCAACAUAACAGACUCAGCUGUACCACCAUAUGUAUGGUGUUCAAAAUCAAGGGAGGUGAAUCAAUAGCUUACUUCUCAGCAUGUGAUCGGCAAAGUUGCAAUGAAAAUGAAUGCAAUGUACUGAUUGUUAGUAGUUUUGCCGUUGCUUUCCCAGUCACAGAUCCAAUUCGAUCUCUCAUCUCGGAAGCUGCUGCUGUAGUGAAAGUCAUUGCUAGAAUGUUCGACGUGCUGAUGCCCUAAGAACACAAAAAAAAAAAAAACGAAUAAGAUUUCGAUCAUAAACAAGAAAUGUAGAGAAACACACAAUUAUGAAAGAAAAAGUUAGGGGGAAGUAGCAACACCUCAUUGAGCAGCAUUAGAACGCGCCCAACAAUCAUCAAAGGUACUGAAAUAUCGCUGCAAGCUGCCUCGCGCUGCCUUUCGUUGAGAGAAAGCUAAUACUUCAAAUACUCAUCCGGCAUGUUAGGCAAUCCAUGGUUAACGGAAUCCGUUUGGUUUUCACUACUCAAAGGCGGCGCUGAUGCGGCACGAACGUCACUACCACAACUCCCAAUAUCAUCACGCUGAAUGUCCACACUUGGUUUCUGCUCAAUUAAAGCGUCAAUUUCCUGCAAAAUACUCUCAUCGAAAUCAUCAUCGUUAAGAAUUCCAGAUGCAGAGAAAGAAUCAAAUGAAGUCAGAAACUGAUGUCUGAUUGGAGUUGUGAAAGAAUCCGAUUUUGACACGCUUGAUUCUGUCCGGCUAACGCUUAAGCUCCCGGAACACGAAGCACUGCCAUAUUCACCACGCGCUGAAUUGUACCGGCUUGCGGAAAUCGGAGGCGGUGUUCUUUGAACUCUAUUGAGCUGAGUUGGCGUUUGGAUUCCAUUUCCGCCACAGAUUCUGGAAUUUGAAAAACACAAUUGAAUUGAUUUAAAUUGAAGCAAGAAAACAGCCGAGUAGCCAAAAAAUAGUAAGAAGAUGAAACCUUUGAUUCCUGAACGACUUACUUGGUAUGAGGGAGGUGAUGAUCAGGUGAAACGGCGUCGUUGCGGGGGCGUUUGCGAUCAAUGAGGGCCUUGGCGGCUCUGAAAUUCCGAGAGAUGCGGUUUCUUUGUUCCGCCGUGAGCCCUCCGCCGUACGCCUGAACGUUUUCCUUGGACAUUGCUUCGAAGAUUCCAACGGAGGAUUUGGCCUGACGGCCUGACCAGGCUGAUAACAGUGUAAAACCUUAGGAGCUAAGGAAAAACUAAGAGAGAGAUCGUAGAGAGGGAAAGUUUUUUCUUUUUGGAAACCAGUAGAGAGGAAAAGUUUGUUAAACCUGAAUAAUAUUCUUUUGGCCUAAUCGGAUAAAUGGUCCCGUGGUCAUAAGGUAUUCGGAUGAUAGGCCUGUGGUAAAAAAAUUCAGAUUUAAACCCCUGUGGUCUAAAUCUGUUAGGAUUUAUGCCCUUUUGUUAAAUAAUGCUGACGUGGCUGCCACAUAUAUGCCACGUGGCUGCCAAAUGUCUGCCAUGUGGCAAAAAUAAUAAUUUUUAAUUUUUUUUUUUAAAACCUGAAUUUUUACAAAAAAAUAAAAAAUAAAAAACCCAGUCCGGCGAGGGGGGGAGCUGGUCUCUGGCGGGAGGAAGAAGAAGAAGAAGAAGAAGAAGAAGAAGAAGAAGAAGAAGAAGAAGAAGAAGAAGAAGAAGAAGAAGAAGAAGAAGAAGAAGAAGAAGAAGAAGAAGAAGAAGAAAGAAGAAGAAGAAGAAAAGAAGAAGAAGAAGAAGAAGAAGAAGAAGAAGAAGAAGAAGAAGAAGAAGUCGCGCGGGGAGACCGGCGGGAAGAAGAAGAAGGAAGAAGGAGAGGGAGGAGGGUCGCGCGGGGAGAGGGCUCCGGCGGGGGGGGGGGGGGAGCUGGUCUCCGGCAAGAAGAAGAAGAAGAAGAAGUCCAGCGGGGGGGGAAGGGCGAAGGGCGGGGGGAGCUUCUGGGUUUUUUUUUUUUUUUAAAUUCAGGUUUUUUAAAAAAAAAAUUAAAAAUUAUUAUUUUUGCCACGUGGCAUAUAUGUGGCAGGCACGUCAACAUUAUUUAACAGAAGGGCAUAAAUCCUAACAGACUUAGACCACAGGGGUUUAAAUCCGAAAUUUUUUACCACAGGGGCUAUCAUCCGAAUACCUUAUGACCACGAAAACCAUUUAUCCGAUUAGGCCUAUUCUUUUCAUUCAACUUGUCUACAAUAAUUACUAUUGGAUAAGUAUAUAGGCUGUGUCAUUACUACUACACGUGCAAAACAUGUGCACAUAUGGCUUACUAGAUAGAAUAGUAUAAAUACCUUUUCCUUUCCUUUAUUUUGUAAGAGGUUGUAAUACCUAAAACAGUUAGAGAAAUAUAUUGUAAUUCUUUCUGACUUCUCCUCUAAGCUUCCUUCUUCAGUGUAUUUCUUAAUUUCUAUGGAAUUCAUCUCUACUGUUAAGAUGGUAUCCAGAGUCGUUCUUGCUUGCGCAAUGGUACUGGUUCAUCGUUUCCAUUGCUUCGACUGGUAAGAAGGUGAUAUUGCUUAUGGGCUUUGUCUCUGGAUAUUUGUUCUUUGCGUUGGAAACCCUAAAAGAGUUUAGUGUUCUUCUUCUGAAAUUUCGUUUGAAUUGAAGUGUAAUUGAAGGCCGAUGCCAUAGUUUUUUGGUUAAUUGAAGAGUUAUAUGUUGAUUUGAUGAAAGGCCGAUGCCAAAAUUUGUUGAGAAUUUUCAAUUUCUUGAAGUGAUUUGAGUUGAUUGAAGGCCGAUGCCAUAGUUUUUUGGUUAAUUGAAGAGUUAUAUGUUGAUUUGAUGAAAGGCCGAUGCCAAAAUUUGUUGAGAAUUUAGUUUCUUGAAGUAAUUGAAUAGAUUCAAGGACGAUUGCCAUUGUUGGAGUAUAUAUGUGAUUCUUGCUUCUCUGCGAUCGUAGAGUGAUUGUCUUCGUAGUUGGAAAUCAGAUUUGCAAUUCUUGUUCAUCUGGAGUUAUCCACCGAUAUCAUUAACAUAUAAUAAGAGAACAAUAAUUGAUGAACCAUCACACUUGACAAAUAAAGAAGGAUCUGCAUAUGAUGACUUGAACCCAAGCUUAGGCAAAUAACCUGAAAACAUGUCAUGCUAGGCUCUGGGAGCUUGCUUGAGACCAUAUAAAGACCUCUCCAGUUUGCACACAUAAUCUGGAUAGGUAGAAUCCACAAACCCUUAGGGCUGAGACAUAAAAACUUAUUCCUCAAGAAAGCCAUGCAAAAAAGCGUUAUUGACAUCUAACUGUAUGAGUUUCCAAUUAUGAGAUGCAGCCAACGAUAGAACCAAUCGAACUAUGGUUGGUUUGAUCACAUGGCUAAAGGUUUCAUAAUAGUUAAUACCAACUUCUUGAGAAUACCCCUUAGCUACAAGUCUAGCCUUGUACCUAGCCACUGAACCAUCUGGAUUUCUUUUAAUCUUGUAGAUCCAUUUACAACCAACAAGAUUUUUGUCAGAUGGUAAGGGCACAAGCUUCCAAGUACGUUGUUGAAUCAAAGCAUCCAUCUCUUAUUUCAUGGCAUUUUGCCAUUGAACACACUUGAUUGCACUAGAAAAAGACUUAGGUUCCUUGAUUUCAGAAGCCUGAUCCACCUUAGCAGAAAACACCUUCUUUUUCAUAAUCCUAGACUUAGACUGGGUUUGCAUGGGAUGACAAUUUUGAGCAUUGAUACACACUAGUUGGAGAUCAUCCACUUGAGACAUUGUAGUAUUUGGAUGAUCUUUUGAAUACACAGUAGGCAAAACCUCUGAAGAAGGCACACCACUUGUGGAAUAAGAGACAAGAUCACCAGAACUAGUGGGUUGAGAGGAUGAUGACUGAGUAACAUGCCGUGAUUUAGAGGUAAGAGAAGUGGGACCAAUAAAUGGAAAUGUGGAAGAAACACUAGGUGGAUGAAUGAAUGUGUUUGAAUGCACAACAGACACUGGUGAGGAAGAAUGACCAGAAGUAACUUGAGGAUUGAAACCCAAAGCAUUAGAGUCUGUAGGAAACUUGGAUUCAUAAAAAAUAACAUGUCUAGAUACUAACAGUUUCUGAUCUUUGAGAGAGAAGCAAAUAUACCCUUUGUAUUGUGUAGCAUACCCCAGAAAAAUACACUUAGUAGUUUUAGGUUCAAGUUUAGUGCUUCUAUAGGGUUUCAAUGAAGCAUAACAUAAACACCCAAAAAUUCUCAAAUGAUCAAGCUUAGGUGGAGAUUUAUAUAGCAUUUCAAAAGGAGACUGCAUAUGUAGGGUAGGUGUGGGCAUUCUGUUUAUAAGAAAAGUAGCAGUGGCACAGGCAUGGAACUAGAAUUUUGAAGGUAAUGAAACUUGUUGUAAAAAGGUAAUAGCUGUUUCAACAAUAUGUUGAUUUUUUCUCUCAGCUAACCCAUUAUGGUAUAGGGUAUAAAGACAAUAUUUUUGAUGAACAAUGCCUUUGGUAAGAAGAAAUUGCUUAAACUGAGUACUAACAUAUUCCCCACCCCUAUCACUUUGCAAAAUUUUUACAUGAGCAUCAAAAUAAAUCGAGACAAAAGUAAGAAAGUUGACAAAAACAGUGAACACUGCAAUUUUAUUAUUUAAUGGAAAAAUCCAAGUAUAUCUUGUACAUUCAUCAAUGAAGGAAACAUAAUACUUGUAACCUUCUAUAGACAGACUAGGUGAGGGACCCAAACAUCUAUGUGAAUUACUUUAAAUGGAGUAAGUAACUUCGAAGCAAUUACAGGAAAAGGGAACUUGGUAAACUUGCCUUGCAAACAAGCUUUACAAGUAUGAGAUUGAGAGUUACAAGGAAAAGAUAUACAAGACUUAUCAAGUGUUGCAGUGACAAUGGAAUGUGCAGGAUGACCUAAUCGACAAUGUCACAAUGUAGAAGAAAUCUUUUAUCCCACAAAUGCAACUGGAUUAAAAACAGGAGAAAUAGACCUCUGUGGUUUGAUUAUGGGAAGUGGAUAGACAACAUUAUUACUCAGCCCUUGGAAUAGCACUCUCCCGGUGACCUUGUCCUGUAGAUAGAGAGAAACAUCAUUAAUGAUACAACGACACUGAUUAUCUUUGCACAACUGAUUCAUAGAUAAUAAGUGUUGUGACAGUUUUGGAACAUGUAACAUAGAGUUUAACUUGAAAUUAUGUGACUUAGUGAGAAGAGAAGAGGAACCAAUAUGUUUGAUAGCUAAACCUUCACCACUAGCACUGGUCACAAUAUCAUUUGAUGGAUAAAUUUGUUGCCAUGUGCAAGUUUGACAAAUCUGAGGUCAUAUGGUCCAAGUCAAGAAACCAGAAAUCUUGUUGAAGAGUUGAGGAUGAUGCACCAGCUCGUGCUUGCAUAGCAAGAUGAAGAUUUUGUGAGGAUGUAGUUGAGAGAUAUGGUAUGACAAGAUACUAAAACUGGGAGCUAUUAGACUGUGGAAUCAUGCCUUGUGAAGGACCACAUGGAUUCUAGCUAGGUGCUUCACCAUAUAACCCAGUAGGCAUUGGAGUUGGCAUAGAUGAGGAUAAACCCUGAGAGAAAUGCUCUGAUGUGCCUGUAAAAUUCUUAUUCCAAUCAAAGCAAGUAGCAGCAACAUGGUGACAAAUUUGACAUCCAUGUUGAAAACAAUUCAAUGCAGAAUGACCUUUGCGAUCACAUAUUUGCAGAAUGACCUUUGCAACCCUAGAAAGAAGAAGGAGUGAAGAAGACCAAAUGUGUACGUUUCUCUUUGAUUGUUUUUCCCUCCUAAUCGCGCAGUUCGAAAUCACGGACCUCGGGCCUCGGCCUAGUGGGCCCAAUUAUGAGGCCCAUUAUCUCCGGUCUUCUCGUUCUACUUCUAGUUACCCAAAUUAAGAACGUACUGGUUCGCUUUUAGCGCGAGAGAGAAAUGGAGGCCCUGAUUGCCUCGUACGGAGACUCGUCGUCGGGCUCAGACUCCGAGUCGCCGGCUCCACCUUCACCACCACCUCCGGAGCUCAACAACCCUCAAGAACCGACCCCUGCGCUGCCUCCACCUCCUCUUUCACUUCUCGACAGCCCCAAUUCCUUCGGUAACCUCUGAUUCCCAUCAAUUUCAUCUUUUAGCUUUCUGCUGUGAUGGCUUUUUCCGAGUUGCCCACCAAGUGUUUGAUGUUUUGCCUCUGAAGGAUUUCUGGACUUAUCGGCAAGCGCCCAGCCGAGCAGAGUUCGGAACUUUCCUCACGUCGAAGGGAACUACGCAGUACAUGUAUACAUCCCAGGUUAUCAAAAUUCUCGAAAUUUUCAGCUCCAUUAGCAAAUGCGAUCGCUUUGCACUUAGUUUUUGCUUGUUUAAUUGUGUGGUUCCAGUUUAUAUACCACCAGCACCAAGGAAAGAGAUGGCCUUGUUUUUGAACAAGCUAGCUUCUCUGGUGCCUGGUCUCCAUGCGGUUGACGUUGACUUCCCGCUUGACAUUCUGCGUAAGGACGAGCACAAGCUUGAACAAGUUGCUUUAGGCAGAGAGUUCCAUAUAAGUCUCGGAAGAACUGUUCCGAUUCGGGUGCACCAGAUUGAUUCCUUGGUGACAAUGCUGCGGCAGAAGCUUCAGAUUCAGAGGCGGUAUGGUUACAUUUACAUUCUCUUGUCCGCAUUGCGUGAAGUUAGUUCUGUUAUUUAACAUAAUUCUGUAAGCCUGCAAAUUUUUUGUCCAUUUUCGGUUUAACACAUUUUGUUAUUGUGAAACAGGUAUUGGAUUGAUUUUAGCAAGUGGGAGGUUUUUGUUAAUGAUGAUCAGACCCGGACCUUUGUGUCUAUCGAAAUCAUUGCUGCUGGGUUAGCUGAGGUAUGAUUGCUAGCUUUCUCUCUUGGUGCAAUUCUAAAUGUUUUCAGUUGUUAUAUGGGCUUAAGAUUUAGUAAGUACUUGCCGAAGGUCAUGGGAUUUUGAAAUAUUGAUAUCUUGCUUGCUUAUUAGCUUAGAUUUGGUCUUCGAUGCACUUGUAACAUGAAAAACACAAACGAAAACUAAUGCAUGAUAUGCUCAUGGUUUUAACAUGUGUUGUCCUGGCGUAAAUCAUGUUCCUAAUCCUGUCAUGUGAGUAUAAGCCUAUGAUACUUAGGGCAUGUUUGGCGGGCCGGACAAGAUUGGAAUUGGUAUUUCAGACUAGUUAGGUUAGGAUUGAACUGGAUAGGAUAGGUUUUUGGUCUAAAGAUUGGUGUAGACUGUCUUAACGAUGGGAUUUAAAACGUGAAACAGAUCUGCGACAUCCCAACGAUGACCCGCCCACCCAACAACUCUGCUCGUGACUUGCAACACCUCUCGUACCCUCCACGCCCCUUGAGGCCCGUCAGACCACUCUGAUAUCCUGGAGAGGUGAAACGUGGUUACUAGAAGCAUACCUGUUUUCGUAUUAAUGCACGGUUGAAGCAGCUUUCAUUGUCUACAAGUCUGAAAUAUUUCAACUUCCAUUGAUUUCAGAUAACAAAGCAGAUUCAAGCUGUGAAUGAGGUGUAUAAGCUUUUUCGUGUUUUUCAAACUCGAAAAACAAGAUUGUGCCUGAAUACUACUCAUUGCUCAAAAAACUAAAUCACUUCAUGGGGUGUUGGUGAUCACAGGAUCCGCGCCCUCACAUCUCGGUAGCUUGGGCAUUGGGUGACAUCAGCAAUUCCCUGAAGAAAGUGGUUGAAGAAGAAAGACGAAGAUCUACCAUCGGAGGAUCGUUACAGAAAUGUAUUUUUACCAGUAAAUUCAAUGGUAUCGAAUGUAGGAUUGGUAAUAAGACACAAAAUAUGUAAAUUUUCUGAACAAUAAUGUAGCCAUUUAACUGUAUCGUGAAAUUCCGAGAAUAUAUCGCUGAGCAUUGGAUGAGAAGACAUUUCUUUGUUGGUGUCGAACUUCUUGUCGAAGGUAUUGGCACCAGUGUAAACGUCAUCAUCCAUGUUGAUGGUAAUUACUUCCCAGCUACCAAGGGUGUCGGAACAACCUUGCACGCAGCCUCCUGUGCAUUACUUAAUAUUGUCUCAGUUUCUCCAAACUUGAAUGCUCCUGUAAACCCACUCUUGACCUUUCCGUCAUCUGCAAUUACAGGAAAGCUGGCUAGGAUGUUGCCGUUAACCUACCUAACUGGCUAGGAUGUAGCCGUCAUCUCCAAACUUAAAAGACCGGAAAGCCGGCUCCAAACCUCAAUGUGCUACUAGUUUUUGUAUGCGAGAGCUCCACCUCCAUUGUUGUAACAGCAUCUGAUGCGGACUAGUCCUUCAUUCCCGUUACUCUUUGCUAUCUCCACUUCAAACUUGGCGUAAUGGCUCCCGGCCGCCUCUCCGGUGAAAUUGAGAAACCCUGGGAAACCCUGGAGCUAGGCGUUUUCAUUCUGUUGUCCGUAUAUCUUGAUAUUACAAGUAUUUGUUGUGCAAAAUGCAAGCUAAGUUCAAGUUAUGUUUAUGUAUGUGUGUGUGUGUGUUGUCACUUCGCCACUUUUCCAACGUUUUCUCCAAAAUUGUGAUUUUGGUGUUGUUCUAACUUUGGUGAAUGCUAAUAACAAUUCCCUCGUUAACCAUUGGGACGAGCAACAAGGCAGUUUUGAUUCCGUGCACAACGGCGAUACCUCGAAAGAAAUUGAUUCUUCACCAGAAAGAUGUUUUAAAACAAAGUUGAACAGUUGAUGUAUACAGACGUUCCUUGCUUAUGACACGACUUAUGAGAGGAUGUAUGUAUUGCAUUUGCAUCAAAAGAAAGAAAGAAGGUUGUAAGUGGUAAGGGAACGACUACCGAUGCCGCUCCACUUCUAAUCAAAGGGAUCGAUCCGAGGGUCGUGUUCACUUGCCAUCGCUAUUCCAGUGCAAAGGCAUGUCGGGCACAUUACCUGCCACAUUUACGGACGCAAUGUUAGAUAUAGCUGCCAUUUGGAAGUCAUCUCUCAAAAUUUUGCUACUAAAUUAAUCUUAAACGUCAUUUCCAGUGCAAUUUUUUUCUUCUGAAUUGUCUUUCACAUGCCCGACAAAUAAAAGUAUCACCAAACAUGUGAAUAUAGUGCAUCUAAGCGGCAGGCACUAAAAGGAAUUUAGUAUGCAAUAAACAUUCAACGGACAUAAUUAUAUGUCUAACCUUUCCCGCUCCUGAGCAAUUUGAACAUCGUUCAGUUUUUGGCAGAGAUAGGGGUUGGUUUCCGCCAUCAGCUGUCGAUAAUGGUUCAGUAAGAACAAGGGUUCCAGUGCUGGAGCAACGAGCACAAGCAAGAUAUCCUGCGUAAGUAUCAAAUACACAGGUAAGUUGACAUAUGAAACCAAUCCGAACAUCUCCAUCGUAUAUAUUUAAAGCUACAGUACAUAAAACUAAAAGUCAGAAAUAGAGGACAUUAUCACACCAGUUCCAAGACAAUAUUUGCAUCGUUUAUGCUCCUGCUGUUUCGCAUUGUUUAUUUCAACUACCAUCAAUGCUGAGAUCACUCCAACUGCUCCUCCAGAAAACGACGCCACUAUGGGAUCAACUUGACUGCAGUUUGAAAGUAUAGGAGAUCAAUAAACGAAACUGGUAACAACAUGGUAUCAACAUUAUUUAGCUUCGUUUCAAGAUAGCUGACAUCCUGGGUUUUUCUAAUGUGUAAAAAUUGAGGAUCCUUGUAAAAUUUGACUAUAUCAGUUCCCAAAGUAUUUGAUUCCUAUGUUACAGACCGAAAACAGUAACAAUUGAAUUUUUAGAUUCAUAACACGAUAGAUGGUACAAAAUUUCAAAACGAUAAUUACUAGAGAACAGGAGGGCUAAUAGCCUGAGAUAUGAGCCAUACCUCAACUGCAACGGCAGAUGCAUAUUUACUAUAAAAUCUUUAUACGAUGUGCCUCCUAUUCCAAGCUUCAACUCCAACUGAAAGAUGUAAACGUAAUUGUCGGCAGAGAGUUAGAAACAUAACCGAAUCCAUGUUUUAUAAGCAGAAACUACACUUAUUUGACAUGUUUCCUCGUUUUUUUACUUGCAAAUUCAAAACCGUAUUGUCGGACCAGUAAAAUAAAAUAAUGUUUACUAAUAACUGUUAAAACUAAUCACAACAAGUUAAUGCAUAAAGAACUUACGGAGGGUGCUAUGAGGCCACCGAAAAGGAUAAACCCCGCAAUAAUUGAAUAACAUACAGCAUAAUACUGCUUAAGGUUGUCUGAACUCUGCAACCAAUGCAUUCACCUUGUGAUUAAUACUUUGCACAAACACUAGUUUUCGCAGUUUUUUAUGAACCGACAAAAGGCUACAACAAAAUAUGGCUAAAACAAGUCCGGGAUAUGAAAAUACAUGUCUUCACAGGGUCAGCAGCUUACCAGGGGAGGCAAAAAUGGAAUGAAUGAUGGAAAACUAGGAAGUUCGUUUUCUUGAUCUUCAUUUACCGCUCCAAGCUCUGCGCGUUUAAUCCGCUGUUGUAUCCUCAGCCUGCGAACCUUCGCAUAUCGAAGCUCAUUCUUAAAGAACACAUUUCUAAUGGCAAUUGGAGAGUAAUUUAAAACAUGCUAAACUGAGAAAGUGGCAGCAACUAGCAAUUGCUCUCACCUCCUCCAUAUGCAAGAAAAUUUUGUUGCGCCGACUCCGAAUAUUAUCUUGAAUUUCUUGCAGCUCCAUUGUGGCAAAGUCCUGCACUGUUUCAGGCCCCUCUAUGAUACAAAAUCUGCACAAUUAAGCAUGUAAAAACUAAAAAUUACAGGCUAAAAAAGCAAUUUCCGUAUCAUUGCUCGGUUAAUUAACAUCAACAGCAGAUAAAUCACAUGGGUUUUUCAAAUGAAGUUACAAACUUUCAAAGACCAGUAAGCUGUCUGCAAUCUCAUAAAUUUCACAGUGCAAAGUAAAAAUCCAAAGCUUGGAACUUUAAAUUUCCAUUUUCUGUUAAUUUCCUAGAGAGAGGGGGGGUGGUACCCGGCGGGGUUUGUAUCGGCGGCGGGAUUGGGAUCAGAAUCGACAGACGGAGCGAAAGAGGAGGAGUCGGGCUCCGAAGCCAUGGCCAGGGAUCGCCAUCUGGAGCUGCUUGUUGAUAUGGGGCUUCUUGGGUAGCUGAAUUUGGAGCAGCCGGCGCUAUGCAGUUUGUACGGACUGCACCGAUUUACGGGGAAAGACACGGCCAAAAGUCUGCCGCAGCAGAGCAUCUCUCUCUCUCUCUCAAACCAGAAGGCAGAGCUUUCUGUUUCUCUUGAGGUUUCUUUCACUGGUAAAUUCCAGAGAAGCAGAGAAGAAGGCUCUCUGAGAAAUGGAGGCAAAACAAAUGUAAAUCUUGAAGCACCGACCAUGUGCAGAACACUUAUCAACUACCGAACUCUAGGAUUUUUAUUUUUUGGUAAACUACCGAACUCUACGAUUAGGAGAGAAACAAGGGGAGAGAGAGUGAGUGACCGGAAAAAAAUAAAAAAUAAAAAAAAUAUGGAGGGAAGUGGCUGAUUCUUCUCUCAUUUUUUCCUAUUGUUUUUCAGAAAAAAAAAAAUAAUAAUAGUAAUUAGUCGUUAGAUUCGAGUAGUCGUUCGGUAUGUCACAUUUAAAAUUUUAUUAUAGGAAGCAUAAGGUUAGGCCAUCUCCAAUCGAAUUAGGUCUGAAAGAUCAUGUUUAUCCUUAUAGUUUUGCAAGAAAUUAUAUUUUAAUAAACAAUGCAUGUCAUAUUUUAUACCAUCUCUAACCGGGGGGCCAAAGAAUCAUGGGCCAAACAUAGCCCUUUGACAAUAAACGCAUCUCCAACCGAGAGGGCCAAAAUGUCAUAGACCAAAAAUAAUCCCCUAAAGAAUUUAUUAUUUUAAUUGAAUUAAUAUAGUUAAUUAAAUUAAACUACCGUAUUAAAAUAAGGUUUUCUGACAUAUUUUGAGUGCCACUUGCCACAAUAACGAAGAAAGCGUGGUAUUGUUGCACUUGCUAUAAAGUCAAGCUUGACAUUCUGCCGCUGGAGAACUGGUUGGCUGACUGGAAAUGGCCAACCCGUUGGCUUGAUUUGGGGGUUUUGGCCAGAUGGGGCCCAACAAGCCAUUUGGCCUAGCCUUGCUUGAAGACGGUUUUCUUGUCAUUCCAAGCUAUUUUUAGCCCUAUGACCAUUUGAUUUGAUCGGUUGGAGAUGACUUUAGGUGCGGUGAUUGUCCUUGAGAUAUCGAAGGUUCUGUGUGAUCGAAUACUUCGUCCUCCUCCAAAGCCGCCACUGUUGAGAAGGUUACUUGCCUUAUGCAAACAUUAUGAAUUGCAAGUGAUGAAUUGUUCUGAUGAUAAGGUUUAUUUUUUAACUCAUUAUGUUUCGAGUUUAAACAUUUUUCCCUCUCUUUAAUGUAUAUAUUAAUGAAAUAUUGUUCGUAAUAAAAAAAUAAAAAAAUGAUACAUUCUCAUUCAUAUAUAAGAUGAUCAAGUCUGAAAUUAUUACUUUUAAUGAGUGACUUAGUUAACCAUUUUCAUUUCUUAUGCGUUCAAAAUUAGACAAAUUCUUUGCAAACAUUAAAAAAAAAAAAAGAUAUUAAGGAGACUUUGAAACUAUUACAUUAUGGGAGGGGGAAUUUCGAACUCGGGACUUCUGAGUAGAACCCAAAUGCUUCUCCACUAGGAUAUUAGACUAGUGCCGGUCCUGAAUUUUUUGGUGCCUGGAGCGAAUAAUGUGCCCUUUUCCAGUACAACAACAUAAAUUAAAAAGAAAUAUUUAAAGAGGGCUGGAACCCAGUCGAAGCUGGGGGGCUAGGCCCUCACGCCCAUAUUAUAUUACUUUUAAGAAUAAACAUACAACUGGGGGAACAUAGUAUCGAAAUCCCGACGAUCAAAAGCAAAAUAUAUACAACCACUCCAAGCAGUCAACAUGGCCAUCACAUAUUGAAUCCAAAAUGUCAACGCCCCAUUGGCUGCAUAUAAAGUACAAACGAGCGGCAACUUCAGCCAGUUCUGCGAUAUCCGGCUGGAUGAGAGCAGCUAAAGACAUGAUUGUUCCCUAAUAACAUGAAUAAAUUGAGUAAACACCAAAAGUAGCAGCAAGGGAAGGAGAUGUGAAGUAGAUGAAGAGAUGUAAGAACUGUGAAUGUCCAGCAACAAAGACUUCGGAGCUUGUUGUCGAAUACCUGCAGCGCAUCAUUUCUGGUAGAUCAAAUACAACCAAGUCCUGCCAACUCCAAUUCCAAAAAUCCUACAGUAUAGCAUAAAUCUUAUUCUCUUCUGAUAAAGAUGUGUGUCCCUACCCAUAAAUCGAAACCUUCAUCUGCAAGGACGAAUCCCAUUUAUUCUUCUGAAGAAUUUAAGAACCAUGAACCACCUGGUCAAGAUCAAGAAAAGCCAGUAACCAAUUACAAUUGAGUUUGAAGCAAAUUAGAGCCAAAUUUAAAAUGUAUCCGAUGGAUGUUCAUCAAUUUACACAAUAGUUAGUUUCAAGAAAGGAAAUUUCAACAGAACCUGAAAACUUCAGAUCAGGGGGCACCAAAUAGUGAGCUACACAUUCAGAAUUUGAAAUAUUUCAAAUCAACUUGGUGGGGCCAAUAUGUUGAAAAAAUUGGAAGGAGCUAUGAAAGUAAGGCUUUUCGCUAAUCAGGCGUCUAGAGAAUCAAUAUUUUACUCACGUAUCAGUUACGGGGAACACUCCCCACCAGAGCAAUCUCAUUAGUCCUUCACAUCUCAAACGGCACAGAAAUUGCACUAACAAACACGACUCCUAUUAGUCCUUCACAUCUAAAAUCCAGGAAGUACCCAUCUUUCGUCUGAAUCUGGAAAAUAAGCAGAGCACUCAAUUUAACAAUCUGGGUAUCUCAAAGUUACUCACUUUAAUCACAAAUUUAACAAUUAAACAUAUAAAUGGGCAUUUUUUUAGUGAAAUAUUAGUAUCUUACUCACUGUGUGCUCGGAGCAAGAGUACCCGGAAAGCUCAAUGAGCUGUGCACAGAGGACUGCAGCGGUGAACGACAGCGACCGAUUCUGUAAAAUUCAGUCAAGUUUUCGGCAAUUUCUGCAGCGAUUUCGGAGUUCAAGAGGCUGAUAAGGAAAGCUGCGACUGAAGGACACUGGUCUGGAAGAAAGGCUCUGGUCACCGCUGUCGCAAUUUGUGAAGGAAGAAGUGCCCCAAAACAAUUUCGGCCCUGAACAGAUGCACUGUUUGCACUGGACCAGGGCCGGCACUGGCGAUAACGUCCCCCAAACAGUACAUAUACAGAUGCUAGAAAUAAUAAAUGUCACCUGAAACUACUAGAACCAUUCAAUUCUAGCGUCUACAGCUUUAGCAUUAGUUGGUACAAGGGACAUUCUUCUAAAGAGGGAGAUGAACUCGUUGAGGCUCUUAUUUAUUCCUCCUCUUGAGGUGUCCUUUUAGGCUGCUAAUUCCAGACGAUCCAAUCUCAUACAUCUUCCCUGCAAAAGCAUGUGUGCCAGACUUCAAGAUCAAAAUUUUCCAACAAAAGAAACUUAAAGAUCAAACUCGCCUGCGGAAUAAAUGGUGCACAAGGGUGUUAAAAAUGGUGCACAAGGGUGUUAAAAUCUUGACAUAUGUAUAUUUUUGGCAGAUUUUAUGUGAGCAUGCAACUAAAACUGGCAUAACAGUUUGAGUUGUAACUUCUCCAUUGUAUUUGUUAAGGCAAGACGGAUGUCAUCUAUGCAUUUUUCUGUAAAACUUAGAAGGCUGCAUAGCAGCUCUUGUUCGUUGUAUUGAAUACCGUGGUUUAACCGAUGAAUGCAGAGUUUGCUGAUGAUUCAUACGACAAGCAAUUGAAAAUCCCCAUCAUUUACACAAAUUCAGAGCAUUCAUCCACUGUAAUUUGCAGAUAUAGAAACGUCAAGAUAAAAGGAAAUGCAAAGUACCUUUCACCCAAAUUGGAAGAGCACCGGUGGCAUUAGCAAGUUAGCAACGGGAAUUGACAUACCAAUAUCUUCACAGUUUCUGCACAAGCACAAAUCAAAAGAAUUGUGGAUUUCAAAAUAUGCGGCCGUGGCUAGCCGUCUGACCACGCCAAUUCCACCAAAGCCGCCGCAACGCGGCGUAGUGUCCGAUUGAUUGCUUCAAAACAGAGCUUCGUAUCCAUGUGUUUAUCAGCAGAGAGUACCCAAAACCCCUGAAAAUUAUUUCUUUAUUCAGAUAAUAAAAUUUCCCAAAUUUCAAAUUUUAAUUCCGAACCAAAAAUAGGAUUUGAAUUUUGAUUACCUAGAAAUGGGGGGGGGGGGGGUUGGGGUGGAGAGGGACUCAGGCCAAGACAGAGCUAUGUGUCUGUGAUAAGGUGUGCCAAAUUACAGAGUGUGUCGGGAAGAUGUACAAGGCUUUUGCAGUUUCUCAGAUUUAAAUACCGAAGCCCCGUAAGCUGUUCAAUCCAGGGGGAAAGCUCUUUGAUAGAUGUUCCAUCCAAGAAAAGAUAUCUUAAUCCUUCCAUAUUUUCUUCAAUGCUUGGAAACACCUCAAAUUUUGUAGAACCGGAAAGAGAGAGAGAGACAAGGGACUUGAGCUGAGAAAUGCUGCUCGGAAGACUCUUAAGUUCCACGCAAUAUUUCAGGCUUAAAUAACUCAACCCCGUGAGAUUAUUAAUUGACAGCGGUAGUUCUUUAAUUUUUGACCCGGAUAAAUCAAGCUCUUCUAACUCCUCAAUACCUUCUAAAAUCUCUGGAAACAUCUCAAGAUUGGAGCAGUCAUAAAGAUUAAGGGUUUUGAGAGAUUUCAUACGAAUGCUGCUUGGAAGACUCUUAAGUUCCACGCAAUGUUUUAGGUUCAAAUGACUCAACCCCGUGAGAUUAUUAAUUGACAGGGGCAGUUCUUUAAUUUUGGACCCGGAUAAAUUAAGCUCUUUUAAUCCCUCAAUAACUUCUGAAAUCUCUGGAAACAUCUCAAGAUUGGUGCAGCCAUAAAGCUUAAAG